ACCUCGAAAAAUCCGUUGGGACACAAUUCCCUGAAUUGCAACAAUAUUGAUCCGUUUUGUAGACCGUGCAAGGGUUAUUGCACCCACCUGGGGCUUUCAACUCAUUAGGGCACUGACCUAUGAUAUCAGCUGUGCAUCGAAUACCCCUGCUGCACCGGCCAGAUGUCGGACUAAAUUCCAUGGGAACAUUAAAUCCAUCAACCAGAGAGAUAUCAAAGAAAUCCAAGUUGUUGAACUGGUUUAAUGCGAAUUCAGCCAAGGUGUUUGGGGCUACACCAUAGGCGUUGCACUGAAGUAGGCCCCCACAGUCACCGGUUUGGCAUCUGCCUCGUCCGGCUCUGUCAAAUUGGCAAUUGGUUCGACCCCAGAUACGGGCUCCUGUAGUGCCAGGAUUCACUUUCAGAUUCCAAACUCCGCCUUUGCUCAGCUCUCUGCCACCACCAGGAACGGCUGCUGCCCAGACCUUGUAAGGACAGUUGUUUCGAAUGUCAAAACUGGCAGCACUGGCCACCGUGAAGCAGAGAGCAAUAAAAGAGAUUGAAAAUAGAGAGAGGCUUUUGAAGUUCAUCUUUUAUAUUAGCUUUCUACUUGUAUGUAGUGUGUUAGGAAAUGGUGGAUUUAUAGAGUUGUGAAUGCGGUUCAGACCAAUAGCUAAUGUAAUCAUAUAAAUGUUGGUGGAGGUAGGAAAUUAUCGUUGUAUUGGCAUUAGAGGUAAAAGUCAUAUAGGAAAUUGUAUUGGCAUUAUAAGUAUAUCGGUGGUCCAUUUGUAAGUGUAAUUAAUGUGAAUUCUAUUAAUUUUUUUACUUAAAAAUAUCAAUUUUAUUUUCUUUUUUUAAUCUAUGUAUCUUAAAAUCUUAUUUUAAAAAAUAAAAUAUGACUUUUUUAAGGAAAACAAAAUAUGAAAAUUAAACUUUAGGUUAACUUUUUUUUUUUCAAUCACAUGAUUUUAUCUUUACGAUAUAAUGAAAGGAAAAGAUAAUAUAAAGUUUAAAUCCAUAUCAUCUAAAUACCAAAUGAAAAUUCAUAUCAUUACUCUAAACAAGUCUUCACCAAUCAAAUCAUUUUAUUAUAACCAUAUUUGAUAAACUUUUUUUUAAAACUCUUAUAAUUGAUAAACUUUUAUAAUGUACAAAGUAAUAAAUGAAAAAAAAAAUGUUGUCCUAAUAUCCAAUGACUUCACGAGUUCUAACUAGUAUCAAGAAAAACAAGCUUUCAAAAAGACAUAAGUUAUGGAUAAAAAAUUAUUUGAAGGGUAGCUCUCUUUUCUACUAAAUCGUCCAUUUUAGGGGGAAGGGGGGGGUUCAUGUUCUUCAACACCUCACCUUUGUAAUCAAAUUUAAACCCAUUAAUGAUGAAUAUCCAUUUCGUGGUGAUUCAUUUUUUAGGAAAUCGAAUCUGAUUCAAAUGAAGACUUAAUAUAGGAACCAAGGUGAAGGGUUUGAUGGGAGGGAAUACCAGGACAAAUGGUGUCCUCUAGCUCUUUGGAGUGAAAGAUUAUUAAGGUUGAUUCAAAGGUACCCUUUAUUUCUCUUAUAGGGUUCAAGUUUUAGAUCCACUUUAUUUCUCUUUAAUGGGUUUUCUUAUUUUUGAAUACAAUGAUUUUUUGUGCAUUUUUCCAUCUCCAUCCAAUAAUCAUCUGAAGAGCCACAAUUCAGCUUCACCAGACUCCAAAAUACCCAAAUUCACGAGGAGAGGGCCAUACAGUCCCCAACCUAGGUCCCACCCCUUUCGAACACGGCACACACAAUCUAGGAUUCAUCCACCAUUGGGAUUCAGUCACAAUCCACCCUUCCUUGGAUGCUUUUACAAAGAGAACGAAGCUUAGCAAGAAACAAUUUUUUUUUAAAUUUAUUAUUUUUAUAUAUUUUUGUUGAAUUGUUUAGAUUUAGGAUCAAAUUGAGAACACUUGUAAAUUUUGAGGGCUAAUUUUUUAAAAUCAUGACUAAAUUGAUAUAAUAUGUAAAAGUUGUGGGCUAAAUGAUUGAACUAUACAAUGUGGGUGCUUAUUAUUUUGGGUGCCUAAAAUAAAAAAAAUUUGAUAGUUGGGUGACUAUCAAUGCAGUUUCCCAUAUUAUUAUCAAUAAUAUAUAAAUAACUUUAAAAUAUAAACCCUGAAAUUUUUUUAAAUGAAAAAACUUUAAAGAGCUUAUGAAAAUAAUGAUCUACUCUUAUUUAUAAGGUAAGUGUGAGCUAUGAUAAUAUUUUAGUUAAUGUGGGAUUGAAAUUAAUCUUUUAAUUUUGUAAAAUGCAUAUGAGAGUAUGUAUAUUUUUUAUUUUAUUAAUUUAUUUGUAAAUUAAAAAACCCUCAAUUUGUAAUAAAAAAAAUUAUUGAGGAUAAAUUACAUAAUAAUUUUUAUUUAAGAAAAAAAAAGAGCAAACGUUAAUGCUUAUAAAAAAAAUUUAGAUAAAAAAAUAAACGGUUAAAAUAUAUUUUUUUACUCAUAAAUAUUCUUUUUAACUAAUCAUAAAAAUUAAAGAAAUAUUAAUUAAUUUAAAAUAUAAAUAAUUCAUGUGGAAAAUUUGGGUUUUCCACAUCAAUUAGGAGCCUAAGACCUUCUAAUAUAUAAUAUAUAGGAUAUAUUUAUAUUUUAAGAAUAUUAUAUUAUAUUUCAAAUUUCUUAUUUAUAAAUUUUAUAAAAUUAGGUUAACAAGUGCGUAAGGGACAUGAACCUCUUUCAGAACAUGGUGCAAUAUCCAUAUUUCAUAAAUAAUUCAAAACAAGACCUCUAUGGUUUAAGAAGAAAUUCAAAUUAACUAAGUCAUUCGUUGCAUAUUUGGGUAGUCCAAAAUCAAAGUGAUAUGGGGGUAACAUCCAAUCUAAGGUAAUUAAUAGAUCAAAGCAAAAAAAAAUGUUUUGGAUUAAUCAUAGAGAGGUCCCUAAAAAAAUGUUUUGGAUUAAUCAUAGAAAGGUCCCUAAGUUUUUGUCACAAGUUAAAAGAAAGUGCCAUGUGUCAUCAAUCAAUUGGCUAAUAGGUCAUAUAAAGAAUCCGUUAGUAGAUUAAUGAAAAUUUUAAUGACAGUGACUAAUUUGAACAAUUAUAUUAAUUAGAGGAACCAAAUUGAGAAAAAAACCCUAUUUUAGAAUGAUCUUAGGUGUAGUUUACCCUUAUACUUUUAUGUGUGUCUAAAAUUACUAAUUUUUUUAGAGAAAAUAAAUUCAUUAAUGAGAAAGUCACAAAACAAAAGCAAACACAAAGAGGAGUCGGACUACUAAACCCGAGCCAACAGGCUCACCCCAUACACCCGAUCUUACCGUCCGCAAUCCUCACUUGUAUCAACAUAAAACAUAAUUUCAACAUUAUUCAAAGAAGAUGCCAUGUGGUUUGCAUAUAACAAAGCCACUCACGCAAGUGAGUGGGCUGCCCUAUUGGCCUUUCAGCACCAAACAAUCAUGUAGCAGUGAGCCUAGCUCAGAUGCAUCAAUUGUACAUGCUUUUUUUCCAUCAAACUACAUACCCAUAGUAGCCCAAAACACAUGCAGUUUACCACAUAUAUGGUCCAACUUCCGAUAGUACGCAAUCCUCCAAGAUCUAAUGAAAAACAAGGGAGCCACUACACCCCAAAAUCCCAUUACAAAGCCAAGAACUAUACUGACAUAAAGCCAAUUCACUUUACUUCCUUCAUUGCUACUUCCAUUAUUUGCAACAUCAGUUGGAAUACCUUUUGAGGUGCAGUUCUUAGAGAGAGGAGGUCCGCAAAGAUGAUUGCCCACAUAAGACAAGUUUUCAAAGCUUUGAAGUUGAGUGCUUGUUGGGAUUUGUCCUGUCAAGUUGUUGUAGGACACAUUGAAGUGAUUCAAGAAAUUUAAAUUGGAGAAACUUGGAGGGAUUUCACCAUUUAGUCGAUUCAUGGACAAAUCAAGAGAUUCCAUUAACUCCAUGUUGCCAAUGCUGUUUGGUAUAUUUCCUGUUAGGAGAUUCCCUGAAAAAUUUAAAGACAAUAGUCCAACGAGACUACCAAUUUUUUUGGGGAUCUCUCCUGUGAGACUGUUAGCUGAAAGGUCCAUGCUCGUAACAAGUCCUAAUGUGCUACCAUAUUCAUCCUCUUGUCCUUUCAACACCAAUAAUGCUUUCAAAUAAAAUUUGUAAAAAUUUGAAAGCGACAAAGAAAAUUCAUUAUUGGUUUUGAUUUUUGUGGCCAUUGCACUUAAAUUAUUGAAACAUUUUGGAAUAACUCCUGAAAUGUUGUUGUUGGCAAGGUCCAAGUUUUGAAGAAAUUGAAGAUCACAAAUUUUGUGAGGAAUAUGACCAUCAAAGUUAUUUGAUCGAAGGCUUAGAACCACAAGGUUCGAGAGCUUAUCACCAAUCCAUGCUGGUACACUUCCACUGAAAUGAUUUUCACUAAGAUCAAGCAUAACUAAACUCCAAGAAUUUCGCAAUGUGUAGGGUAAUUCUCCAAACAUGCUAUUAUUUCGAAGGUUUAUCAAAAAAGGAUAUGUAUAUCCCAAAGUAGGUGGGAUUUUCCCUGUCAAAUUGUUGUUUGCUAAAUUUAAAUAAGCUAAAAUCUCCCAAUGAUUCCAACAAUCUGGAAUUUCUCCAAUGAGUAGAUUUGUAUCAAGGUAAAGAGCUACCAUUCCCGUUAAUGAUGGAUUACAAAUUAAUUCGGAAAGGGAUCCUGAAAAUGAAUUAUUUGACAAAUGUAAAAUACAUAAAGUUGAGAUUACUCUUGGCAAUGGACCUGUAAAGCGGUUUGAACUCAAGUCAACAGAGUCUCUCACAUUCAAAUAUGAAAUCUCUCCUGUAAGUUGAUUCGAGGAAAGAUUUAAAUAUUCAAAUUGAGUGGGAAGGUUUAAAAACCAAGUGGGCAUGACAUCUGAAAUUCCUACAUGGAAGAUAUCCAAAUAAGACAAUUUCUUUUGAAAUUUUAACCACUGGGGAAACUUUGGGCCAAGAUGCCAAUGACCCAAUUCGAUUCUUUCACAUUGAAAUGGGGGAAUCCAAUUUGAGUUUGGUUCAAAUCUAAGCCUAUUAUCAGAUGCCUUUAGAGUUGUCAAUCUCGUGAGAUUAAAAAAAUGGGCUUCGAAUACAACUCCUUCCAAUAGAUUAUGCCCAAAAUCCAGUGUUUCCAAAGAUGAUAACUCCCCUAUCGAUGAUGAAAUGGGACCAGAAAUUUUGUUUUGAGCAAGGGACAAGUAAGAUAGAUUUUUAAAUUGUCCAAGUUGAUCAGUUAAAUGACCAGAAAGUUGGUUAUUGGUCAUAUCCAAUGACUCUAAGGAAUCCAAACAACAUCUAGACAAACUCUGUAGGAUUUCUGAUAUUCCACCUUCAAUUUUAUUAUUCGAAAGAUCAAGGUGAGUAACAGAGCUCAAGUUUCCAAUGGCACUCGAGAUUGUUCCUUGUAACUGGUUUGAACUAAGACUAAGGAACUGAAGACGGUUUAGACUAUACAAGGAAUUGAGUAUGGAUGAAUUGAGAUGAUUCCAACUAAGAUCAAGAACUUCAAGAAACGAGGUGUUCCCAAAGUAAUCUGGAAUUGGGCCUUCCAAAAAACAAAAGCUAAGAUCAAUGGACACAAGACCAUGGAGACUAGAUAUCCACUUAGGUACUGAAGAAAAGUGGUUGGAAGAAAGAUCAAGAACAACCAGUGAUUUUGUAGAAUUAACACUAAUCGGCGAUGGAUAAUCUUCUAAGCCACAAGCUGACAAGUGCAACUCUAAUAAAGAAGGAAGUUUGAGUGUUACCUGUACCCAAUCAUUUGCUUUGUGAAGAUCCGCAGAACUCAAAUCAAGGUACUCCAAGGAAGAAAGUCCAGAAACCCAUUGAAGACUUUUUGGUUUGAGAUAAUUACCACCAAGAUCAAGAUAAUGCAACUUUGAGAGAUUCCCAAGGUUAUGAGGAAUUGCUCCCUGGAAUUGUGCAUUAGAGAGAUUAAGAUAUGUUAAACUCUCCAGCAUACCCAAAAAUUUUGGUAUCGGUAUGCUACCAAAAUUGUUAUUGCUUAAGUCCAGAAAACUGAGAUGCUUCAACUCCAACAGUGAAGGAUUUAUGGCCGACUGGUCGUAAGAUGAAAGAGCAGCCAAGUGCAGUUGGUGGACGUGGCCUGUUGAGUUAUGGCAGACGACACCAAUCCAUUUACAGCAAUCCCCUCCUUCAACCCAUGAAGAUAGGCUGUUUGAAGGAUCAAUAAGAUGAUUCUUGAAUUUCAAAAGAGCUUCUCUCUCACUUGGAAUGCAAAGUAGGUUGGAAUUGGCAUGACAAAUGGUAAAACAGAUAGCGGGAAUGAGAAGAAGAGAAGGGAAAAAGGAAAUUGGAAGAGUAGUCAUGGUUGAAAUUGCAUGCUACCAACCAUUGCUCACAACUCCAAAUAUAAACUAUACGCAACAUCAUACUAAAAUAUAAUUUGUCUUAUUUUGACCACGUUAAUUUUGUAUUUCAAUUUAGUUAUUGUUGUUAAAAUAAUUGUUCAAAGUAGUUAAUCUUGUUAAAAUAACUCAUUUUUCACUAACAGAUUAUUGAUAUAGCAUAUUAGCCCAUUGAUUGACAACACAUGAUACUUUUUUUGUUAAUUUUUGACUAAACUUUAGAUACCUUUUUCUAAUUAAUCAAAAACAUUUAAAAAAAAAACUAUAUUAAAACAAAAAAAUUAAAAUAUAAUUUUUUAUCAAAUCCAUACAUAUUUCCCCGUCAACUUUGACUUCAAUGUCACUACCACCCCAAGACGACAAUGAUACCUGCAAAAAUAAUAAAUGAAGGAUUCGGGCUUUAAUUAUGGAAGAACCAACUCAACCAAGUAGCUGCUUUUGCUUGCUUACACUGUGGUCUGUGGCUAAGACAACGAGGGUUGUAGUCGCAGUUGUAGUUAUAGACACAAGGGAAGGGUUGGGGUAUAUCCAUGUUGAAGCAAUGAUCGUUGACCAUUAGAGCUUGGGUUGUGAUGCUUUAGACAAGGACGACUCUAUUAGUUCCAGAGUUGUUUCGCUUUUGGUCUAGGGUUUCCAUUUUCAGAUCCUUGUGCUCGUAAUCUAUAUCCAAAUAUGAAUCCUGUUAAGUAUAAAAUCAAGUGGAAGCUAGAAAUAAGUGUCACAUUUAUUGAAGAUAGAGCCUUACAAAUGACAAAUAUAUAAUCACAACUAACACCUAUAUCAUGUAUAAAUAAUGAUCAACACUAGUUUAAACAAAUGUAGAAAGUUGUUCCUAAAGAAUAGGACUUAUUGGAACAGAAAAACAACUUUGAAAAUACUAAAUAAUUCAAACAAUUCCUCCCAUAAAUUGUUCUGCAUAUUUGCAGUCAGGUUACUUCUCUACAAAUUCCAAGUUUUUCCCUAAGCUUUUCAAAUGUCUCUAGCUUCAACGCCUUAGUAAUGAUGUCUGUUGUCUACUCCUUUGUUCCACAAUGGAUAAGCUCAAUAACUUUAUCAUUAGAUAAUUCAUGAAGGAAGUGGUACCUUACAUGAAAGUGUUUGUUCCUUCCAUACAAUAUGACAUUCUUUGAUAGUUUGAUGGUGGAGGCAUUGUCACAAUAUAAUGUGAUACUUCAUUUUUGAGGAUGAUUGAAAGCAUCCAAGAUUCUUCUCAUCCAAACUGCUUGACAAGCACAUGAUGUUGUUGCUACGAACUCUGCAUUGGUGGUAGAUAAGGUCACUACUUGACAAGCACUUUCUCCAAAUAGAAAAGCCUAUCUUGAAGUGCUCCUUCUGUCAUCUUGAUCCCUAGCAUAAUCACUGUUUGUGUAGCCAACUAACUCGCCAAUUCCACCUUUUUUGUACAAAAUGCCCAGUUCCGAGGUUCUUUUUAUAUAUCAAAGGACCCUUUUUGCUACACUAAGAUGAAGUUCAGUAAGUUUUUCCAUAUAUUGACUCACCAGUCCAACCAAAUACAUUAGAUCUGGUCUGGUCGUAGUUAAAUAUCGAAGAUUCCCCACAAAUUGCUUAUAACCAGUGACAUCUUCUUUGACUCUAUCUUCAUCUUUCACAAGUUUUGUUCUUGGAACAAUUGGACUUCUAACAGAGUUGCACCUUAACAUACCAAAUCUCUCAAAAACUUUAUUAGCAUACUUCCUCUAACUAAUAAAUAUGCCUUUAUCAUUCUAUAACACUUCAACUCCAAGAAAGUAUUUCAUCUUUCCAAGAUAAGUCAUUUUAAAUUCUCGCAUCAUAAAAUUUUGGAAGGCUUUAAUUAUUUCCUCAUCAUUUCUCAUGAAUAUGAGAUCAUCAACAUGCAAACUCUUCCUUUUGAAUCAAUUUGAAUAAUAAUAGUAGGUUCAGAUGGGCACCUUUCAAAACUAUCUUUUGUAAAAUAGGACUCAAUGUGACUAUACUAUGCCUUUGGAGCCUGCUUCAAACCGUCCAAGGCCUUCUUUAAUUUGUAGACUUUAUGCUCCUCCUCUUCUUUCUCAAAGCCACAUGGUUGAUCAACAAAAACUUCCUCCACCAAUUCUCCAUGAAGGAAAGCGCUUCUAACAUCAAGUUGUUGGAUAUUCCAACCUUUUUACGCAACCAUUACAAUCUCCAUCUGGAUUGUAUCCCAUUUUGCAACUGGUGCAAAAACUUCAUUGUAAUCAAUUCCAUAUUUUGCGCAUAUCCCUUCACCACCAAUUGUGCUUUGUAUUUGUCAAUCUCACCAAGGUCAUUUAGCUUGGUUUUGAACACCCAUUUUACUUCGAUCUUCUUUGCACUAACCGAUAAUUCCAUCAAUUCCCAUGUUUCAUUUUUUUUCAAUGGCUUGAAUCUCUAGUUUCAUAGCUUCAAGCCAUUUUUCGCAUACAACAGCUUCUUCAAAAGUGAUUGGAUCUGCUACGAUGUAUAGAACCAAGUUAUUGACUUCUUUGUCUUCAUCAGAAAGGCCUAGUCUUACGCCACUCAGAUAAUCUUUUUGCCACUCUAGUGCUAUUCUAUUCUCCCGUCUAAUCCUCUAUUGAUCUAUAGCUGGAAUGUUCAGACUUGGUGGUUCUUCUCCAACUACUUCCUCUAUGUUUGGUACAAUGAUGUUAUCUUCACUCACAUCAUCCUUAAGAGUAAUAUCUUUCCAUUCCAACUCUUUGUUUGCAUCCUCUGAAAUUUGACUCCAAUCCCAGCCUUUAUCUUUUUCAAAAACAACAUCACGACUUACCACAUUACUCCUAGAAACUAGAUCGUACAAUUGAUAAGCCUUUGAUUCAUUGCUCACACCAAAGAAAACACACUUGUAGCUUUUGUUGUCUAACUUUGUUCUUCUUUGUUCAGGUAUAUGUACAUGGGCAACACACCCAAACACUCAGAAAUGGUCCACAAAAGGUGUAACAUUGCUCCAUACCACUUCUGGUGUUCAUCUAUUCAUGGCUACUGUCAUGCUCCUGUUCAUCACAUGGGUACACCAUUCAAUUGCUUCUGCCUAAAACUCUUUUGGGACAUUUUUUUCAGAUAACAUGCUUCGAAUUGAGUUCAUAAUAGUUAGAUUCCUCCUCUCUGCUACUCCAUUUUGUUGUAAGGUGUAGGCUAUAAUCAAUUGCCUACAAAUACUAUUCUCCAAUCAGAAAUUAUUAAAUUCAUAGGACGUGAACUCUCCACCCUUGUCUAUGCAUAAGCAAGCUAUACACUCACCACUUUCAUUCUCAACAUAUUUUUUAAAGCUCUGAAAUACCUCAAACAUCACUGAUUUGUAAUGCAAGAAAUAGACCCAAAAUUUUUGACAAAAUCAUCUAUAAAACUGAGUGAGUACCUCUUCCCACCUAUAGUAAUCGGUGUAAUUGAUCCACAAAUGUCAAAAUGUAUCAACUGCAAAUUUCUUGAUGCUCUCCAUGAACUUUUCUUUGGCAUUUCCUCCCUAUGUUGCUUUCCGACCAAACAAUGGAGACAUACUUUGUUUGGAAUGUUGAUUGUUGGUAAGCCAUGAACUAACCUUUUAGAUUGCAUCAUACGUAAGCUUUUGUAGUUCAAAUGACCAAACUUGCAGUGCCAUAGAUGAGAGAUAUCUUUUGUGGUAGUUUGGAAGCAUGAUGAAACCAGCAGUUGUGAACAUGGUAAAACAAUAUCUGAAAGUACAAAACGUUCGAUUUCUAGUCAUUUUGGUUGUUACAAUGAGCCCUCUUUGUGGAUAAUACAACUUGCACUCAUCCCCUUGAAUCAAAAUAUCUAUCCCUUUCUCCUAAAGCUGUCCCAUGCUCAACAAAUUAUUUUUUAGAUCUGGAACAAAGAAAACUUCAGAGAUUACCUGUUUAGUGCCUUCAAUCUCUAAUCUAACACUUUUUUUCCCAUUACUACCAUUUUCGUAUCAUUUCCAAGCUUGAUGGAGUGUCGAAAGCUUUGAUCAAGAUGAGAAAACUAAUUUAUUGUUCCCACAUAUAUGAUUCGAGCAUCCCGAAUUAAGAAAUCAUACGCCAUCUUGUUGUGAGUUAUGUGUCUCCACACAUGACAUUAAGAGUUUCUCUUCCUUUUCAUCAAGUCCUACAAAGUUAGCUUUACUCUCACACAUUGGACAUUUAUACUGAAAAUGCCUCAGUUUGUGACAUUUAUAGCAUUCUACCCGUGUUUUGUCAAAUGAUCUCCCUCUGUCUCUUCCAUGUCCUCUAUAUGAAUUUGCGCCACAUCCUCUACUUUCAAACCUUUCGUUACUAGCAACAACUUUUAAGGCAUGAUCUUCUUCUCUUUCCAUUCUCUUAAACUUUUGUUCAUGUACAGAUAAUGAACAUUUCCAUUCAUCAACUGACAUGGUAUGUGUAUCUUUUGCCUCUUCAAUAGAUAUUACCACAUAGGUGAAACAUUAUAUCAAAGUCCACAAAAUCUUCUCCACGAUCACCAAGUCAGACAUGAUCUCCCCAUUGCUUCGUAUCUAGUUUGCUACAACCAUCACUUUAGCAAAAUAAUCUUUGACCAUUUCUCCUUUCUUCAUUUCCAACACCUCAAAUUCUCUUCUUAAGGUGUUGAGAAGAAACCUUUUCACUCUCUCAUUUCCACCAAACUUAAUCUUCAAAGAAUCCAACAUGAUCUAUAGCUUGAUAUAGAUAGUGUUUGACCCUGUGAUCCUUCAUCAUUAUCUUGUCCAUCAGUACUUGUUGCACGAUGGUCUGCACAAUCAUUGUUUCAGGCUCCUCGAAGCCUUUCUCAACUAGAUUCCACAAUCCUUUGAACCUCAACAAAUUCUCCAUCUGCUCACCCCAAUGGUCAUAAUGAAGACCAUCAAAAUGAGAAAUCUUUGUAAGACUACCUUCACUCUUUUCUUCACUCAUAUCCUUUUAUUUCCUCAACAACUUGGCUACCAGAAUGUUAAGUAUAAAAUCAAGUGGAAGCUGGAAAUAAGUGUCACAUUUAUUGAAGAUAGAAAGCUGACUUUUAUAGCCUUACAAAUGACAAAUAUAGAAUCACAACUAACACCUAUAUCGCCUAUAAACAAUGAUCACCACUAGUUUAAACAAAUGUAGAAAGUUGUUCCUAAAGAAUAGGACUUAUUGAAACAGAAAAACAACUUUGAAAACACUAAAUAAUUCAAACAAAUCCAUCUCAGAAAACACAUACAAAAUAUGGGUAUAAAGGCUGCCCCAUAGUAAAUGGCUAAGUUAAUUAUGUUUUAGACCUCCUCAUAUUAUUUUCAAUUUUUUUCAUAUUAAAAUUUUAAAUAUAGACAACUUAACAUUUUUUUUAAAUAUUAUGGGCCGGAUAAAUUAUUUUAUGAACCUUCCUUAUCACAUCAGUCAUGAUCCUUACCAAUUAAAAAUAAAUAUAUCAUCUUUUUUUUUGCAUCAUAUGUACAGCUGGUAAGAAGAGAUCGUGGAUGAUGUGGAAAAAAAAAGAUUAAGUACUUAUUUUUAAUUUGUAGGGACCAUGGAUGAUGUGUUAAGGAGAGCUCAUAAAAUAAUUUUUCUUGUUAUGGUAAUUAUUUGAUACACCACCAAUGGAAUUUCUUGGACUCCAUAAGCGGAUCGAGAGUUUCACAAAUACGACAAUUUUCAGAUAAUUACUUUUUUGAUUUUUUUUAUUACGCCCUAUAAUUCUCAUGUCAAACUCAAAUUAGUGAAAUGAAAGAAACGGAAACAGAUUCUACAAAAUUAGUGAAAGUUAAAGAAAUUGGCACAAUUUCCUUUAAGCAUGUAAUAAUUCAGACUAUGAGGCAAUGAGUUGGAAGUAACUGGAUACAGAUAAAGAAGUUGUUUUUCGUUUUUUUUUUUGUUUUUUUUAAUGAAAGUUGGAGAAUACUUUUAAUGGAAAAUGAGUAUACCUAUUCAUGGGCCUGGCCACCUGACACGACCAGAAGAUCUGCUUGAAAAGUGGUAAGAUUUGACAAAAAUAUAGGCCUAAAAAAUGGGUUUGGCAAAAUCUAAACGGUUUGGAAAAAUCUUAAAAAUUUUAUUUUGUUGUUAAUUUUGCUACUAUUUUAGAGGCAUUUGUGUGUUAAGUUGCACCUAUUUUAGUGUUGUUCAAGUAUAAAGAUUUUUAAAAUUUUAUUUUCAAUUUGUUGGGAAACAUUUAUUUUUAAUGUAUUAUAUUUUUAAAAAAAUACUAUAAAAAUUUUAAUACAAGUGUGCCGGACCCGAGUUUUAGCAUGUUUAUCCGGGUUGAGAUUGGACAAAAUUUUAAGUCAAUUUUUCGAGCCAAACCUAAGCCUGAAAUUUUAUCAAUGCCCACCCCAAACCUGACCUAGUGUAUGAAUAGAUUUAGAAAUGAGUAACGAAAAUCAUGGGGGGGGGGGGGAGUAGGGACCGUUGCUUUUGAAUUUUGAUGCUCUUCAUUUCUCUUGCUUUUUGUCAUUAUCCCAAAUUUCCAUGUAAAGUACCUGAAAUUUUAUGAAAGCCCACCCCAAACCCAACCUAGUGUAUGAAUAGAUUUAGAAAUGAGUAACGAAAAUCAUGGGGGGGGGGGUAGGGACCGUUGCUUUUGAAUUUUGAUGCUCUUCAUUUCUCUUGCUUUUGGUCAUUAUCCCAAAUUUCCAGGUAAAGUAACAUUGACCUUGACCUCCAUAGCAAUACAGCUAACACCAGUACUGUUUUUGGGAUUGAAUCACAAAUAUUUAUAGCAUUCGGCAUAUAUAGAUUUGUAAAUUCUUGCUCUAAUUCACUUGAAUCAAAACUCGACCCAAAUUGAACGUUGAUUGUAGUUAUAUUGUUAUUUAACUUAAUGUUUAUAUUAUUAUUAUUUAAGCUAGUCAGGUUGAUGUCACGAGUUAAUCGGGCAGCAAUUCGAUGAAGAAAAUUAUGAAAAUAUCAUUCUGUAAUUAAAAUAAGUUAAUAUUAUUCGAGGGUACUUUAGUCUUUUUAUUUAAAAAACCAAUAAAAACAUAGGCAUAAGAUAAAUUCCACAGAUACUCUUACUAGAAGUUGGAUUGCAUUUUAUCCAUAUUACUUUUAAAAUUAGUAAAUUAGUCCUUGUAUGUUAGAUUAAAGAGCAAAGUAAUUCUUUCUGUUAAAAAAUUCAUCUAUUUCAACUAUAAAAAUUGAUGUAGCUAACAAAUUAAUCAGACAAUUACUUGUGACAUGCCAACGUACAAUGACCAAUUUUUAAAAAUUGAUGUAGCUAACAAAUUAAUCAGACAAUUACUUGUGACAUGCCAACGUACAAUGACCAAUUUUUAAAAGUAGAUAUGGAUGCACCUUUUAACAUAAGGACUAGUUUGCUCUUUGAUCUAAGGUGUCACUAAUCGCUCCCAUAUAGCUAGCUUCAAAUUAAGUUUUAUUUAUUGCUAAGUCUAUAUUAUCAAAGAUGUUAAUGGGUUGGAUUGGUUGGGUUUAUAUAUGAUAUUAGUACAUUUUAUAUUUGCUCAAGCCCAGUCAAACAUAAAAUAUAGGCUUAAAAAUUUGUCUAAGACUGUCCAUAUUUGUAAAUCACUAACUUAAGCCUGUUUUAAGAGAUUUGUAGAACCGGCAAAUUCGUUCAUCAUGUUCUUGAAGAAAAAUGUUCUAUGUUUGAAAAUUUUUUGUUGAUGUUCAUCCAUGAAGCUUUUCGGAGAUCAUGAUGAGUUGUUAAAAAAAAAAAACGAGUGAAGAAAAUAGUACUAUAGUUGAGAAAUUUUAUUCAAAUAUGUAGAAUGAGUUGCAGUUGGUUGGGUGGACCUACACUGGUGUUUUUCAUGCAUUGGCUUGCUUUUUACACUUUCUUCUAUUCAAUCAUUCUCCGUCUCGUGCCUAUAAAUUUUGUGUUUAAUAAGGCCGCUUAAAAAUUAUUUUGCAUUGAUAAUAUAUAUAUAUAUAUAUAAUAUUAUAUUUUUCCACAACAAAUAUAUAAAAUAAUAUUAUAUGUUGUACUUUUUGCAUAAUUAUAUAAUAAUCUUUUAAUUGCAUGUGUUUUAAGGAUCAAAUUGAUAAAAUAUGUGAGCAUUGAGAAAUAAUGGUGUUAUUAUAGCAUUUAGAAAAGGAUAAUGUCUUCACUUUUAUUAACAGAGAGUGAUCAAAAUAGAAACGAUCUAAAACGUUAUGAAAAAACUAAAAAAAUUAUAUAAUUGAGUAAUAAUUAUAUAAUUCCACAAUAACUAGUCCUGACUCAUAAGUAUAGCUUGGGACACAGCUAAAAAGAGCCAUAAAAUAUACACAAAAUGUUUCAAAGAAAGGCAAAGAUAGGAAUGAAACAAAAACAAAUCAAAUUAGUGCUUUUAUAAGAUGGAAAAUUUUACUAAUUUUAUUUUUAGCAUUAUAAUGUCAACUUUUUAUCUGAAAGUUGUGAAUUUCGUUCUUGUUUUGCGCAAAAUCAGUUUUUUUUUUAUUUUUUUAUUUAAAAUGUUGUCGAUGUUGUUUGGUAUAUUUUCUGUUAAGAGAUUCUUUGAUAAAUUUAAUGAUAGUAGUCCAACGAGACUUCCAAUUGGGAUCUCUCUUGUGAGAGUAGUAGCUGAAAUGUUUAUGUUGGUAACAAGUCUUGAUGUGAUAUUGUAUUCAUCUUCUCAUCCUUUCUGCACCAAUAAUGUACUCAAAAAGUAAGAGGCAAUCAGAUGAAAUAGCAGGACCACCACGCAGCAUCAUGCUUAAUUUUUGUGGCCAUUGCACUUGAAUUAGUGAAACAUUUCGAAAUAGCUCUUGAAAUCUUGUUAUGGGAAAGGUCUAAGUUUUUAAGAUUUUGAAGAGCACAAAUUUUAUGAGGCCAUCAAGUUUAUUUAAUCGUAGGCUUCAAACCACAAGUCUAGUGUCUUGAGAGCUUGUCACCACUGAAAUGAUUUUCAUUGAAAUCAAGAAUGACCAAACUUGAAAAUAUUGCAAUGUGGAUGGUAAUUUUCCAAACAUGCUAUUGUUUUGAACGUUUAGCCUUAGAAGAUUUGCAUAUCCCGGAUAAGGUGGGAUUUUCUAAUCCCAAAAACGGAAGAUUCCAUCAAUUUGGAAUUUUUCCAAAUAGGAGAUUUCUAUCAACGUAAAGACCUGUCAUUUGUCGAUCUCCUAAUGAGUUACAAACCAAUUCAGAAAGGGUGGAAAUCCCCCCAGUAGGGAAACUUCCAAGAUAAGAUACCAUUGACUCAAUUCAAUAAUUCCACAUUGAAACAAGGGAAUCCAACUUAAGUUUGGUUGAAAUCUCAAACAUGUGUUUUGGAUGCCUUCAAUGUUGCAAAAUUCGUGAGAUUAGAAAAGUAGGCUUCUAAAACAACUCCUUUGAACAGAUUAUGCCCAAAUGGAAAAGUACCACUUAAUUGAUUUUCUAAAACAUCAAAGAACUUCAAAGAUGAUUACUCCCCUAUAGACAAUAGAAUUGGACAGGAAAGCUAGAAUUUUUUUUUUUUGAACAAAGGAAAGCUAGAUUUUUAAGUCAAUUAAAUGGCCAGAAAGUUGAUUAUCUACGUAUUCAUCGACUUUAAGCAAUCUAAACAACAUCUAGACAAACUCUGCAGGAUUUCUGAUGUCUUGAUCAAUUUUAUUAUUCGAAAGAUCAAGAUGAAUAACAAAGCUCAAGUUUCCAAUGGCACUUCAAACGUUAUCUUGUAAAUUGUUUUUUUUUUUUUGAGUAAGGUUAUCUUGUAAAUUGUUAUAGUGAAGACUAAGGAGUCGAAAUUUGAGACGAUUGGAGCUAAGGACAAGAACUUCUAGAAACGAGAUAUUCCCAAAGUAAUCUGGAUUUGGGCCUUUCAAAUAAUUGACACUAUGAUCAAUAAGACUAAAUAUCAAGUUAUCUUCUAGAAUACGUUUUAUUUGGAGGGGGUAUCCUCACAUUUAUGAGUGCCAUGUUUAGUGAUAGUUAUUGCACCGUCAAUUUUUUCAUACCCUGUUGAAAUUAAAGUGGAUUUUAGGCUCUAAUAUAUAUUUAGGGAAUUGUUCUAUUUUCGAUGUUGAAUUGUGAUGCAUCUUGGAUGGUUUGAUCCUCCUAUGUGAUCAUGGCUACGACAACAUUUUAAUUCUAACUUAAUCAAGAAAACCUAUCAAUUGCUGUUACAAUUUGAGCACUGGCACGUUUGGCACAAAUCCAGAAAUGACAAUCAAGAUGCUAAUAGACUGGUUAAACUAACUCACCAUAAAUUAUAUGAUUCAUGCUUGUAUGAGACCUCCCCGGAAGGCGGUUUAAAUUUUGUAACUAGUUUAGGUAUUCUUUCUGUAAAAAAAAAAAAAAAAAAACAAAGUAAUUAUUUUUAUCAUGCAAUAUUAAAUGAAAGAGAUUAUAGCAAUACUUCUUCUAGAGGCACGUGCACAUGGACAUGCUUUUAACGUGUGCACGUCAUUUAUAUAUUUAUCUUCCAUCGAGUGUCAUCAGUUUAAUUGGAGAUUAAAAAAAAUUCCAAAAAGAAAACAUGAAUAACUAUCAUUCGAUAAAUUUGUUCUGAGAGUCGAAGCAUAACUAUACCAUUAGAUAUAACGGGCACAUUGUAGUAUUUGUUUUCAUACUUUUUUUUUAACUUCAAAUUAUUCUAACAAAUUUCAAUGCCUAUAAGAUUUUCCUUAAAUUACACUAAAAAUUAUUAAAAAUUAUUAAUAAAUUUACGCUUUUAAAAAUUAUAGAAUCACUUAACUUCAAAUUACUUGAGUUACGUCCACCAAUGUUUUUUUAUUAGAUUAACUUUAACAAAAUAAUCCCAAUUAUAUUUACAAAAUUAAAAUGUGACAUUAUAAUAAAUAUAUCUGGACGAGGUAGAAAUUUGACUCUAAAAUUUUUAUUGAAAAACUCUAUCCAACUUGCUCCAAACUCAAUUUUUAAAAACAAAAAAACAAUCUUUGUUUGGCCGGGGUGGAUGGAAUCCCAGCAACUUAAUGGACUUUUGACAACCUCAAUUUCAAAUAUAGGUAUGUAUUUGAUAUGAGUAUAUUAAAAUAAUCCUCACGUACAAAUCCGAAAGAAAACUUAUGUCAAAACUCUCCGCAUGAGAUAUAUCCACGGGAGAUAAUUACAAGAAAUCUUCAAGUAUAAGUUUAUUUUACUUGAUGAUAACGGGCGAAUGGUUGAAAUUAAGCUCAGGGUCAAAAUUGAUUAUCUAAUGGAACUACAUGACUUGGUGUGGGUCUAAUGCUAUAAGAAUUUUGUAUUAUAUUGAUCGACAAAAUAGCCCAAAAAUUGCAAAUAGCUGCGCAAACAUAAGGUUGCAAAGAAUUGCGGCCUUUAAUUUUAUUUUUAAGUUAUCAAUUCUUUUAUUAGUAUGAACAAUAAAUUAAAGGUAUGGCUAGUGACAUUGAUAUGGUGACCUACUUCAAGUGAACUGGCUAUUUAUAUUAUUUUAAAUGAAAACAUAACUAUUGAAUAUCAGAGUAAUAUAGGACAAACCAUGACCCAACAUCAUAGCAAAACACAUGACAGUAAACAAAUCUUCACCCAAUGCUUUAGCAAUAGAUUCAGCCACAACAUUAGUUAUAUUCUCAGGAUAUAUUAACCAAAUCCACACUCUCAAUUAUAUCUAUGUAUGAAGAAUCUAAUUGAAGACAUGUAACAACUUAUUAAUAGAGUUAGAAUUUUUUUUUCUUUUCAUUAUGUAUCAAUCAUUUUUCUUAUUGCAUAAAAAAAAUCAAUUUUAUAAGUUUGUAGGGAAUCAGAAGGGCAUAGACAUGAGUUUUGGCCUCUCAAAGUUAGAAAAUUUUUAAUUUUGUUUUUUAUAAAUAAAAAAAUUAUAAGUCAAUAUAUAGUGAAAUUAUAAUUUCAUCUCUAAAAUAAAAAAAAAAUCAAUUCUAUCCUCUUAUGAAUAAAGAAAUUAUAAACUAAUAUAUAGUAAAAUUGUACUUUAGCCCUCAUAAAAAUGAAAUAAUUUUUGCUUAAUCCCUUUAAAAAUGAUAAAAUUAUAAAUUAAUACGUAAUAAACUUCUAUUUUGAUUCAUGAAAAAACUAUAAUUAUAUUCCUACUCCUGCUAUUUUUUUUUUGAUUCACCCCUUUCUUGAUUGGAACAUUUUCUUACUAACCAACAAAAGCAAAUGGUUGAGCAACCCUGAAAUGUCUAAAUCAUGGUCUUUGCAAUUUGCUAAGGCAUUGAUUGAAUACCACCAAAGAAUCUCUUUCUCAUCUUCCCUUUGAAGUAAUGGAUUAAAACUAUAUACGUGGAAUAACUGGUAAUUUAUACCAUUCCUUUUCAUUUUAAUGAUUAGUUUUUACUUAAAUAAUGUUUAAGAUAAGAUUUGAAUCCUUGUAAUUUUCUUGUCUCAAUGAAUUUGCUUCAAGUUACAUUGGGUUUAAAUAAGGGUGUACGGAAGGGUUUUAAAAAAUCAGAUCCAGACAAUGACGCUCGUAUUUAUCUAUAAUUUGGACGAAAUAGCCAAUGAAAGGAGAGAGGAACCUUUGGUUUUCUUAACGAAAACAAAAUACUAUUUAUUCAUACAACACGUAUGGUAGACAUGUACAUAUGCACAGAAGCUUAUGCUAUAAGAAUCUUUGAUCCCCUGGAUUCCUAGAUAUGAACCAAAGCCCUAAAUAGUGAAAAAUAUGGCCAUUAUUUUGACCGUAUUCCUUUUUCUGUGAAUUGUUAUCAUCUAGAUAUUGUUGGUAAAUAUAAGAAGCAAAUCCCCAAAGAGUGAACAACAUUGCCAAUACCUUAUUUGCAUCCAUUUUCUCCUUAUAAAACAGAACACCAACAACUGGAACAAAUGGCAAACUAAGCAUACUCACAACAUUUGAGAACAAAGAUGACACCAAAUAGAUCAAUCCCACAACUCCCACUGUAAAAAUCUGUCAUGCCAAAGUUGUUCCAAUCAAACUCACUACAUAAUUCACCUUCCCUUUAUCAAAUUUCUCCAUUUCGGACUUUAAAUCCAUUAAAUUCACACUUGAAAACAACCCCAACAAGCAAACGAAACUCGAAACCAAUUAAGUGUAAAUAUGCAUUUCAAACACAACACUAAAUGUCUCCUUUUUGAGUAUUUUGUCAAAUGAGAAUUGUGUUAGAGACAGCAAUAAUGCAUAGCUUGCUGAAGCACCAACUGUUGAUAUAAACCCAACGGUGUGUUCAUUCUUUCCUACUGGAUUUUUCUCAUCUCUUUUGGUCUCUGAACUGUCGGGAUGAAUUGCAACCAUUGAAGCUAAUAUGGUAAUGUAGAUGAUCGACUUAAGCGUUAGGAUACCAAGCUUUUCGGAGUUGAUAACCACUGAAAAGAUGGCGUCGAAUACAAUUGGCUUGCACAAAUGAGGGAAUAUGUUGAAAUGGAAAGUGGUUUAACACCAACUGUAUACAUGAAGUUAUCAAUGACUAGCAGACAACCGUGGGAAAAGUAGACCACAUAAUGAUUAUGUUUGUUGAAGUUAGUUCCAAUGCAGCUAGCUGAUCACAAAGGUGGCCAUGCACAAAUGACAGUAAGCAGUUGAGCCAUGGUGUGCAGCAGCUGAAGCUUGAAGUUGCUGAAUUACUUGGUGCAUUUAGUUGUUUUAAUUCUUUUGUAAUUUAGUUCAUGUUGAACUAAGUAGGUGAAUGUUUUGAUGUAAUUUUGAUGUUGAUUGACUGAAAAAUCAGCAAAGUAAUAUGUGCAAGCUAAUCUUGUAAGUUUCAAUGCAUAUUAGUGGUGUUAGGUAGUUGAUUAGGAGAUUACUUGUUUGUUUUUAAAAGUUUGCUGAUAUAUGUAAUGGCUUAAUGCCUCAUUCUCUUGUUAAUGAAAAUUAUCAGUUGAUUUCCAUUAAAAUUCUCUCUUUUCUUUUCUGGUUUUCCACUUGCAAGCUUCUUUUCUGUUUUCUUUCUUGUUUGUUUCUUCUCCAAGCCUCGAGGCUUGCUGUCCAAGCAAGACCAAAAGUAGUCUGCAGCUGUCUCUAACACCAACAAUUGGUAUCUAGAGCAUUUGUCUUAGUGGACCUAUUGUAUCAAACCAAGAAACUAGAAUGGCUUCUUCAGAAUUUUCACCAGCAGCCCCACCAGUCUUCAAUGAAGAAGGCUUCCGCAUAUGGUUGGUAAAGAUGAAGACUUACCUGUAGGCCUUUGAUCUGUGGGAAGUUGUCAACACAGAUGCUGAGCCAGCACUACUGAGGGCCAAUCCCACAGUAGCUCAGAUCAGACAACAUGCUGAUGAGAGGACCAAAAGGCACAAAGCCAUGUCCUGCAUUCAGAACUGUGUGUCAGAUGUCAUCUUCACCAGAAUUAUGGCCUGUGAGACUCUAAAACAGGCCUGGGAUAAGCUUAAAGAGGAGUUUCAAGGCACAGAGAGGACAAGGCAACAACAGCUGCUUAAUUUGAGAAGGGAUUUUGAGAAUCUACAGAUGAGGGAAGAAGAAAUAGUGAAGCAGUAUGCAGAUAGAAUCAUGGCUGUGGUUAACAGCAUAAGGCUCCUAGGUGAGCACUUUGAUGAGGUAAGAAUCAUGGAGAAAGUCCUCUCCACUUUGCCUGAGAGAUAUGAGGCAAAUAUAUCCUCCUUAGAGGAUUCAAGAGAUCUAGCUAGCAUCUCUUUGACUGAGCUAAUCAACACCUUUUAUGCUCAGGAACAAAGGAGAGCUAGCAAGGUUGAAGACCACCAGAAAGGUGCAUUUCAAGCCAGAGCCAGAGAAGCCUCGAGCACCAAUGCUCAUAGAGGCAAAAAGCCCUGGAAAAACAGGCCUAAGUCUGAUGCUGCUAGAAGCAGUGACCAACCCUGCAGACAUUGUACAAGGGUUGGUCAUCGAGAAGAUAGAUGCUGGUUUAGACCAGAUGCAGUAUGCCAACACUGCAAGAAGAAGGGCCAUGUUGAAAAGGUUUGCAAGAACACAAACAAACCAAGGCAAAGUCAAUUUCAGCAACCAAAGGCUGAAGCUCGAGUGGCUGAAGACAGUAGUGACCAAGAGGAGCAGGUCUUUGCUGUGUCCUGCUCAGCUGCUGAGAAGAAAUGCUCAAAAGACUGGCUACUGGACAGUGGCCUAACCACAUGUCACCAGAUGCAUCCUUGUUCAAAACCUUGGACAGAAGCUGCAAAACCAAGGUUAAGGUUGGAAAUGGUCAGUUUAUAAAGGCUAAAGGAAAAGGAGAUGUGCUAAUAUGCACUUCUACAGGCAACAAGGUCAUCUCAAAUGUGUUAUUGGUGCCUGAGAUUGACAAAAACCUUCUCAGCAUAGCUCAAUUGCUCGAGAAAGGCUAUUUAGUUAUGUUCAAGGACACACAGUGCCAGAUUGCUGAUCCAAGUGGAUCAAGCCUCAUGACAGUUAAAAUGACUGACAAAUGCUUUAAGGUUCAUUGGCCAAAUGACUCAAAGUCAGCAUACACAGCCUCUACAGAUGAUUCCAAGCUCUGGCAUUAAAGGCUUGGACAUGCCAACUUCUGGUUGAUGGCUCGAAUGGCCAGAGAGGGCUUGGUUAAGAAUUUUAUCAACUCAGUGGAGCAUGAUGAUGUAUGUGAAGUUUGACAGAUGAGGAAAUAGGCAAGACUGCCAUUUCCUACAAACUCAGCAUGGAGAGCCACUGAAAGAUUGCAGCUGGUGCACCCUGUUGUAUGUGGACCUAUGAGGACUGAAUCACUUAGCAAAAAUAGGUAUUUCAUCCUCUUCAUUGAUGAUUUUACAAGGUUUUGCUAGAUUUUCUUCUUGAAACACAAGUUUGAGGUAGCUCAAGUGUUUGUGAAGUUUAAAAUUGCUGUUGAGACAGAAACAGGCUGCAAGCUGAAAUCGAUAAGGUUAGACAAUGGCACUAAGUACACUUCAGCUCAGUUCCAAGCCAUUUGUAGUGAUGCUGGUAUCAAACACCAGCUAACAAAUGUGUACACACCUCAGCAGAAUGGGGCAUCUGAAAGGAUGAACAGAAGCCUGUUGGAUAUGGCCAGGUGUCUGCUAUUUGAGAAGAAACUGGCCAAAACCAUGUGGGCUGAGGCAGUAAACACUACUGUUUACCUUCAAAAUAGGCUUCCAAUCAAGGCCCUUGCUCACAAGACACCUUUUGAGGCAUGGUUUGGUUUCAAACCUUCAUUGGCACAUCUAAAGGUGUUUGGUUGUCUGUGCUAUGCACAAAUACCAGCAGUAAAGAGGGACAAGCUUUCAAAGAGAGCUCAGCCUGGCAUUUUAGUAGGCUAUAGCUCAGUCAAGAAGGGCUACAGGGUUUUGGAUCCCUUGACAAGAAAAAUUCAAGUAAGCAAAGAUGUUAUCUUUGAUGAAAAUGCAUGCUGGAAUUGGGAGAAGAAUGAACCAGAAGCUAUUUCAGAAGACUUGGUGCCUAAUCAAGCUGAACUCGAGCAGCUUAGUCCUGAAAUGGACAUUGAUGAUGUACCUGUGAGAGGCACAAGGUCCCUAGAUGAAAUUUAUGAAAGAGCACAGGUUGCUAUGGCAGAACCUACCAGUUUUGAAGAGGCUGAGGCAGAUGAAGGCUGGAAACAGGCUAUGGUUGAUGAAAUCAACAUGAUUCAGAAGAAUCAGACAUAGGAAUUGGUUGAUAAGCCUACUGGAAAGAAGACCAUUGGAGUGAAAUGGGUCUAUCGAGCAAAACAAAAUGCUGAUGGCAAUCUAAACAAGCUGAAAGCUAGGCUUAUUGUAAAAGGCUUCAGCCAAAGGUAUGGCCUGGACUACCUAGAGACUUUUGCACCAGUAGCCAGGCUUGACACAGUCAGAAUGAUAGUUGCCUUGGCUGCUCAAAAUUAGUGGACCAUUCAUUAGCUUGAUGGGAAGUCUGUAUUUCUCAAUGGUUUCCUAGAAGAAGAGAUCUACAUCGAGCAACCUUAAGGAUUUGUAGUCACUGGCAAAGAACACACGGUGUAUAGGCUAAAAAAGGCCUUGUAUGGCCUGAAGUAGCCACCUCGAGUCUGGUAUGCUCAAAUUGACUCCUAUAUGAUCAGUUUGGAAUUCGAGAGAAGUGAUAGUAAACCAACUUUGUAUGUGAAGAAAAAUCAAGCUGAAACUCAGCUUAUCUUGUCACUUUAUGUUGAUAAUCUAUUAGUUAUUAGAGGAGACAAGGGUAUGUUGCAUGACUUCAAGAGAAAAAUUAUGAAAAUGUUUGAGAUGUCUGAUCUAGGCAGAAUGAAUUACUUCCUAGGAAUGGAAGUGAAACAGACUGCAAAUGGAAUCUUUCUCAGCCAGAGUUCCUUUGCUAUGAAGGUCUUAAACAAAUUCUCUAUGAAGAACUGUAAACCAACAAGCACACCAAUGGCAGUUGGUAUGAAGCUAUCAAGACAGAGCAGUGGUGAACCAGUUUGUGAGACAAUGUACAAGAGUCUCAUUGGUAGUCUGCUGUAUUUGACUGCAACAAGGCCUGAUAUUAUGUUUGGUGUUAGUAUGCUAUCUAGAUUCAUGAAUUGCUGCAAUGAUCAGUACUUUCAAGCAGCUAAAAGAGUGCUGAGGUACAUCAAAGGCACCAUUGAUCAUGGUGUGUUGCUCAAAAGGGCUAAAAACAUGAAGCUGACAAGCUAUGUUGAUAGUGACUGGGCUGGAUCAUGUGAUGACAUGAGAAGCACAUCUGGAUAUGCAUUUAGCCUUGGCUCAGGCAUGUUUUGCUGGAGUUCUAAGAAGUAGAGUCUGGUGGCACUGUCAACAGCAGAAGCUGAAUAUGUUGCUGCUGCAUCUGCUGUGAAUCAAGCCAUAUGGCUUAGAAAAAUCUUGGCUGAUUUAAACCAAAACCAAGAAGGAGCAGCAGAGAUCUACUGUGACAACAAAUCUACUGUUGCAAUUGCAAAGAAUCCCAUCUUCAAUGGCAGAACGAAGCAUUUCAAUAUUAAGUUACAUGUUGAUGCGGUUGUUGAAAGCACCAAAAAUAUCCUAUCCCUAAUAAAUAAUGAAAAAGAAUAGUAAAAGGGAAGUAGGGUCAAAUCCUCAAGGACUGGACUUGCAAAAUAUCUUGUUCUGUGAAAUCUCAGGCAGAGUAUUAGCCAAGACAACCUACGUUCCGGGAAAAAAAAUAAAAACAAUAACAGAAUUAAAGGGUUGGAUUUGGAAACGAAAAAUAAAAUAAAAAUAGAAUUAAGAAUAUUGAAUCAAAAAUUAGAAAAAUUAAAAAUAGAGUUGAGAGAAAGAAAAUUCUUAUGGGAGAUUCUAGCCUCCAGUUGUCUCGUUCCACCUUGGGUUUAAUCCUUGGCUUUUAGAUGAUCCUUCUCAAACCGAAUAAGCCAGUUAUAGUGGAAGAGGACGCCUACGACCAUUAACUCCAUGGAUUUAGACUUACGAUGUGGUGGAACCUGACUCUAGCCAACAAUCGCUUCUGUGGGAUCGUCUUAUGCUAGAUCAACGCUUCUCAAUGGCGAAUCCCACGCCAUUUUGUCUCUUUGGCUCACCAACCUCUGACGCAGUAAGCUAACGAACCGACUGUGCAACAUUCCCAAAACAUACAAAGCGGCCGCCUUUGCAUACGUUGAAAAGCUUACUUCUUAAGGGACAUGGACGGAAGCGUCAGCCCCGUAGUGUGGAGAAACGAUGAAUACUCAGUGAGGAGGCUAAGUACGAAUUCUAAGCCUCAUGAACUCUUUUGGGGAUUUUUGACAACCUUGGGCUAGAUGGGUUUAGUGGCUCAUGGUUGUGAUAGAAAAGAAAAGAAAUAAAUAAAUAAAUAAAUAAAUAAAAAGAUUUUAUUAAAAAGAAGAACAAAAGCCUAAACUUUUGGGGAGAGAGUGUUUUCAGAAAAAUAUAGGGAUCCCCUUUUGAGUCACUUCACCCCCUAUUUAUAGUGCUAGGGGAGAUAUUAUAAUCCUACUUAAAUUCCUAAAAGAUAAAUACAUUUAAUUGAAGAUAAAUAAAGAUAAAAUAAAAUCCUAAAAAUAAUCCUUAAUAAUUAUCUCAAUAUUAAUUAUCCUAAUAUAAUUAAAAUAGAGUUUAAUAGAAUAAAAUCUCUUCUUUUUGUAUUUCAACCCUUGUGUCCUCCAUGCUUGCAGUUUUGGCACCAACUUUUCCUUGUGUCGCAUAUUGGCCCAUUUUAUCUCUAAAUUCACGCUUUUGGCCCUUAAUUUCACUUUUGCCUCAAAUUCAGUCCCUAUGAGAUAAAAGAUCAUAAAUAGCUCAAAUUAGCAGGAUCAUACUCAGAAUAAAUACAUAAUUAAUACAUAAAAAUACGUUAUUCUAGAGUGUUAUCAAAUCCCCCUACUUAGCCCAUGCUUGCCCUCAAGUAUGGUUCCUAUCUACUGUGAAAGUUAGAUUCUACCAUAAAAGAAAUACUACUUCAAAGUUUUAUAAAAAUCAGUCAAAAAUGUAUAUGAAAAAUAAAGAAAACCCUAAGCUUGCUUUAAGUAAAAUAAAAAAAGCUUUCCAAUUAAUACACACAAAAAUUAGAAUCGACUUUAAUUAUUUAAUGAAAAUUAGGGAAAUUACCAAACCUACCAAGACACCCUAUUUGUUUCCUCCUUUAGUCCCCAAUAUAUAUAUAUAUAUAUACCACUCUAGAAUAACGUAUUUGAAGUGGUAUUUCUUUUAAGUAUGGUUCCUAUCUACUGUGAAAGUUAGAUUCUGCCAUAACAGAAAUACCACUUCAAAGUUUUAUAGAAAUCAGUCAAAAAUGCAUAUGAAAAAUAAAGAGAACCCUAAGCUUGCUUUAAGUAAAACAGAAAAAGUUUUUCAAUUAAUACACACAAAAAUUAGAAUCAACUUGAAUUAUUUAAUGAAAAUUAGGUAAAUUACCAAACCUACCAAGACACUCUAUUUGUUUCCUCCUUUAGUCCCCAAAUUAUUAUUUUUCUUUUUUUUUGUUUUUUUCUCUUUUUUUUAUGCUUUAGGAAUAUACUGAACCUUUUGACGCGAAGAGAGAUGACAGCCAAGCACCCCACCCCGGUUACUCAGCCCAGCAAACUCCUAAUUUAUUAUAAUUUUUCUUAAGAACACAUCAAACCUUUUGACGCGAAGAGAGAUGACAGCCAAGCACCCCACCCCGGUUACUCAGCCCAACAUGUUCUUAAAAACUAAUUCUGGUUAGCGGAGUUUUACCUAACACGUCACACAACCUUUUGAUGCGAAAUAGGAUGACAACCCAAGCACCCUACCCCGGUUACUCAGUCAGUCACGUUUUUAAACUGCACUCAUAACCACAGAAAUAUUAAACGACAUUUUAAUAAUAACUUUUUUUAUGAGGACUUUAGAGAAAUAAUAAUAAUCAAGUGUCAAAAAUAAGUUUCAGUAAUUACAUUAAUAGUCAUCAACAUAUUUUAGCAUGCAAACAUAUUAAGUGUCCACUUUGUAUUUAAACUUGAUCAAUUUUACGAAAAGCAAGAUAAAGUUAACUUUAUGAAUCACAAUUAUUUUUAGUCUGAUAAGAAUAAAACAGUGGAGAUGGCAUCAAUUAUGGAAAAUUCAUAAUUUUCUCAGAUAACAAGAAUCAUGCUUGUAAGUCAAACCAUAGGCAAUUCUUGGUAAAAAUCUUGGGCAUGAAAAGAGGCAGGAGAUUCUAAAAAAAAUAAAUAUGGACAAAAUGGAGCCUCAAGUAGCAACACCAGCCAAAAAAAAUAAUCACAGCAACAACCAAAAUCACAGCAGAAAAUGAUAGUGAUAACGAAGAGUACCUCCCCCCUACUUAAAGCACAUUGUCCUCAAUGUGGAUGAAAAGAAAUAAAUAGGUAGAAAAGUUUAGAAAAACUCCCCGUGUUGUUACUGUCGAUCGCAAAUGAUGGCAAUGAGCUUGGUCAGUUGCUGGCCAAAAGUUUCAAGUCAGGCCUCAAUGCGCUUUAAGCGUUGCUCAACGGUUUUUUUCGCAUUUUCGCUCUGUUUUAUCUAAGCAAAAGAAGAAAAAUUUAUUAAUAUCCAAAUAAGUAAAAUAAAAUAAAAGAAAGUAAUAAAUAAACUAAAAAUAAAAAUAAAAAUUGGGUUGCCUCCCAACAAGCGCUUGUUUAACGUCGUUAGCUCGACGCCGUUAUUGGUUCUAUGGUGGUUCCAAAUGGAUUUUUUCAACUGUGUGGGCUUGAAAAUUCUCAUAAAACGGCUUCAACCGCUGGCCAUUGACUACGAACCGCUUUCCAGAUUCUUUACUCUCUAUUUCAACUACUCCAUGUGUGAACACUUUAGUAACAAUAAAAGGUCCCUACCAUUGUGAUCGAAGCUUACCUGGGAAUAACUUUAACACGGAGUUAUAAAGUAAAAGUUUUUGUCCUACCAAAAAAUGCUUCUGAGCUAUUCUCUUAUCGUGAAACAACUUUGUCUUGUCUUUAUAAAUGUGAGCAUUCUCGUAGGCAUCAUUGCGAAUUUCUUCUAACUCUUGGAUGUCUAAUUUCCUUGCCUGUUCUGUGGGUUCUAACUCCAACUCUGGUGCCUUUAUAACAGAAGGUAACAAUUUAGUAUUUGAAGAUGAUAACUCGUUAACAAAUUCAAAUUCAUUAAGUUCAGAAUUAUCUCCAUAAAUUGACUCAAAAUUCUCUUCCACCAAAGAGUCAAUUAUGUCAAUACGAUUUACGCACAAGAUUUCGCUUGGAUGGCUAAUGGCAUCGUAGACAUUAAACUUUACGAUCUCCCCAUCAAACUCCAUCGUGAGAGUUCCACUUCGAACAUCAAUUUUAGUACUAGCUGUACUAAGGAACGAUCGACCCAAUAGGAGAUCUGAAGAUCCAGGAGUGCUAUCCUCCUCCAUUUUGAUCACAUAAAAAUCUGCAGGGAAAAUAAGCUUGUUAACUUUUACCAGAACAUCCUUAAGGACUCCUUCUGGAUGCACAACAGACCUGUCUGCCAAUUGAAUGAUAACACCUAUUUUUGUCAAGAAACCCGCGUUAAGUGAUUCAUAAAUAGAAUAUGGCAUUACAUUUAUAGAAGCCCCUAGAUCACACAUAACCUUCUUAAUUCCCAGAUGGCCUAUUUUGCAUGGUAUUGCAAACAUGCCCCUAUCCUUACAUUUUGUUGGCAUUUUCCACUGUAACACUGCGAAUACAUUCUCACCAACAUUCACCCUUUCAUAACCUGUUAAUUUUCGCUUGUUGGUGCAAAGCUCUUCAAGAAAUUUAGCAUACCGCGGUAUUUGCUUGAUGGUGUCCAACAGUGGAAUGUUGAUCUCGACAUUCCUAAAUGUUUCAAGAAUUUUCUUAUCCUCUUUACCUCCUCGAAAUUGGUUGAAUCAUUCUGGAAAUGGAGGUUGAAUUUUAGGAAAUAGAGGCUUCGGUCGGACCUGUUCAUCUUUUUCAGGUUUUUCCUGGGUGAUUUCUUGGGCAAGAUUCCUGUCAGGAAUUGGUUCCAGUACCUUUCCGCUUCGCAACGUCACUGCAUUUGCAUUUUGUCUAGGGUUUGGUUCUGUUUGUGACGGCAGCUUCCCUUGAGAGGUUAAUUUCUCGAUCAAUGUGGUCAACUCUCUAAUGGACGCCUCAGUUUUCUGUUGGAAAUCCUUCAUCUCUUUUUGGAAAUUAAGAUUUUGCUGCUGAAAAUCAAGAACAUUAGUUGCUAACUUAUUGACCAUGGUUUCUAGAAAAUUACCUGAACCUUGCGGUUGUUGCGGAAACUGAUUUUGGUAUGGCUGGUUAUUUCGUGGAUUUGCACCAUAACUUAAGUUAGGAUGAUCCCUCCACCCUGGGUUGUAGGUAUUAGCGUAGGGGUCGUAUUGCCUUUGUGGCGGCCCAGGGAAAUUUUCCACAACAUUCAGAUGGGCCAUGGUUUCAUCAUACAAACUGGGACAUGCAUCAGUUGCAUGAUCAGGUGUAGCACAUAUUCUGCAUAAUCGAGCUGUCUUCACUUUUUCUGCAAUAAGAGAAUUCAUCAUAUUAGCAAGUCUAUCAACUUUAUCCUCUAAGGUUGAAUUACUUAGUUGGUGAACCCUUCUAGGGGGUUCAAUAUUGGCUCGGAACUGCUGAGAAUUUGCAGCCAUCGUGGAGAUCAAGUCUCUCGCUUGUUGGGGAGUCAUGUUGACCAAUGCUCCUCCACUAGCAACGUCUACCAUAUUCAUCUCCAUGGGCUUCAAACCUUCGUAAAAGUAUUGGAGGAGAGAUUGCUCUAUUAUACCAUGUUGUGGACAGCUUGCACACAACUUUUUAAAUCAUUCCCAAUAAUCGUAAAGGGACUCAGCUUCUUUUUGUCUUAUUCUAACGAUCUCUCUUCUUAGCUCAGCUGCCCGAGAUGCUGGAAAAAACCUGUUCAGAAAUAAAUGAGAUAGAUCAGCCCAAGUUGUAAUAGAUCCAGGGGGUAAAUAAAAUAACCAUUCCUUAGCGGAAUCUGCUAGGGAGAAAGGGAAAGCACGCAAUUUAAUCUGAUCCUCAGUUACCCCCUGAGGUUUCAUGCUAAGACAAACCAUAUGAAAUUCUUUCAGAUGCUUGUGGGGAUUUUCAUUUUGUAACCCACGAAAAGUUGGCAAUAACUGGAUUAAACCUGUCUUCAACUCAAAAUCAGUAUCCAUAGUAGGAUACGCGAUGCACAAUGGCAGUUGUUCUAUCAGAGCUUCGGCCAGUUGCCGAAUUGUUUGAGCCAUUGGUUGGUAUGCUAGAUUCGGGUUUUCGUUAACCCUAGCGUUAAGCACUUCUUCUGGUGAGUCGACUUCUACUUUUUCGCUUUCAAGUGUUCGAGUAGGGUUUUCGUUAACCCUAGACUCAGCUUCGUCGUCAACUUCGAUUUUUGGCGGUGGGUUACUUUGAGUUCCAACCACCGCUGACUUCUUUUUUCGUAACUUUGUCUCCUUGCGAUUGGCUCUAGCAGUCUUCUCAAUUUCUGAAUUGAACUCAAGAGUACCUGGAGCAGAUCUGGUCAUAAGAAACAAAAAACAAGAUUAGUACGUUGCCAGUCCCCGGAAACGGCGCCAAAAUUUGAUGCGGUCGUUGAAAGCACCAAAAAUAUCAUAUCCCUAAUAAAUAAUGAAAAAGAAUAGUAAAAGGGAAGUAGGGUCAAAUCCUCAGGGACUGGACUUGCAAAAUAUCUUGUUCCGUGAAAUCUCAGGCAAAGUCUUGCCCAAGACAACCUGCGUUCCUGGAAAAAAAUAAAAACAAUAAUAGAAUUAAAGGGUUGGAUCUGGAAACGAAAAAUAAAAUAAAAAUAGAAUUAAAAAUAUUGAAUCGAAGAUUAGAAAAAUUAAAAAUAGAGUUGAGAGAAAGAAAAUUCUUAUGGGAGAUUCUAGCCUCCAGUUGUCUUGUUUCAAUCCUCAGCUUUUAGAUGAUCCUUCCCAAACCGAAUAAGCCAGUUAUAGUGGAAGAGGACGCCUACGACCACCAGCUCCAAGGAUUUAGACUUAUGAUGUGGUGGAACCUGACUCUAGCCAACAAUCGCUUCUGUGGGAUCGUCUUAUACUAGAUCAACGCUUCUCAAUGGCGAAUCCCACGCCAUUUUGUCUCUUUGGCUCGCCAACCUCUGAUGCAGUAAGCUAUCGAACCGACUGUGCAACCUUCCCAAAACAUACAAAUUGGCCGCCUUUGCAUACGUUGAAAAGCUUACUUCUUAAGGGACAUGGACGGAAGCGUCAGCCCCGUAGUGCGGAGAAACGAUGAAUACUCAGCGAGGAGGCUAAGUACGAAUUCUAAGCCUCAUGAACUCUUUUGGGGAUUUUUGACAACCUUCGGCUAGAUGGGUUUAGUGGCUCAUGGUUGUGGUAGAAAAGAAAAGAAAUAAAUAAAUAAAUAAAAAGAUUUUAUUAAAAAGAAAUAUGAAAAGAACAAAAGCAUAAACUUUUGGGGAGAGAGUGUUUUCAGAAAAAUAAAUGGGAUCCCCUUUUGAGUCACUUCACCCCCUAUUUAUAGUGCUAGGGGAAAUAUUCUAAUCCUACUUAAAUUCCUAAAAGAUAAAUACAUUUAAUUGAAGAUAAAUAAAGAUAAAAUAAAAUCCUAAAAAUAAUCCUUAAUAAUUAUCUCAAUAUUAAUUAUCCUAAUAUAAUUAAAAUAGAGUUUAAUAGAAUAAAAUCUCUUCUUUCUGCAUUUCAACCCUUGUGUCCUCCAUGCUUGCACUUUUGACACCAACUUUUCCUUGUGUCGCACAUUGGCCCAUUUUAUCUCUAAAUUCACGCUUUUGGCCCUUAAUUUCACUUUUGCCACAAAUUCAGUCCCUAUGAGAUAAAAGAUCAUAAAUAGCUCAAAUUAGCAGGAUCAUACUCGGAAUAAAUACAUAAUUAAUACAUAAAAAUACGUUAUUGUAGAGUGUUAUCACAUGUUAUAAGAGAAAUGGAGUAAGCUCAUGAAAUCAAGCUGGUUCAUUGCAAUUCAGAAGAGCAAAUUGCUGAUAUCUUUACCAAGGCACUUAAUGUGUCAAAGUUUGUUAAAUUGAAAAGGCAGCUAGGUGUUAUUAGCAUGGAAACUAAGGAAGAGUGUUGAAGUUAGUUCCCAUACAGCUAGCUGAUCACAAAGGUGGCCAUGCACAAAUGACAAUAAGCAGUCGAGCCAUGGUGUGCAGCAGCUGAAGCUUGAAGUUGCUGAAUUACUUGGUGCAUUUAGUUGUUUUAAUUCUUUUGUAAUUUAGUUCAUGUUGAACUAAGUAGGUGAAUGUUUUGAUGUAAUUUUGAUGUUGAUUGACUGAAAAAUUAGCAAAGUAAUAUGUGCAAGCUAAUCUUGUAAGUUUCAAUGCAUAUUAGUGGUGUUAGGUAGUUGAUUAGGUGAUUACUUGUUUGUUUUUACAAGUUUGCUGAUAUAUGUAAUGGCUUAAUGCCUCAUUCUCUUGUUAAUGAAAAUUAUCAGUUGAUUUCCAUUAAAAUUCUCUCUUUUCUUUUCUGUUUGUCCACUUGCAAGCUUCUUUUCUGUUUUCUUUCUCGUUUGUUUCUUCUCCAAGCCUCGAGGCUUGCUGUCCAAGCAAGACCAAAAGCAGUCUGCUGCUGUCUCUAACACCAACAAUGUUGUUGGAGGAGCUUGGGGACUGCUUGUUAAUGGAAGGGAAUAAGAGAAGUGGGAGGUAAAGGAGAGGGAAACCAGCAACCCCUAAGGUGUACCACCUCCUCUUAGUAGAGUGGAGGCUGUAUUUUUUAUUUAAUUAUCAUUAUUUAACUAGAUCAAGAGAACUCUUGUAUUGAUUCUCUAGUAACCGUAUUUGAGCUAUUUACACCUUUCAUAAACCUCAUUAUUUUGUUGGGAAAUAGUGGUACUUUAUUUUACAAAAUAAAUUCUAAUAUUUUUAAAAAAAUUAUAAUUUAACUGAUUUACAUUGAAAGCAAUUAGAAAGCAAAGAAAAUAUCCUAAACAGAGAAUCUCUAUUGCCUUCUUUAAAAGCUCCUGGAAUUUCAAAUUGCCUGCAUAUAACGAAUUAUAAAAGUUGAAGCUUUUACCCUUGCCCUAUCCAUGCCAUAGAUCCAUUCUUAUUUAUAUAUGUUCACUCUUCUUUAAUUAUUUGUGUAUGUAUGGUGGGUUAUCCUUAAUAGUUGCCAUAGAUCCAUUGUUGAGAAACUAGUGAAGGGCAUGUAGAUUUCAGAUGCCCUGUUCUGAUUUUUCCUUUUUGAGUUGCGUAGAGAAGAAAAAGGGAAAAAAGUGACUUGGAUUAAUUAUCGAGAGGUCCUUAAGUUUUUGUCAAAAAGUCAAAAGAAAGUGUCACAUGGCAUCAUUCAAUUGGCUCAUAUGCCACAUCAACAAUCCGUUAUUGGAUUAACGAAAUGUUUAACGGCAGUAACUAAUUCAAACAAUUAUAUUAAUUAGAAUGUUUAAAUUGAGAAAAAAAGUUUAGAGUAACUAAAAUAGGACAAACUCUAUUUUAAAAUGAUCUUAGGUGUAGUUUACCCUAUACUUUUAUGCUUGUCUAAAAUUACUAAUUAUUUUAGAGAAGAAAUUCAUUAAAGAUUAAGUCGCAAAACAAAAGCAAACACAAAGAGGAGACGAACUACUAAACCCGAGCCAACAGGCUCACCCCAUACACCCGAACCUACUGUCUGAAAUCCUCAUUCUUAUCAACAUAAAACAUGAUUUCAACAUUCUUCAAAAAAGAUGCAAAAGGAAAAGUACGACAUUCCGUAUGGUUUGCAUAUAACAAAGCAGCUCACGCAAGCAAGUGGGCUGCGUUGUUGGCAGUACCACAUCAACGAGUCCCAUUAAAGGACAGACGCUAAAACUAAUCUUUUAGCACCAAACAAUCAUGUAUAGCACACCUAGGUCAAAUGCAUCAAUUAUACAUACUUUUCCCCUUUCAAACCACAUACCCAUAGUAGCCCAAAACGCAUAUAGUUUACCACAAAUAUGGUCUAGCUUUCUAUAGUACGCAAUCCUCCAAGACCUAAUGAAAAAUGAGGGAGCCACUACACCGCAAAAUCCCAUUACAAAGCCAAUAACUAUGCUGACAUAAAGCCAAUUCACUUUACUUCCUUCACUGCUACUUGCAUUAUUCACAACAUCAGUUGAAAAACCUUUUGUACUGCAGUUUUUAGUGAGGGGAGGUCCACAAAGAUGAUUUCCCACUUAAGACAAGUUUUCAAAGCUUUGAAGCUAAGUGCUUGUUGGAAUUUGUCCUGUCAAGUUGUUGUAGGACACAUUGAAGUGGUUCAAGAAAUUCAAUUUGGAGAAACUUGGAGGGAUUUCACCAUUCAAUCGAUUCAUCGACAAAUCAAGAGAUUCCAUCCACUCCAUGUUGCCAAUGGUGUCUGGUAUAUUUCCUGUUAGGAGAUUUCCUAAAAAAUUUAAAGACAAUAGUCCAACGAGACUACCAAUUUGUUUGGGGAUCUCUCCAGUGAGACUAUUAGCUGAAAGGUCUAUGUUGGUAACAAGUCCUAGGGUGCUACCAUAUUCAUCCUCUCGUCCUUUCAACACCAAUAGUGCUUUAAAAUAAAAUGGGAAAUCAAUGACUAACGGCGCAGAAACUUCAUUCUUGGUUUUUUUUUGUGGCCAUUGCACUAAAAUUAUUGAAACAUUUUGGAAUAACUCCUGAAAUGUUGUUUUGGGCAAGGUCCAAGUUCUGAAGAAAUUGAAGAUCACAAAUUUUAUGAGGGAUGUGACCAUCAAAGUUAUUUGAUCGAAGGCUUAGAAUCACAAGGCUCGAGAGCUUAUCACCAAUCCAUGCUGGUACGCAUCCACUGAAAUGAUUUUCACUAAGAUCAAUCAUAAUCAAAUCUCUAGAGUUUUACAAUGUGGAUGUCAAUUCUCCAAACAUGCUAUUGUUCGAAGGUUUAACAUAAAAGGAUCUGUAUAUUCCAAAGUAGGUGGGAUUUUCCCUGUCAAAUUGUUGUUUCCUAAAUUUAAAUAAGCUAAAGUCUCCCAAUGAUUCCAACAAUCUGGAAUUUCUCCAAUGAGUAGAUUUGUAUCAAUGUAAAGAGUUACCAUCCCUCUUAAUGAUGGAUUGCAAACUAAUUCAGAAAGGGAUCCCGAAAAUGAAUUAUUUGACAAAAAUAAAAAUCUUAAACUUGAGGGUACUCUUGGCAAUGGACCUGUAAAGCGGUUUGAACUUAAGUCAAUAAAGUUUGUUACAUUCAAAAAUGAAAACUCUCCAGUAAGUUGAUUAAAGGAAAGAUUUAAAUUUGUAAAUUGAGUGGGAAGGUUUAAAAACCAAGUGGGCAUGACAUCUGAAAUUCCUGCACAGGAGAUAUCCAAAGAAGACAAUUUCUUUUGAAAUUUUAACCACCAAGGAAACUUUGGGCCAAGAUGCCAGUUACCCAAUUCAAUACUUUCACGUUGAAAUGGGGGAAUCCAACUGAGUUUGGUUCAAAUCUAAGCCUAUUGUGUGACGCUGUUAGAGUUGUCAAUCUCGUGAGAUUAGAAAAAUAGGUUUCUAAUACAACUCCUUCAAAUAGAUUAUACUCAAAAGCCAGAGUUUCCAAACUUUCCAAUUGUCCAAAACAUGGAGGAAAUGUACCAUUUAAUUGAUUUUCUGAAACAUCAAAUAACUUCAAAGAUGACAGCUCCCCUAUAGACAAUGGAAUUCGACCAUUUAAUUGAUUUUCUGAAAUAUCAAAGAAUUUCAAAGAUGAUAAGUCCCCUAUCGAUGAUGGAAUGGGACCAGAAAUUUUGUUUUGAGCAAGGGACAAGUAAGAUAGAUUUUUAAACUGCCCAAGUUGAUCAGUUAAAUGGCCAGAAAGUUGGUUAUUGGUCAUAUCCAAUGACUCUAAGGAAUCCAAACAACAUCUAGACAAACUCUGCAGGAUUUCUGAUAUUCCACCUUCAAUUUUAUUAAAUGACAAAUCCAUCUCCUUCAAUUUGCACAGAUAUUCCAGUGAGGUUGGUAAUCUUCCUUCCAACAUAUAAUUUAAAGAAAGAUCAAGGUGAGUAACAGAGCUUAAGUUUCCAAUGGCACUCGAGAUUGUUCCUUGUAACUGGUUACCCCAAAGACUGAGGAACUGAAGACGGUUUAAACUAUACAAGGAAUUGGGUAUGGAUGAAUUGAGAUGAUUCCCACUAAGAUCAAGAACUUCAAGAAACGAGAUGUUCCCAAAGUAAUCUGGAAUUGGGCCUUCCAAAGAAUUGCGACUAAGAUCAAUGGACACAAGACCAUGAAGACUAAAUAUCCACUUAGGUACUGAAGAAAAGCGGUUCCCAAAAAGAUCAAGAACAACCAGUGAUUUUGAAGAAUUAGCAUUGAUCGAAGAUGGAUCAUUGUCUAAACCACAACCUGACAAGUGCAACUCUAACAAAGAAGGAAGUUUAAGUGUUACCUGCACCCAAUCAAUUGCUUUAGAAAGAUCCGCACCACUCAAAUCAAGGUGCUGCAAGGAAGAAAGUCCAGAAACCCAUUGAAGACUUUUUUGUUCGUGAUGAUUACCUCUAAGAUCAAGAUACUACAACUUUGAGAGAUUCCCAAGGUUAUGAGGAAUUGUUCCCUGAAAUUGUGCAUAAGAGAGGUUAAGAUAUGUCAAACUCUCCAGCAAACUGAAAAAUUUCGGGAUAUGUAUGCUGCUAAAACUGUUAUAGCUCAAGUCCAGGGAAUUGAGAUGCUUCAACUCCAGCAGUGAAGGAUUUAUUUUGCCUCCUAGGGCUGAAGGUGAAAGAGGGGGAGCAGCCAAGUGCAGUUGGUUGACGUGGCCUGUUGAGUUAUGGCAGACAACACCAAUCCAUUUACAGCAAUCCCCUCCUUCAACCCAAGAAGAUAACCUGUUUGAAGGAUCAGCAAGAUCAUUCUUGAAUUUCAGAAGAUCUUCUCUCUCACUUUGGAUGCAAAGUAGGUUGGAAUUGGCAUCACAAACGCUAAAACAGAUAGCGGGAAUGAGAAGAAGAAAAGGGAAUAAGGAAAUUGGAAGAGUAGUCAUGGUUGCAAUUGCCAUAUCCCACAACUCCAAAUAUAUAGACUAAGCUUAGCUAAAAAACAAAAAUACAUGAAGCUCAUGGAAGUUUCUUCCAAAACCCCAAAUUUCCACAAAAUACAUUUUAUUGAUAAUAGUCUGUAGGAAAUUUGCUAUCAAGGGAAGUUUCUAAUUAAUUGCAUUAAAAAUUUUGACUUUUUACUAACAAUGAAAAGAGAAGAAAGAUGAAAUCAUCGGAGGAAAAAAAAACUUAUAUUAAUAAUUAAGAUAUAAAGUAACAAAUUUAAUAUGAAUUUCAUUUAUUAAUUUAAAGAAAUAAUUUACUUUUUACUUCUUCCAACAAAAUUUGAGCUUUAGAAGAAGAGAAAUAAAGUUGUCAAUAAAUAAUUCCCACUCCCACGGUAUUUUUGCUAUAUGUUUUGCUAAUAUUAAUCAAUUUGUGGAAAGAGAAUAUCAAUUCAAAUAUGCAUAACGAUAUUUGUGGCCCUUAAACAUUUUUGAAAAAAAAUCAAUUUAGCUCUUACUGUUUUAUUGAGUUCUUAUUUAGUCCUCAAACUUUUAUUUUUUUUGUCAAUUGAAUAAGUUUGGACGGAAAACAUAACAGAGCUAUUUGUUAAUUUAAAGUAAUUGUUGACAUAUAAGCUAUGUGUUUGGAAGGAGUGACUAAGGGAAUGAGCACUCUUUCAAGCACUACAAUAAAAAAGUAAAACAACGGACACAAAGAUUGUUUAUGCAAUUCGGAUUCUGUACGUCAGCUGAUCCUAAUUCAGUAAGAAAUAUUCAGUAUCUUCAACAUUUACAAGAAGUAAUCCUAAAUCUAUCACACACCAAUGACAAUUUUCUCACUUUUGCAUAUUGAAGACUGAUACUCUCACCACUAAAUUGACCCAUUUGAAUUUAGCAAGUAAAACCACAACACAAUUGGUUUCACUAUCACAAUUCACUCAUAAAAUUAAGUUCCACACUUAAACAAACUAUGUGCUAUAUCUCACUCAAUACAUAAUAUAUACAAGUUUCUAAAUUAUAUAGAAUAUUUCAAGACUUGCUAACAUAAAGAAGAUUUAUCACAAUUCUUAUUAAACAACAAUAAGAUAAGCUGAACGCAAUAGGAUAAUAAUAAACAAGGUAAACAUGGACUCUUGACAGCGAAGAAUGACACGUUCCAAUUCAAUCUAAUAUCCACGAUCGAAAGAAUUAUAUAAAUAUGACCAGUUUUGAUCCGAUCUUUCAAUUAUGUUCCCAAGUGAUAUGAUUUUCUUUGAUGGGCUAGAUAUAUAUACAAUCCACAUAAACAAUAUAGACCAUAAUUUUGGUUUAAUAAAUUGCCAAAUUUGUCACACAUAUUCAAAGACUCAAUCAAUCCUUUUUUACUUUUCAUAUUUUUCAACACUAUAACUUGUGUUUGGAUGAAGAAUUUUCAAUAUUUUGAUAUUUUUAAAAUGCUAGAAUUUUAGAAUUCAUAAAUUCAAAAUGUUAGGAUUUGCAAUUGCUUUGUUUGAAUAAAUAAAUAAUUUAGAAAAAAAAUUAGGUUAAUAGAAUUUUAAAAAUUAAAAAUAAUUAUAAAAGAAGAAUAAUUAUAUUAAAAUAAAAAUAUAAAAAAUAUUCAAUAUGGACAUUAUUAGACAAUGUGUAUUAAAUCAAAUAAAAAUUUGGAGGAAUUUUGAAAAACCACCUACAUAAGUGAAAUUUGAACUACUAAAAUUCCAUCUUGAAAUUAUCUAAAAAUUUUGAAAUUCUUCAAAAUAUUUACCUGUACAAAUAAAUUCAUAUUUACAAUUUUGAAAACCUUGACACAAAUGAAAUCUCUCCUAUAAAUUCUUUACCCAAACAUAUCCUUGUGCCACUAAUGCAGGAUAUGCUAGAUGCUAACUUGUCAUCAGCACCACAAUUGUAACACCCCAAACCCGACCUAGACGUUAUGGCCGAAUCCGGGAGUGUUACGAAGAAGGGUUUUGAAACUGUUUUUACUUUGACAAAAACCUUGUGAAGUUAUUUGAUAUAAAGUGUCCAAAUUUUGCAAAACAUAUUCAUUUACUUAUUCAUUACCAAAAUUGUCGUUAUUUUCCAAAACAUAAUUGCAGCGAAAAUCUUAAAAAUCAUUAUAUUUUAGAAAUCUAACUCAUAUUUACAGAAAAACCUUUAUUUUCGUAAACUGUUUCUCACAAUCAUCACAGGAUAGAAAACAACCAAAACCAAUAGUUAAAACCAUACAAUCCAAAGAAUCCCAAAAGUUACAAACUCUCAAAUAAAUCCAAAUUUUUUUAAAAAAAAUCAGAAACUCAAAGGCAGUUUUAAACUAGUGGUCACCCUGAGCCUUCGUCACACUGACCCGCCUAUGUCCGAAGGUUACCUAAACAGAACAGACAAACAGAGGUGAGUUUUUGUAAACUCAGUGUGUAACCCAACAGAGAUAGUCAUGCAAUUUUACACAGAAUUCUCAUAAGCAGAAUAGAUACAAAUAUGGACUUAAGUCCUUAACAGAUUCAAAUAUCAGAAUUAGAUAAUCCAGACAGUUACAUAGAAUCCUACCCUCAUCCUUUACCCACUAUCCCCAUCCAUCCCAUCACACCAUAUGAGGUUAAAAACACCCUCCUAUCCCUACACACCAUAUAAUGUCGACGCGACACAUAACAGAUAAUAUAUAGUCAAGCUGCCAGAAUAUAGGUGUAAGGUCGCAUUACAGAUCACUUCCUCCACAUAUACAAAUCUCAUCCCCACAUACAGAUAUAGAAUACAAACAAUAGAUAUAACAGAAUUACAUGUCUAACAUUCUCGUAUAUAGAUAUCAUAUAUGCUCACACAGACAAUCAGACAUAUACAUCAGUAUCCUACUCAGAUCAGACUAUCCACAUGCUAGAUCUCAUAUAAUAGGGUUUUGUUAGCUAUUACUGACCCUACAGUAGGCCCAUAGUCAAUCGGAAAGACCCGUGCAAUCCUAGGAAAAAUUGUAGAAUUUUGGGUCCAUAUUCCCAUGUAGGCCGACACGCCCAAUUUGGCAUUGCUCGUGUGGGCCACACGGCCUGGCCCAAAACCCACAUGCCUAAUCUGGCCUAGCUCUUGUGGCCUACACGGCCACACAUUCACUUUCACAUAGCAGUGUCUCACGCACAGCCACACCUUCAGCAAUCACACGACCGUGUAUCGUACACGGCUGGCCACACGCUCGAGUGGCGUUGACAGUCCCCCUUUUCAGCUUUUGUCGAACCUCAUUUUCUCAUGUUUUAGGUACACACCUGGUACGAUUUUAAUUGUACUGCAAUCCCGAGCCCACCAGAACCUAAAAAUCAACAUCACACACUCCCACAAUCAGUUUUAAUUCUCAAUUAAACCAAACCAACAAAAUCGACAACGGUGUAAUUUAAGUGUUCAACACUUACCCACUUCCCUGAACGGUUUCGACUAUGAUUUCGCAAGAGGAGAGCCCCGUUCUUUACGAUUCACUGCUACCAAUACCCAAAAUCAACUAACGAAAAGAAAAGAAUAGAAUCGAUGUAGAACGACUUAAGAACAAUUCCCAAACCCAUACGAAAUUCACCCCCUACACUUACCAAACCGCACAACAACACCGAAGAACUGGAAUACAUUGCCAGAAUUCAGAAAGCAAGGGAAAUAGAGGAUUUUUCUAGUUAACAGGAAAAAGAGUCAAAAGUUUGAGAAAUUUUGGAGGAGAGAGAGAAAAAGAAAUAAUAAAAAAAUAAAAUAAAAACAAAAUGACAACAUAUCCCCAAAUUUUCUCCCACUCCCCACUAAACCACAACUACCUCAGAAUUUCGGUUCCACCAAACCUCUAUCAGACACUCGAAGCAAAAAUUAACAUACUUAUUCACACAGGGAUUCAAACACAAAACCUCCAACAAACUAACUCUUUACCACCAGACGAGUAAGCCUAUUCUAAUAUAAAUUUACAAACAAUACUACGUAAGCCUACCUAACAGAGAUAAGGCUAGGAUAAAAAAUAAUAGAAUUUCCAAAGAGUGGGAUUUGAACCCAAUACCUCAUACACAUACCCAAAACACUUAACCACUAAAACAUGUGUUAAGAUUCAUAGAAACAAAAAUAAAUUAUUCAGGGUGUUACAACAAUUCAUAUGUACUUUAUGCUAAUGUAGUAUUAUUUUAUCUCAUAUCUCAUAUCUCAUAUUAGCAAAUAAUUUAAAAAUUAAAACAAAAUGAAAAGUUAAAAUAAAAAGUCAAAAAUAAUUGAAUUUUAUUUCAAAGGGAAUAUAUAUUUUAUUAAUAAAUAAAAGUUAAACUUUCUUUUUCUUAUUAUCAUGAACUUAAUUCUUGUAGAAAAAUAAAACUUUAAAUGAAUCAAAUUAAUAUAUAAUAUAUUAUAAAGACCCCAUAUAUCCAUUGGCAACAGCUAGAAAAUGACAGAAAAAAAAAAUUGGCUAAUCCUAUUUACUACUAUUUUUGUUACUCCUAAUUUGAAGGAUCAAGGAGGAAGAAGACCAGAUCUAUGGCUGCCACGUCUACUCAUUUAUUAAGCUAAUCAACUGUUGGAAUUUACCAAACAACAUUUUUUUGCUGAAAAUUAUUUUCAUUGUAAAUUAUUGAAAUACAACAAAACAUAUUAAUACAUAAUCAAAACACACUUUGAUCCAAUCUCCAGUAAAUUAUACCAACUUUAGACCAACAUGUUUACACAUGUUUUUUUCCCAUCAAACUACAUACCCAUAGUAGCCCAAGACACAUAAUCUGAAUCCAAUGCCCUCCAUCAAACUACAUACCCAUCAAACUAUAUUUAACACUUUUCCAUUUUCAUUGUCUUUUGCCCAUUAACAACCACUUGGUGUCCAUCUUCUUUAUCACAAUCCAAUGCCCUCCAACUUAUAAUCUGAAUAAUUAGAUGCUUUAAAAAUAGUGCCAUGUUCUUCAACUUCCUCUAAUUACCUAUAAUCCAUCUCUGUUUCUUUCUAUUUUGUUCCCUGAAUUUCCAUUUUGCUUCUUUCUCAUAGUUUCAUCAUGCCUGUCAUUGGAGAGACAGCUCUUUCUGGGUUUUUGAAGCUGCUGGUGCACAAAUCACUCAACUCUGCACUCGACUUUGUUGCUGAUCACAAGCAAGUCGACCAACAGCUGAAGCAGUGGCAGUCCAUAUUACUUGAUAUCCAAGUUUCCCCAUGGUUAAAUUUUCAAAAGAAUUUAUCUGUUUUAGAUAUCAAUUUGGGUCAACAGCACACGUCCACCAACUGCACUUGGCCGCUCCUCUUUCACCUUACGAGAUAUCCAAAAUUUCUGCAUCAGAAAUAUCUAAAACAGAUAAAUUCUUUUGGUCAAAUUAUAAUAUUAAAAUUUCUAAAUUAAAAAUAUUCUAAUUUUAUAUACUCUUUUGUAUAUUUAAAAUAUAAAUCCUUAUAUAUUUUUUUAAAUUUAUAUUUAAUUAUUAACACCAUUAAAAUUCUCCUAUUAAAUAUACUAAACAUAUUUUUUAUUCAUGGUGAAUGUGGUAUGAUGGAUGGACUUACAUUGGUGUUUUUCAUGCAUUGGGGGUUGGGUUUUACACUUUCUUCUAUUCAAUAAUUAUUUUAAGACUGCAUUACCCACGUUUUAAGAGUGCAUUAUUCACGUGAAUUAUUUUCCAUCUCUCCAUUUCUUCCACCCACUAUCCUUUUCAACAUUUUGCAUAUUUAAAAUCAAUUUCUUAGUUUUAAUAAAUUAUUUCAACUUAAAAUAUAUCUUAUAUACAUCUAGAAUGUUUCCCAUUGAUAAUCAAAUGCUUAAACUAAGUUGGCAGCAAAGAACUUCUCGGAAAUUUCAAUCAUUCUCAGUCUCGUGCCUAUAAAUUUUGUAUUUAAUAAGUCCGGUAUAUAUUGUACUUUUUCAUAAUUAUAUAAUAAUAAUUUAAUUAUAUGCAUUUAAGGAUUAAAUUGAUAUAAUUUGCAAAUAUGAAUAAUUAAAUUUAUUAAAUUAUUCUGAAUUAGGAUCAAAUUGAUAAAAUAAAUAAGUUUUGAGGAAUAAUUAUGUUAUUAUACCAAUUAAAAAAGAAACAUGUCUUCACUUCCGUUAACCAUUCAACGGAGACUGACAAUAUAGAAUCGAUCUAAAACGUUAUGAUAAAAUUGAAAAUUUAUAUAAUUGGGUGGCUAAUUAUAUAAUUUGCCCUAAAAAAAAGACCUAACAUGAUUUCACAAUAACUAGUCCUAACUCUCAAGUAUAGCUUGGGAUACAUCUAAAAAGAGCCAUAAUAUAUACAGAAAAUAUUUUAAAGAAAAUACCUUGGAGAUGACCAUCCUAGUCACGAAGAAUGCAUCCACAGCGCGCUGGACAAGGUUUGCCCCAAGCCGAUCCAUCGACAUCAAAUUUCAACUUACUGACAGGAGGAGGGGUCCAAGAAACCAAGUUGCGAUAAAUUAUUUUAGGAGUCGAACGAGGUCCUUCAAAGGGAUGCAUCCACCAAUCAAGUUCAGUAACAGAUUCAUGAUCAGAUACCUUAAUCCAAGCAAAGGAUCAAAGUUUACAGAGGUUUAAUAAAGAACCAACAUCCCACCAUUAUUCUUGAAGACCGUCUAGAAGUUUAACACCUUUCGCUGCGCAAACUAUGGAACCAACCCCCAUAUCAAAGCAAUCUCACAAUGAAAAUUGCCCUGUUUGGGAUAAUGCCACUUUCUCUUCUCCAGCCAGUUUCCUGCACAUCAGCUAUAACAUGAAAGAAAAUGAAAAAGAAAAAAAUUAAAAAAACCAUACAUACAUACAUAGGUAGAAGUACCAUACUAAGAGUCGGAUUAUAUUUUGUUAUUUUUACUAAAAACAUGAGCAAAUUAAUUCCUCUACCAUAGAUUAAAGAGCAAACUAGUCAUUUUUAUUAAAAAUUUCAUUUCAUCCAUUUAUAUUGUUAAAGCUAUCGAAAAAAGCUAGAUAAGGUGAAUUUCAAACAAAGAUAGCAACCAAGUAAGACGAGUUUUUUUUUACUAGCUCAUGUUGCUUCAACUUGAUUUUUAUGUAUAUACACUCACUUAAACUCAAAUUUUGUUUAAUACUUUAGCCUUCUAUUUUGACCAUAACCCUUAAAAGAUCUAAUCCCAUGACCAUUCAUAUGAAAAUUUACGUAAUGUAGAUGUCAAAAAAGAAAAAAGAAAAAAGAAAAUUUACGUAAUGUUUUAUAUUACGUUAGCUUUUACAGAAUUAAUCCGAAUUAAUUAUAUUUUACAAAAUAAAAAGUGAUAUUUUAAUGCGCGAUACAAAAAUUUGACUCUAAAAAUUUUAACGAAAAAGUCUGAUCCACCUUGCUUCAAACUCAAAUUUUAAAAAUAGAAUACCAUCUCUAUAUGGCCGAGGUGGAUUGAAUCCCGACAACUUAAAUAGAACUUUUGCCAAUCUCAAUUUCAAAUAUUGGUAUGUGUUUGACAUGAGUAUAUUAAAACUUUUAUAAAUUGUUUCAUAAUGUUAAAAAUUGAAUGUUGAUAAUGACAAUGUAGAAAGAUGGCAAAGAAAAGAAAGAAAAAUAGAACAUAUAGAUUUUAUAUGGAAACCCUUUCAGGAAAAAACUACAGGUAGAUGUGAAGAAAAUUCACUAAUGUCGAAUUCAAAUGAUACAAUAAGAGUUUUGACUAUAUCUAUUUAUAGGUUGAAAAAGUCUUAUUCUAAUCAAUGUAAAAUAUAUUAUGCUGAUAAUUGCUAAUAUAUUAUACUACUAAAUCUUCUAAAAAGAAAAUAUAUUUUGUUUAACUUGACUUGCAAGUAAGAUUUUGUUUAACUUGACUUGUAAGUAAUGUCUUAGAAUUUGAGUCAUAGAACUCUAAUAAUCUCCACCUUGAUAUGAAUUCUCAACAAAUAAGUUCUUCACCAUGAACUUUUAACAAACAAGUUCUUCACCUCUUUCACGAAACCCCUUAAAGGUAUUCUACAACAAUGAACACCAGCCAAGUCCAAAUAAUGCUCGAACAAGAAAAUAUAUUAUGCUUAAACACUCCUUGUUUACGGAUUUUUAUGGAGAGAUAUUGUACGUAAUGCAAGGUAUUUGGGGGAGUAAUUUGUAAUAAUUUGGGUACGAUUUUAAGGUUGCAAUUAUCUAUUAGGAUAGGGUAGAUUAACCUCUAGCCAAUAGUUAUGUUGAAUGAAUUGUUAAAUAAAAUCAUUCAAUGAGUGAUGCUUUACAAAUGUAAGAUUGAUGAAUUCAAAUUGCGCUAACAAAUUUUGUAUGUUGAUUUUUUUUUCACUUUAUCUCUUUGACUCAUGUUUUAAAUUUGUGUUUAUUUCUCUCUUUGCUUUGUUUAUUGCAUUGAUGUGGUUAAACGGUGCUGUCGAAAUCUAAUAUUUUAUGAACGCAUUAAACUUUCACCCAUUAAUUCCAUUAACUCCAUAUCCGAAGUUCUAGUGCAAUUACACUUAGCACACACACGUGCCUGUGAGAAAAAACUUAUUUCUCCAUUUAAUAUGUGACUUCAUAAGGCACCAAGCAGCCAUUCAGUCAAGGGCAUAACACACCCUGUAAUUGGUCCCACCAGGGCAAGUAAAUGUGCAAGUUUGAUCAUCUUUAGGGUAACUAUAUAUAUCGGGGCAUCUUGCCUUGAAGAACAUAGACAAAGUUAGAAUUUUUUUGUCGGAAUUAAAUUAUAUAUUUUUAUAAUAGUAUAAUGUAAUUUUGUCAUUUUAAUAGUUUAUAUUUUUAUAAUUUUUAGAAGGUUAAAUCAAAAUUUUAUCAUUUUUAAGGGAGUCAAAGGGCAAUUUUACCAUUACUAAUUUAAAAUUUUAUAAAUUAUGAAAACUUUUGAAUAACGUAAAAUUUUAAGGGAGUCAAAGUACAAUUUUAUAAAAUGUAAAAUUUUCCGUUUUAGGAGAACCAGACUCUGCUAACCCCUAGAUUCAUCCCUGUUGAAUAACGUAAAAUAACCCGUUGGGCCACAAUUCCCUGAAUUGCAACAAUAUUGAUCGGCUUUGUAGAUGGUGCAAGGGUUAUUGCACACACCUGGGGCUUUCAAUAGAUUAGGGCACUGCCCUACGGUAUCAGCUGCGCAUCCAAAGAUUAUAAAUUCCGAACCUGCUAAAAAAAUAUCAGAAUUUGAAUUUGCCCCUUCUAAAUUGGAACAUUUUCUUAUUAACCAACCAAAGCGAAUGGUUGAACAAUGCUGAAUUGCCUAAGUCAAGGUCUUUUCAGUUUGCUAAGGCAUUGAUUGAAUACUAACAAAGAAUCUCUGUUAUUCUCUCAUUUUCCCUUUGAAAUGAUGGAUUAAACCUAUAAACGUGGAAUAACUGGUAAUUUAUACCAUUUCUUUUAAUUUUUGUGCUUAGUUUUUACUUAAUUAAUGUUUAAGAUAAGAUUUGAAUCCUUGUAACUUGUCUGAGUGGAUUUGUUUCAAGUUUCAUCGGGUUUAAAUAAGGGUGUAAGGAAGGGGUAGAUCGAGUCUCAACAUCCUUCACUUCUACAUUGUUUUCAAUUUUUAAAACUUGUAGUAUUUUUAUACUUAAAAAUUGGGAAAAAAAAAUUAUUUUGAGCCUCAAAAAAUUUAUAAAAAUAUAAAAUUUUAGACAAUGACAUUCGUAUCUAUCUGUAGUAUGGACGAAAUAGCAAAUGAAAAGAGAGAGGAACCUUUGAUCUUAACAAAAAGAAAAAUACUAUUUAUUCAUACAACACAUAUGGUAGACAUGUACAUAUGCACAUAAGCUUAUGCUAUAAGAAUAGUUGAUUUCUUGGGUUCAUAGAUAAGAAGCAAAGCCCUAAAGAGUGAAAAAUAUGGCCAAUACUUUGAUUUAGAAUCUUCAAUCAACUAAGUUAAAUUUCGGAUUUAGAACCUUCGAUUUCAUUGGAUUCCUUUUUCUCUUACUUAUUAUCGUCAAGAUAUUGUUGGUAGAUAUAAAAAUCAAAGCCCCAAAGAGUGAACAACAUUGCCCAUACCUUAAUUGCAUCCAUUUUCUCCUUAUAAAACAGAACACCAACAACUGGAACAAAUGGCAAACUAAGCAUACUCACAGCAUUUGAGAACAAAGAUGACACCAAAUAGAUCAAUCCCACUACUCCCAUUGUACAAAUCUGCCAUGCCAAAUCUGUUCCAAUCAAACUCACUACAUAAAUCACCUUCCUUUAUUCAAAUUUCUCCAUUUCGAACUUUAAAUCCAUGAAAUCCAAACUGAAAAAACAACACGAACAAACAAACAAAACUCGAAACCAAUGAAAUGUAAAUCUGCAUUUCAAACACAACACUAAAUGUGCCCUUUUUCAGUAUUUUGUCAAAUAAGAAAUGUGUUAGAGACAACAAUAAAGCAUAGCAUGCUGAAGCACCAACUAUUGCUAUAAACCCAAUGGUGUAUUCAUUCUUUCCUACUGGAUUUUUCUCAUCUCUUUUGGUCUCAGAACUAUCGAGAUGAAUUGCAACCAUUGAAGCUUGUUGGAAUUUCGAUGUUAAGAAAGGGAAAAUUACGGAGAAGAAACGAGUAAUUUAGCAACAAAACUAUCUGCUAAAGUUUUCAUCUAUUUUCACUCAAAUUUUGAACAAUGAAACAAGAGCUAUUUAUAACAAGAAAAACUCCUAAAUAUGGAAAGAAAUAAAAAAUAUUUUAUGCUAAUAAAUGUAAAAUAUAUUAUACUAAUAAAUACUAAACAUCCUAAAAAAUUAGAAAACAUAAUCUAAAAACAUAACUUGCACGCAAGUUCUUUAAAUCCAAUUGCUAAUUCGCAGCUUCGUGCUUCAAACUGCUCACAUCUUUAUAGCAACCCUAGUUCGCAUUUUACCCAUGACCCCAAUUCGCAUUUUAAAUCUAGUUCACCAAAGUAAUCAACUCAUGAAUUACUGUUCAUUUGUAAGAGCUCGCCACUUAAUGUUCAUUUGAGGUAGCUUCCCAAUCUUAAAGGGUUUGCCAAUCCUGCAUGUUGCAUGAAUGGUCAUCUCGCAACACUCCUCCUUGACCUUCAUAUUGCGAACACUAAUUUUAUCUCUCAGCUUCUCAAACAUUGUCUUUCCAAGUGCUGACAUUUCAAACAUAUUCUCCAUUUGCAACUUAAACUCCUUUACUAAAUAAUUGAUGCUCCCAAUCACAAACAGAUCGUCAACAUAUAAUGAAAUAAUCAGCGAAGUGACUUCGCUAGUUUUCUUCACAUACAUGGUGGGUUCGCUAGGACACUUUUCAAAUCUCAAGCUCGUAAAGUGCUCGUCUAUCCUCGCAUACUAGGCUCGCGGAGCCUGUUUCAAUCCGUAUAAGGUUUUCUUAAGUCUAUAUAUCUUACUUUCUUUUCCUCUAACUGCAAACUCAGGAGGUUGCUCCACAUAGAUUUCUUCCUACAAGUAUUCAGAAAAGUUGAUUUAACAUCCAGUUGAUUUUCCAAAUCAUUUAUGCUGCCAAGGCUAAUAAUAAUCUAAUCGUGUCCAGUCUUGCUACUGGUGCAAAAGUCUCCCAGUAAUCAAUGUCAUAUUGUUGCCUGAAACCUUCCACAACAAAUCUCACCUUCAACCUAUUGAGUGAAACAUCAGCAUUGAGUUUGGUUUUGAAUACCCACUUGACGUCAAUAAACUUUUUGUGCGAUGGUUUGUUAACAAGCUCCCAAGUCUGGUUCUUGUGAAUCAUAUUAAACUUCUCCCACAUGGCUUCUUUCCAGCCUUCUAUGGUUUCAGCUUCUUCAAAGCUCGCAGGUUCAAGUAGUGCUAUGUCAGCUCAAUGAUAGAUCUCAUCAAUUGAUCGCGUUCCCCUUACCGAAGUUCUGUCAAAGUCUGCUUCAAUUAGAUCAUCACCAAAUUGCGAUCCCAACUUACUUCCAUAAUUAUAAUGUUGCAAACCUUAUUCACACUUCAUUUGUUCAAGUAUUCAACUUUAGUAGAAUCCUAAUUCUAUGCUUUUCCUUAUUCGAACACAAUAUCCCUGCUCACAAAAAUUUUAUUAGAGGAAUGAUCAUAAAUUCUAUAACCCUUUUUAUGUCUACUAUACCCAACGAAAAUACCUUACUGCAACCUCCUCUCUAACUUGCUUAUUUUCACAUGUUGCAUAAAAAUAAAACAAACGCAACCAAAAACUUUCAAGUGAGAAGCAUAGGGUUUAUUCCCAAACCAUGAUUCGAAUGGAGUCUUCUUUUUUACAGCCUUGGUUGGUAGCCUGUUCAACAAAUAAAUUGACGUGUUCAGUACCUCAGCCCAAAAUUCUUUUGGCAACUUGUUUUCAAACAACAGACAUUUCAAUAUGUCCAUUACUAUCCUAUUUUUCCUUUCGCACACCUCAUUUUACAGCUGAGUGUAAAUGUUGGUGAGCUGAUGAUGGAUUCCAACUUCUUUAUAGUAGCUUUCAAAUUUAUCAGAGGUGUACUCAGUGUUAACAUUAAUGGGAGACAACAUUAAUGGCAAACAAUACAAAGUGGUGCAAGUUUAGCACCCUAAAUUUGACUUUGAAAAAGUGGCAUGGGAUAAUUUUUUUUUGGUCCUUGAGAUAAUGGGCUAUUUAUUGUUUGGUCCUUAAACCUCAACUAUAAAUAGGCCUUCUCAUUUCUCAUUUCAAUUCAUCCCAACCAAUCUUUCUCUCUUAGUUUUCUCUCUUCUCCCAUUUGAGAAUUCUUAAGGAAUUCUAUUUGUUUGUAAUACUUUGAAGAUAGUAAAGUUAUCAUCUGGUGUUAGUGCCCGAGGACGUAGGUAUAAUUUACCGAACCUCGUUAAAACUCUUGUGUUCUUUCUUGUCCUAUUUUUCUUUCAAUAUUUGAGGGUAUAAUAGUAGUAUUUAAUUGUGCUAUUAAAUUACUAUAGAAGGGAUAUUCUGUCUAAGGAAAGACUUGGUAUUUAAGAGAUCCUUGUGAUCCACCUCUCUUCCCUGGGAAUUGAACUUUGUGUGAUUUUUUAGUACAAUAAUUUACACGCUUCCGACCCUAUUGGAACAACAAGUGGUAUCAGAGCCGAAGGUUAAUCGUAGUAUGCUCUGUGGUUGCAGUUUGAACUGAUCUUCCACAUCAGAAAAGAUUUCCUUAGGUAUAUUGAAAGAUUAUGGAGAAAACGGUCGGUGUAGGAGCUUCAACAUCGUCCAUGUGGACAAGACCGACAAUUGCAAAUGCAAGAUUGGCCGUGGAGAUCUUUGAUGGCACGGGCCAUUUUGGUAUGUGGCAAAGUGAGGUUCUAGAUGCCCUUUUUCAGCAGGGUCUAGACAUUGCCAUUGAUGAAGAGAAACCAGAUGAUGUACAGGAGAAAGAUUGGAAGGCGAUCAAUCGGUUGGCAUGUGGCACAAUUCGAUCAUGCCUUUCUCGAGAGCAGAGGUAUGCUUUUUCAAAGGAGACUUCUGCAAAUAAGUUGUGGGUGGCACUUGAAGAAAAAUUUUUGAAGAAAAACAGUCAAAAUAAGCUCCACUUGAAGAAAAGACUGUUUCGCUUCACAUACGUCCCAAGUACCACAAUGAAUGAUCACAUCACCAAAUUUAAUCAGUUAGUCACUGAUUUGCUGAAUAUGGAUGAGACAUUCAAAGAUGAAGAUUUGGCUUUGAUGCUGUUGGGGUCACUUCCUGAGGAGUUUGAGUUCCUAGAAACUACUCUACUUCAUGGCAGGAGUGAUAUAUCUCUGAGCGAAGUCUGUGCGGCCUUAUACAGUUAUGAACAGAGAAAGAAGGACAAACAGAAAAACUCAAUCAGAGAUACAGAAGCUUUACUAGUCCGAGGUCGUUCAUACACUCGGAAGAAAACUCAAAAGGGGAGAUCAAAGUCAAAGUCCAGACUCGGGAAAGAUGAAUGUGCUUUUUGUCAUGAGAAAGGCCACUGGAAGAAAAAUUGUCCAAAGCUGAAGAAUAAGGGAAAAGCUGCUGUAGAUGCUUGUGUUGCUAAGCAUGAUACUAGUGACUCUGAACUAUCACUGGUUGCAUCAUCAUCGUCGUUCCAUUCAGAUGAGUGGAUAUUGGAUUCGGGUUGUACCUAUCAUAUGUCCCCUAACCGGGAGUGGUUCUCUGAUUUAGUAGAACUAAAUGGAGGAGUUGUUUAUAUGGGCAAUGACAAUGCCUGUAAAACUGUUGGGAUAGGUUCAAUCCAAUUAAAGAAUAAAGAUGGAUCAACCAGAGUUCUGACUGAUGUUCGGUACGUGCCCAGUUUGAAGAAAAAUCUCAUCUCAUUGGGAGCCUUGGAAUCCAAUGGUUCAGUUGUUACUAUGAGAGAUGGGGUUUUGAAAGUGACAUCUGGCGCACUUGUGAUAUUGAAGGGCAUCAGGAAAAAUAACUUGUAUUACUACCAAGGUAGUACAGUUAUUGGAGCAGUCGCUGCAGCUUCCGGUAACAAAGACUUGGACUCAAUGCAGUUGUGGCAUAUGAAGUUGGGACAUGCCAGCGAAAAAUCCUUGCAAAUUCUGGCAAAGCAAGGAUUGUUGAAAGGUGUAAAGGCUUGCAAAUUAAAAUUUUGUGAGCACUGUGUUCUGGGAAAGCAAAAGAGAGUGAAAUUCGGCACUGCUAUCCAUAAUACAAAAGGUAUUUUGGAAUAUAUUCACUCAGAUGUGUGGGGGCCUUCCAAAACACCUUCAUUGGGAGGAAAACACUACUUUGUUACUUUUGUUGAUGACUUUUCCAGAAGAGUUUGGGUGUAUACCAUGAAAACUAAAGAUGAAGUGCUUGGAGUUUUUCUUAAAUGGAAAACUAUGAUCGAAAACCAGACUGGCAAGAAAAUCAAGCGGCUUAGGACGGACAAUGGAGGGGAAUAUAAAAGUGAUCCGUUCUUCGAUGUGUGCCAAGAGUAUGGUAUUGUUCGACACUUCACAGUUAGGGAUACACCACAGCAGAAUGGAUUGGCAGAGCGUAUGAAUCGAACAUUGCUGGAGAAAGUUCGAUGUAUGUUGUCCAAUGCUGGGUUGGGCAAGCAAUUUUGGGCUGAGGCUGUGACAUACGCUGGCCAUCUUGUUAAUCGUUUGCCAUCAUCUGCAUUAGAAAGAAAAACUCCUAUGGAGGUAUGGUCUGGAAAACCGGCUACAGAUUAUGAUUCCUUACAUGUGUUUGGAACCACUGCAUAUUACCAUGUGAAGGAGUCAAAGUUAGAUCCGAGGGCAAAGAAAGCUCUCUUUAUGGGAAUCACUUCUGGAGUGAAGGGAUUUCGUCUUUGGUGCUUAAGCACAAAGAAAAUGAUCUGUAGCAGAGAUGUUACCUUUGAUGAAUCUACCACAUUGAAAAAGGUAGCAGAUAAAGAUAUUCAGACGAGCAAUACUCCACAGCAGGUGGAGUGUACUCCAAAACAGGUGGAGUUUGAGCAGAUGGGGAUUUGCCCAGUUAAUAAGUCUAAUUCUCCAGCCACAAUGGAGGAAUUAGAGGUUGAAGAGGUUCUGACCCAAGAACCACUAAGUACACCAGAACCAGUUGCAGUUGUAAGGCCACGGAGAGAAAUUCGUAAACCUGCUCGAUUUACUGAUAUAGUGGCCUACGCCCUUCCCGUUGUUGAUGAUAUUCCUAUCACUUAUCAAGAAGCAAUGCAAAGCUUAGAAAGUGAUAAAUGGAAAAGCGCCAUGGAUGAAGAAAUGCAGUCUCUCCGGAAGAAUAAUACUUGGGAGUUGGCGCAAUUACCGAAAGGUAAAAGGGCAAUCGGAUGCAAGUGGGUAUUCGCAAAGAAAGAUGGAUCUCCUAGCAAGAAGGAUAUUCGCUACAAGGCAAGAUUGGUAGCUAAAGGCUACGCUCAGAAGGAGGGAAUUGACUACAAUGAUGUAUUUUCCCCUGUUGUGAAGCAUUCCUCCAUUAGAAUUUUGUUGGCCUUGGUAGCACAGUUGAAUUUGGAGCUAGCUCAACUUGAUGUUAAGACGGCUUUCUUGCAUGGUGAGUUAGAAGAGGAGAUCUAUAUGACUCAGCCAGAAGGAUACACAGAUGCUGGUGGUAGAAAUUGGGUUUGUAAGCUUAACAAAUCGCUAUAUGGAUUGAAGCAAUCCCCGAGGCAGUGGUACAAGCGAUUUGAUAGCUUUAUGAGAAGGCAGAAGUACACAAGAAGCAAAUAUGACAAUUGUGUAUAUUUGCAGAAGCUGCAUAACGGAUCUUUCAUUUAUCUACUCUUGUAUGUUGAUGAUAUGUUAAUCGCUUCGAAGAGCCAAAAUGAGAUAGAUAAGCUGAAGGCUCAGUUGAAUCAAGAGUUCGAGAUGAAAGAUCUAGGUGAGGCCAAGAAGAUUCUCGGCAUGGAGAUAAGUAGAGAUAGACCGAGAGGCAAGCUCUGUUUAAAUCAGAAGCAAUAUCUGAAAAAGGUAUUACAAUGUUUUGGUGUAAAUGAAAACACAAAACAUGUAAGUACCCCACUUGCUUCUCAUUUGAAACUUAGUGCUCAAUUAUCUCCGAAGACUGAAGAUGAAAGAGAAUAUAUGGCGAAAGUCCCAUAUGCUAAUGCAGUUGGGAGUUUGAUGUAUGCGAUGGUGUGUACGAGGCCUGACAUUUCACAAGCUGUUGGAGUUGUGAGCAGGUAUAUGCAUGAUCCCGGAAAAGGACAUUGGCAAGCUGUGAAAUGGAUUCUACGGUAUCUUCGAAAAACCGUAGAUGUUGGUUUAAUUUUUGAACAGGAUGAAGCACUUGGUCAGUUUGUAGUUGGAUAUGUUGAUUCCAACUUUGCUGGUGAUUUAGAUAAACGUCGUUCAACUACGGGGUAUCUGUUUACUCUUGCGAAAGCCCCAAUAAGUUGGAAGUCUACCUUACAGUCUACAGUAGCUGUGUCUACUACAGAGGCAGAAUAUAUGGCAGUUACAGAAGCUGUUAAGGAGGCUAUUUGGCUUAAUGGAUUGUUGAAAGACUUAGGAGUUGUUCAAAGUCACAUAAGUUUAUAUUGUGACAGUCAGAGCGCUAUUCAUUUAGCGAAAAAUCAAGUCUAUCAUACAAGAACCAAGCAUAUCGACGUAAGAUAUCACUUUGUGCGGGAAGUCUUUGAAAAAGGAAAAAUUCUACUUCAGAAGAUUCCGACAGCAGAUAAUCCCGCAGAUAUAAUGACCAAGGUGGUAACAACAAUCAAGUUUAAUCAUUGUUUGAACUUGAUUAACAUCCUGAGAAUUUGAGCACCUUCAGGUGUAUGGCGCCCGAGAGUGCAUUUGUAGGCACUACAAAAGAUAGCUUUAUCGAAUUUGGGGAGUUGAAGGAAGUGUGUGAAGAUGUGAUUAUCCUAAUCAAAUCUUCAAGGUGGAGAUUGUUAACAUUAAUGGGAGACAACAUUAAUGGCAAACAAUACAAAGUGGUGCAAGUUUAGCACCCUAAAUUUGACUUUGAAAAAGUGGCAUGGGAUAAUUUUUUUUUGGUCCUUGAGAUAAUGGGCUAUUUAUUGUUUGGUCCUUAAACCUCAACUAUAAAUAGGCCUUCUCAUUUCUCAUUUCAAUUCAUCCCAACCAAUCUUUCUCUCUUAGUUUUCUCUCUUCUCCCAUUUGAGAAUUCUUAAGGAAUUCUAUUUGUUUGUAAUACUUUGAAGAUAGUAAAGUUAUCAUCUGGUGUUAGUGCCCGAGGACGUAGGUAUAAUUUACCGAACCUCGUUAAAACUCUUGUGUUCUUUCUUGUCCUAUUUUUCUUUCAAUAUUUGAGGGUAUAAUAGUAGUAUUUAAUUGUGCUAUUAAAUUACUAUAGAAGGGAUAUUCUGUCUAAGGAAAGACUUGGUAUUUAAGAGAUCCUUGUGAUCCACCUCUCUUCCCUGGGAAUUGAACUUUGUGUGAUUUUUUAGUACAAUAAUUUACACGCUUCCGACCCUAUUGGAACAACACUCAGUUCCAUUAUCAGGCCUGAUCUUCUUCAGCUUGCUUUCGGUUUGGUUCCGAACUUUUACUUUAAAUUUCCAAAAUACUUCAGCUACGUCAGUUUUUUUGUUUCAAAAUAUAAACCCAACAAUACCUGGUACAAUCGUCAAUGAACAAGACAAAGUAUCUACACUCAUUUAAUGAUGAUAUUUUCAUAGGUUUGCGUACAUCAGAAUGAACGAACUAUAAAUUUUCAAGAGCUCGCCAAGUUUUGUUUGUUGGGAAUGGUAACCUCGUCUGCUUCCCAAGUUGACAUACUUCGCAGAUGCCACUUUGCUCCUCAAUACCGAUUAUUCUUCAACCCAACUUGCCUCACAUGUUCAACUUAGGGACUUAUAGUUCACAUGUCUCCAUAUUUUGUGCCAAAGGUUCACGUCAUCUACAGAACUGGUAUAGGUUUUUGGGUUCGCCAAAUUCCAGUCUAACAUAAUUUCUAUUUUUCAUCGAACCUGUUACAACUUCCUAUCCCAAUAAAUCAAAUAUAAUGCAACCACAAUUUUUAAAAGCCACGUUAUAAUUUUUCUUAAGUAGUUGACCAAUGCUAAGGAGAUUUUGAUCUAUUGCAAGUACUCAUAGAACAUCUAAAAUUACUUUAGUACCUUAUGGCAAGCUAAUCACCACUUCGCCUUUGUCCUUAAGUUCUAAGAGUUCGUCAUUACCAAUCCUCACCUUAAGAUCACAACUUCUAUCAAUUUUCUUGAAGAUGAUUUCAUCUGAGGCCAUGUGGUUGGUAAAUCCACUAUCAAUCAACCAAUCUUUCGCGAAUCUAUUUUUUGAUGCAGAAUAUGUGGUUGUGAACACUUGCUCCCCCUGAAUAUGAUCGCUUUUAGCUGUGAGUGUGCACAUUUUAUUACCUUUUCUUUUUGCAUACCUUCUGCACGUGUCUCAACUGCUUGCAUGAUAUGCAUUUUAUAUCUGGUUUGAACCAAAAAUAUUUCUCCAGGUGAGUUUUUCUCUUGCAGCGCGAGCAUGGAUGAUAUUUCUUUUUCCACCAUCUUGCAUCAACUUCUAUUUCAUCUUUGUCCAACCUUUCUUACUCUUAUGUUUCUAGGGUUUCACACUUUCAAUACUCAAGGCUAGUAAUGCUUCUUUUGUGUGUUCCUCUUGCCUUGAUGCUCUUAUUUGCUCUUGAACAUAUAGGGCAUUUAUCUACUUUGGAAAAUAAGUGGCUAAUAGGUCCCUUAAGUAUUCAAUUUGUUGGAACAUUUGGCAGCAAACACCAAACAGAUUUGCAAACAGAAGCAAGAAGAAUCGAAGCAAAAAGAAAAGCAAAACAAAAGCAGUGAACAAAGUUUGAAUACUCAAAAAAUUGUAACUGAACAUUACCACUUUUUCAUUCAAAUUUGAAAUAUAAAAGAAGUUACAAUGUACAUUGACAGUUACCUAAUGUAUUUAACUGCCCCAACUAAUACAAACCUAGUUGCUAGCUAAAAUUAAUCAAAUAUAGCUGACCAAUCAGCCAUUACAUCAAAAGAUCUUAUCACUAACUUAACUUCUACUAACAUUACAAGCAAACUAAGAUUGAACUAGACCAAAUUACAUUAAAACAAAACAGCAAUGUUGGUUGCUUCAUUCGGUCCAAAAAUCAUUCUUGCGCACCAAGCAAAAUGAGCUGAGCUCUGUAGGUGCUGCUGGUCUCGACAGUAGCUUACUGCUGGCUUCAUGUUGCAUUGCAGUCCAGCUCUCAACACAAUUGAGGAAAUCUUAGAUUCAUACCCCUCAGGAAGUGUUGUAAUGGCCUUCCCAACGACAAUGCUAUCUGCGAAUUGUUCCUCAAGUAACUUGAUGUUAUUAACUACCAGCAUAAUUUUGUUUGCAUAUUACUUCACUGUUUCAACCUCCUUCAUCUUCAAAUUCUCGAAAUCUCUCUUGAGAUUAAUGAGUUGUUGCUGUUUGGUCUUGUUUGAAGCUCCCUUUUAGCUUAUUUCAACCUUGUUUUAGAGUCUCAUGUGCCAUAAUACGUGUGAAUAUUACAUUUGAGAAGUCAUUCUGAAUGCAGGACAUUGCCUUUUUAGCUUGCUCGUCACUUUGGUGCUUGAUUUGAGCGACUAUUACAUUGUCCCUUAAUAGUGUGAGCUCGAUAUCAAUAUUCACAACCUCUUACAAGUCAUAAGUUUGCAGGUAGGUCUUCAUCUUAACAACUCAUAUAUUGUAGUUUUCACCAUUAAAGACUAACAGUGAAGGUGGACAAAAGUUGCAGAAUGCAUGUUUAAUUAAGAAAGAAGCAACAAUUACCCUUCAGAAUAGAAGUUCUGAUACCGAUUAUUGGAAUUUCGAUGUUAAGAAAGAAAGAAUUGCAGAAAAGAAACAAGUAAUUUAGCAACAAAAUUAUCUACUAAAGUUUCUAUUUAUUUUCACUCAUUUUUUGAACAAUGAAACAUGAGCAUUUAUAACAAAAAAAAAUUCUUAAAUAUGAAAAGAAAGAACAAAAUUUGAUGCUAAUAAAUAUAAAAUAUAUUGUACUAAUAAAUACUAAAUCUCCUCCAAAGCUGGAAAACAUAACUUGCAAUCAAGUUAUUUAAAUCCAAUUGCUUCGUAACUUCAUGCUUCAGUUUGCUGCAUCUUUACCAUGACCCUAGUUCACAUUUUAAUUCUAGUUAGCCAAAGCAAUGAGCUUGCCAAUCACUAUUUAUUUGUAACAGUUUGCCACUUACUGUUCAUUUGAGGUUGAACUUGAAGGUUGUUUUGUGAUAUCAAAUUCCAAGCUAUCAUUCCCUCGUCUAUCAAUCUCUUUGCCAUUUUUAUUUGAUGCCUUAGAGUAGGCAACAACUUUUUCAAUUAGCAAAAGGAAAAGAAAAUUCAACAAUACUCGAUAUAGAUCUGAAGAACAAUUGACAGUGUUGUAUAUUUUCCCUAUAUUCACAAUGUAGAGAUACCAUGAUAGGUACUAUUACAUUCCUCGUUAUAACCAAGCAUGAAUACAAUGAUCACUAACAACGAUGUCUGAAAGCAAAGCAUUGUAAAUUACCUAUGGUGAGAACAUCCGGAGUACAUGGAAACCUGCUCUACUAAUCCUGAAAUUUCUUCAUCCGAAACAGUUGUUGAAAUUUCCAUGAGCAAAAGAGACCUAUCAGUCAAGCCCCCCGGGCAGUACCUAAAAAUUGUUACAUCCGGAGCUGAAUGUCCCCUGCAUGACACAGUUAUUAAAGCAGAACCUCGGGCCCCGUGCUCUCUGAAUCGGAUAGGGAAGUAUUCAUUUCUUCAAAAUUCUCAGGCCUUGCCUCCAAUCUGACCCAAAACCAUUCUCAACCAGAUUGUAAAUGGUGAUGCAGUUGUUUAUAGUUCAAAAGUGAUUUAAGAUCCUCUCGUAUUCAUGGUCAAUAAAAACAUAACAUGAUGUUAUGAGAAAAGAAAAAGGAGAGGAAUCUCUAUAUAUACCUGAUUCUGCUUCGAGGCAAGAGAAUUGCAUUCAUUCUUCAUUGUGUUGGUCAACUGCAGAAAUCUUUGCUUCUCCCAAUCUAACCCUCUUUGAUGUUGGACUGAGUUUUGCUUCAUGUACAGUAUUGUGUUUAGAUUCACAAGAACUAUCAUGUAAGCCAAAUGGUUGAGAUCCAUUGACUGGAUGAACUGCUGAGAUUUUAUUCCAAAUAAUAGUAGAUAUCCUUGGAGUACCAUCGCGAGAGAUGCAUCGAAUUGAAUGGGAGAAGUCCUCAAGGAAACAAUAUCCCUCCAACUUGAUAUACCAAACUUAAAGCAGAACUGCCUAUUAUCAUACUUGGACGAGAGCUGAGAUAAAAUCAGAAGCAGACCAUGGUGAAUCCAAUAUGUGAAUCAAUAACAAAAAAAACCCAAAAAUGUUACAGAAAGUCAAAUUCUCGUAGCAUAUAUACAAUUAAAUAUGUUAUGUUUAUAUUAUACUUUGCGUAAACUACAUUUAAGGUCACUCUAAAAUAAAAUUUGUUCUAUUUUGGUAACUCUAAAUUUUUUCUCAAUUGAGAUAAAAACUUUGCGGACCUUUCUAUAAUUAAUCCAAAAUAUUUCUUUUCCUUCUCUCCUCUCUGUAACUCAAAAUGGAGAAACCAAAACAGGGCAUCACAAAGCUACCUGUCUUUCACCAUUUUCUCAACAAUAAAUCUGCGGCAACUACCAAUGAUAACCCAUCAUACAUCCUCAAAUAAUUAAAGAAGAAUAAACAUAUAUAAGUAAGAAUUGAAUGAAGAUGUUUUCAAAGAUUUAUCAUUGAAUUGGUUCAAUCGACUCGCCCAAAUUAUAAAUGCUAAAGAAAUAAAUUACAAGCAAUUGAACGAAGAUGGUUUCAAAGAAAAGACACGACCUAUGCUACCCUCUAUGAAUGUUGACCAACACCAAAAGAAUUCACUCUUAAUCGCCACGAAUGUUCAACCCUUAACGAAAAUUGUUUCAAUUUAUGUAAUUAGAUAAUAUUUUACACAAAACAUUAACACAAUUCCUAAUGAUUUAUAUAAUUAAAUAAUAUUUUGUCUAAUUAAAGCUUAGUGAAAGCUUAUUCUAGAAAUUACAUCCUAGGACUCCACUAUUUUUGUGACUUAGAAUUGUAUUUUUACUAGAUUUGGGGCUACGUUUCGCUGUGGCUUUUUCUAAGCAUAUUUGAAACAGAAACAUAUAAAUAUGAAUGGUGGAUGAACUUGAAAGGAAUUUAUGCAAUGAUAAUUGCUGUCGAAAUCUUUUUGAGAUCGUUUUGAAAUUGACUUUUUAUUUUUAAAAAAAUGAAAAUGGAGUCGCCACCAAUCACUUUCAGGAGGUGUGAUCGGGCCACCUCGUAAUUUGAUCAUUUUAAUAAGAGGUUUGAUUUACUAAAAAAAUGUUUUUCGGUCUACAAAAAUCCAAAAAAUGGGUUCAGGAGUUGGUUAUGCACGAGGAAGGAUUACCACCCUCGUUACCUCCAAAAUUGGUACCCAAUUGAUUACUUGAUGUCUUAAUGUCGAAAAUUAAAAAUUUGAAGAGAAUUUAAAAUACGAUCCCUUUGUAUUAAGAUAUUUUAAUAUAAAAGACUUUAUUUUGAAUUAAUCGAGAAGAAGGAUCAUGCCCCGUGAGUUAGGCCAUGACACCUUUAGUUUACGAAAACCAGAAUAAUUAUCGUUCAAAUCGUUGCUUAAAUCUCGUUUUUAUAUUUUUGAAAUGGAUAUUCAACUAUUUUGGUUUUAGAAAGAAGCCAUAUCCCGUAAGUUAGGAGCACGACUCUUCUAAUUCCAAAAAUAAUGAACAUUGCCGUGGUUUAAAAAUUUUAUUUUUUAUGCAUCAUGCGAAUAAACAAACAUAACACUUAAAACGAUAUGCAUUUAAUUUAUUUGGGCAUAAUAUACACAUGGAUAAAUGCUUAAACUUAAUGUAUGAUAUAUUGAUAAUGAAAUAAUUUAAAAUGGUUAUGUGGGUAAAAUGAUAAAUAAAAAGUAAAUAAAGGAAUAUUAUAAUAAUGACAUAAUUAUAAUAAUAUUAAUAAGCAUAUUAUAGUAAUUAUAAAUAAAUGAAGUAAUUUAAGAUAAAUAAAAAUGGAAAAUGCAUGAUUAAAAAGAUAAAUGGACAUGACAUGAAAGUGCCGAAAAUAAUAGGAGAAAUAAUAAAAUAACAAGAGCACACUAAAAAUAAAAUAAUAAAUGACAAUAAUAAACAAAAAUUGUACCAAUAAAAGCAUGUAUACAAUCUAAUUUUUAAGGAUGUAUAAAAAAUAAAGAGGUAAUAAAUAAAUAGAUAAAUAGAUAAUAAUAAAAUAGUAAUAAUAAUAAUAAAGACACAAAAGAAGAAAACAAAAGAAAUAAAUAAUCGAUAAAAGAAAAUAAAAAAUAUAAUAAAUAAAUGAAUAAAAGGAUUAAAAUAAAAAAUAACUGAAUAAUAUAUAAAUAGAUAAGUAUAUGAGUAAAUAAAUGAAUAACGUAAAAGGAAUAAUGAAUAAAUAAAUAAGCGAAUAAGUAAAUAAAUGAAUAAAAGAAUUAAAAUAAAAAGGACUUAAUUGCAACUUAAAUGAAAUUAAAAUUGUAAAUCGGGACAAAAUAAAUAAUAAGGGGCUAAACUGUAAUAAAAUAAAUUAAUAAAUAAAGGACUAAAUCAAAAUUUAAAUGAAAUUUAGGGGGCUAAAUUGUAAAUAAAAAUAAUAAAACAGAAUAAAGAACCAAAAUGAAAUGUACGAAAAGAAAUAGGGACUAAAUGGGAAAAUAUCCCAAACCUUAUUAAACCCACCGUUUCUUUGGCAAAUCAAGGGGAAAUAGGACCAAUUGAAAGGCAUUUAAAAAUGGAAGGACUAAACCGACAAAUAUCCCCCAUACAAAACAUGCGGAUCAUAGGGAUGGUUCUGGUCAAGUCAAUGGGUUGACUAAAACGACAUCGUUUCAGGUACCCACCUCUUUAAAUGGUCUAAGGACCAAAAUGAAAAUAAAAUAAAAUAAAGUGGAAAAAAAAAGAGAUAUGACUAGAUUGAAACAAACCGCAAAAGCGGAAGGACCAAGGCAGAAAUUAGACCCCCUUUUAAAAACACGCGGAUCCUGCUAGGGUCGGGUUGGCAGUUUUUGGCUUCAAAAUGACGUCUUUUUGGGGCACGCCGGCCAAAACGAUGUUGUUUAACCUAGCCUAUAUAAACAAAAAAAUUAUUAAAAAAUUCAUUAUGUUUACUAUUUUUAAAAAAAAAUUUGAAAACGUUUUUUCUUUUUUUUUUCUCUGAAAGGGGUCUGGGUUCGGCCAUUGGAGCUACCCACCGCGGCCACCGGCCAUCAGCAAUGGUGACUGCCAUCUUCGGUGGCUGAAAAAAUCCAGAAAAUCCCUGUUUAAUCCCCUUUUUUUUUCUUAAAAACCUCAUUUUGGGAAAAAAAGGUCAAAACAUUAGAGAAAUUGGGCCGACGGUCAUGAAACCUUUCGGUUUUUCUUCCCUCCGGCGAAGCCUUCAACUAAGCCCUAGGGGGACUCUAAGGCUUCUCGAGUCGGACACGGGCCUCCGACGACCGAAAACAGGUAAGAAAUCUUUCCUUUUUAUUUUUAAUCUUAUUUAUUACGAAAAAAAUAAAAAAUCAAAAAAUUACCUUUUAACUUUUUCUUUUCUGUUUUUUGUUGCUUUUUCGUCUCAUGGAGGCAGUUGACGAUGACAGACCUCGAGGCGCGAGCUUGUUGACGUGGGUGCGGCCCAAAAGGGGGCUAGGGUUUCUAUUUUUUUAAACUGUUUAGGUUUUUGGCCAUUUGGGCUAUUAGGGUUUUUAUUAUUUUGGGCCAUUUAGGCCUGUAAAUUUGGGCUUGACAUUUUCUGUAAUUGGAUUGUUUUGUUUUUUUAGUUUGGACUUUUUUUUGUAUCAUUUUUGUUUAAUUUUUCAUUUUAUUUGUUUGUAAUCUGGGCCUGGGCUAAAUUGGGUUAUUCACUUAUAACAUUCAUAGUGUAUCUUAUCUUAACCUUGAAUGGAUGAUGGGUUAUAUAUGUGUGACUUGUUUAUUUUGAUUUAAAUGAAAGCUUGAAUUCUAAUUAUAGAUAAGCAACUAAAAGUUGAUGCGUUGGGUGUAUACUUCUACAUUAUAUAGCUUCUUCCAUAAUAGUGGAAUUUAUAAUCAAAUAAAUGGAUCCUCUUAUUGACAUUACAUGAUAGAUAGAAAAAUAAUGUUGAAGUUAGGUAGGAAAUUAACGUUGUAUUGGCAUUAGAGGUAAAAGUCAUAUAGGAAGAAACUUCCAAAAUUCCAAAUUCCAAAUUCUUAAUUAUCCUUUGUGGAAUAAUCUACAAAUUAAUGAUUCUAUGCCGCUAGAUGAUAUGAGAUCAUUUAUGAACAAUGACGUGGUUAUGCCUACAAAUUAAUAAUCUACAAACUAAUUUUCCAACCAUAAUAAUUCACACUUAAUAAUAAUAUAUGAACAGUGGCUUGGUUAUGUCUACGAAAGAAGACUAGGACCAUAAUAAUUCCCACUUAAUUUUCCUUCAUUUCUUCUUCUUCUUCACCAAAAUUGACUUACAAAAAGCUUUAAAGUAGACUUCAAAGUAGAGUGUUGUAAUAAAGCUAACAAUUUACUCUUAUUUUUUUUUUUUUUUAAUGUUUACUUUUAUGAAACUAUAUGAAAAAGCAUAACAAAAGUUAUUGCAUAAAAAAUAUUUUUUAAGUGUAUUGGUGGUCCAUUUGUAAGUGUAAUGUGAAUUCUAUUAAUUUUUUUACUUAAAAAUAUCAAUUUUAUUUUCUUUUUUUAAUCUAUGUAUCUUAAAAUCUUAUUUUAAAAAAUAAAAUAUAAGUUUUUAAGGAAAUCAAAAUAUGAAAAUUAAACUUUGGGUUAACUUUUUUUUUUCAAUCACAUGAUUUUAUCUCUACGAUAUAAUGAAAAGAAAAGAUGAUAUAGAGUUUAAACCCAUAUUAUCUAAAUGCCAAACGAAAACUCUUAUCAUUACUCUAAAUAAGUCUUCACCAAUCAAAUCAUUUUAUUAUAACAAUUGAUAAACUUGUUUUUAAAACUCUUAUAAUUGAUAAACUUUUAUAAUGUACAAAGUAAUAAAUGAAAAAAAAAAUGUUGUCCUAAUAUCCAAUGAAUUUACGAGUUCUAACUAGUAUCAAGAAAAACAAGCUUUAAAAAAAAAGUAAUGGAUAAAAAUUAUGUGAAGUGUAGCUCUCUUUUCCACUAAAUCGUCCAUUUUAAGGGGGGAGGGGGGUGGGAAUUCAUGUUCUUCAGCACCUUACCUUUGUAAUCAAAUUUAAACCCAUUAAUGAUGAAUAUCCAUUUCAUGGUAAUUCAUUUUUUAGGAAAUGGAAUCUGAUUCAAAUGAAGACUAAAUAUAGGAACCAAGGUGAAGGGUUUGAUGGGAGGGAAUACCAGGACAAAUGGUGUCCUCUAGCUCUUUGGAGUGAAAGAUUAAGGGUGAUUCAAAGGGACCCUUUAUUUCUCUUAUAGAGUUCAAGUUUUAGAUCCACUUUAUUUCUCUUUAAUGGGUUUUCUUAUUUUUGAAUACAAUGAUUUUUUGUGCAUUUUUCCAUCUCCAUCCAAUAAUCAUCUGAAGAGCCACAAUUCAGCUUCACCAGACUCCAAAAUACCCAAAUUCACAAGGAGGAGAGGGCCAUACGGUCCCCAACCUAGGUCCCACCCCUUUCGAACACGGCACACACAAUCUAGGAUUCAACCACCAUUGGGAUUCAAUCACAAUCCACCCUUCUUUGGAUGAUUUUACAAAGAGAACGAAGCUUAGCAAGAAACAAAAUUUCAUCAAUCGAUAACCUCUUCUUAUUGAACACGAGCUCGUUGCGAGCCAACCAAAUGGACCAAAGAAAAGAAGCGGCGCAGAUGAACCACCAUUGCUUUAACAAACCUGCAAAAUUCAUGUUAAAUAGCUUAAUUACAUUUUAAUUAAUGGGUAUACUACAGAAAUUGUCACUAAACUAUGGUUCAAAUUAUGUUUCGGACAAUCAACAAAAGUGAUUAUUUAUUAUUAUUUUUUGUCAGCAAUAAUUUUUUAUUUUAUAUAUUUUUAAAUUUAUUAUUUUUAUAUAUUUUUGUUGUUUAGAUUUAGGAUCAAAUUGAGAACACUUGUAAAUUUUGAGGGCUAAUUUUUUAAAAUCAUGACUAAAUUGAUAUAAUAUGUAAAAGUUGUGGGCUAAAUGAUUGAACUAUACAAUGUGGGUGCUUAAAUUGCAAACUUUUUAUUUUGGGUGCCUAAAAUAAAAAAUUUUGAUAGUUGGGCUUGACAUUUUUUUGUAAUUGGAAUGUUUUUUUUUUAAUUUGGACUUUAUUAUUAUUAUUGUUUAAUUUUUUAUUUUAUUUGUUUGUAAUCUGAGCCCGGGCUAAAUUGGGCCUCUACAAUUGCAAAAAAAAAAAAAGGACCCAAGUAGACCCUGAAUGGAUGAUAGAUUAUAAAUGUGUGACUUGUUUACUUCAAUUUAAAUAAAAGCUUGAAUUCUAAUAGAUAAGCAACUAAAAGUUGAUGUGUUGGGUGUAUACUUCUACAUUAUAUAGCAUCUUCCAUAAUAGUGGAAUUUAUAAUCAAAUAAAUGGUAAAUAAUAUCUUCUCAUUGACGUUACAUGAUAGAUAGAAAGUAAUGUGGUCACGAGUCAUUUGUAUUAGUGAUAAAUGACUUAAUUAUCAUUUGUUAGUAAUUAUCUUUUCAUGAAGGAAGAUUAAUAGUUAUCACUAGAUAAAAUAAGAUCGAAGAGCUAAGUCAUGAUAUUUUAAUGGUUGUAAUUAAUAGAUGAAAAGUCGAAAUUUAAUUACAAAUUAUUUUAACUCAUAUUAUAAAUGUUCAGUCAAUUCCCCUGUAGCUCGAGACAACCAGAAACGACAAAUUACAUAAACUUUUACCCAUUAAUUCCAUAAACUCCAUAUUUGAAGUUUUAAUACAAUUUCACUUACUGCACGGCAUACACGUGCUUGUGAAAAAAACUUAUUUCUCCAUUAUUUAAUAUGUAACUUCAUAAGGCAGCAAGCAGCCAUUCAGUCAAGGGCAGAACACAACCCUGUAAUUGGUCCCACCAGGGCAAGUAAAUGUGCUUGUUUGAUCAUCUUUAGGGUAACUGUAAGCAUCGGGGCAUCUUGCCUUGAAGAACCUGGACAAAUCCGUUGGGCCACAAUUCCCUGAAUUGCAACAAUAUUGAUCUGUUUUGUAGACAGUGCAAGGGUUAUUGCAUCCACCUGGGGCUUUCAACUGAUUAGGGCACUGACCUAUGAUAUCAGCUGUGCAUCGAAUACCCCUGCUGCAACUGCCAGAUGUUGGACUAAAUUCCAUGGGAACAUUAAAUCCAUCAACCAGAGAGAUAUCAAAGAAAUCCAAGUUGUUGAACUGGUUUAAUGCGAAUUCAGCCAAGGUGUUUGGGGGUGCACCAUAGGCUUUGCACUGAAGUAGGCCCCCACAGUCACCGGUUUGGCAUCUGCCUCGUCCAGCUCCGUCGAAUUGGCAAUUGGUUCGACCCCAGAUACGGGCUCCUGUAGUGCCAGGAUUCACGUUUAGAUUCCAAACUGCGCCUCUGCUCAGCUCUCUGCCACCACCAGGAACGGCUGCUGCCCAGACCUUGUAAGGACAGUUGUUUCGAAUGUCAAAAUUGGCAGCACUGGCCACCGUGAAGCAGAGAGCAAUAAAAGAGAUUGAAAAUAGAGAGAGGCUUUUGAAGUUCAUCUUUGAUAUUAGCUUUCUACUUGUAUGUAGUGUGUUAGGAAAAGGUGGAUUUAUAGAGUUGUGAAUGCGGUUCAGGACCAGUAGCUAAUGUAAUCAUAUAAAUGUUACUGGAAAAAUAAUGUUGAAGUUAGGUAGGAAAUUAACGUUGUAUUGGCAUUAGAGGUAAAAGUCAUAUAGGAAGAAACUUCCAAAAUUCCAAAUUCCAAAUUCUUAAUUAUCCUUUGUGGAAUAAUCUACAAAUUAAUGAUUCUAUGCCGCUAGAUGAUAUGAGAUCAUUUAUGAACAAUGACGUGGUUAUGCCUACAAAUUAAUAAUCUACAAACUAAUUUUCCAACCAUAAUAAUUCACACUUAAUAAUAAUAUAUGAACAGUGGCUUGGUUAUGUCUACGAAAGAAGACUAGGACCAUAAUAAUUCCCACUUAAUUUUCCUUCAUUUCUUCUUCUUCUUCACCAAAAUUGACUUACAAAAAGCUUUAAAGUAGACUUCAAAGUAGAGUGUUGUAAUAAAGCUAACAAUUUACUCUUAUUUUUUUUUUAUUUUUAAUGUUUACUUUUAUGAAACUAUAUGAAAAAGCAUAACAAAAGUUAUUGCAUAAAAAAUAUUUUUUAAGUGUAUUGGUGGUCCAUUUGUAAGUGUAAUGUGAAUUCUAUUAAUUUUUUUACUUAAAAAUAUCAAUUUUAUUUUCUUUUUUUAAUCUAUGUAUCUUAAAAUCUUAUUUUAAAAAAUAAAAUAUAAGUUUUUAAGGAAAUCAAAAUAUGAAAAUUAAACUUUGGGUUAACUUUUUUUUUUCAAUCACAUGAUUUUAUCUCUACGAUAUAAUGAAAAGAAAAGAUGAUAUAGAGUUUAAACCCAUAUUAUCUAAAUGCCAAACGAAAACUCUUAUCAUUACUCUAAAUAAGUCUUCACCAAUCAAAUCAUUUUAUUAUAACAAUUGAUAAACUUGUUUUUAAAACUCUUAUAAUUGAUAAACUUUUAUAAUGUACAAAGUAAUAAAUGAAAAAAAAAUGUUGUCCUAAUAUCCAAUGAAUUUACGAGUUCUAACUAGUAUCAAGAAAAACAAGCUUUAAAAAAAAAGUAAUGGAUAAAAAUUAUGUGAAGUGUAGCUCUCUUUUCCACUAAAUCGUCCAUUUUAAGGGGGGAGGGGGGUGGGAAUUCAUGUUCUUCAGCACCUUACCUUUGUAAUCAAAUUUAAACCCAUUAAUGAUGAAUAUCCAUUUCAUGGUAAUUCAUUUUUUAGGAAAUGGAAUCUGAUUCAAAUGAAGACUAAAUAUAGGAACCAAGGUGAAGGGUUUGAUGGGAGGGAAUACCAGGACAAAUGGUGUCCUCUAGCUCUUUGGAGUGAAAGAUUAAGGGUGAUUCAAAGGGACCCUUUAUUUCUCUUAUAGAGUUCAAGUUUUAGAUCCACUUUAUUUCUCUUUAAUGGGUUUUCUUAUUUUUGAAUACAAUGAUUUUUUGUGCAUUUUUCCAUCUCCAUCCAAUAAUCAUCUGAAGAGCCACAAUUCAGCUUCACCAGACUCCAAAAUACCCAAAUUCACAAGGAGGAGAGGGCCAUACGGUCCCCAACCUAGGUCCCACCCCUUUCGAACACGGCACACACAAUCUAGGAUUCAACCACCAUUGGGAUUCAAUCACAAUCCACCCUUCUUUGGAUGAUUUUACAAAGAGAACGAAGCUUAGCAAGAAACAAAAUUUCAUCAAUCGAUAACCUCUUCUUAUUGAACACGAGCUCGUUGCGAGCCAACCAAAUGGACCAAAGAAAAGAAGCGGCGCAGAUGAACCACCAUUGCUUUAACAAACCUGCAAAAUUCAUGUUAAAUAGCUUAAUUACAUUUUAAUUAAUGGGUAUACUACAGAAAUUGUCACUAAACUAUGGUUCAAAUUAUGUUUCGGACACUCAACAAAAGUGAUUAUUUAUUAUUAUUUUUUGUCAGCAAUAAUUUUUUAUUUUAUAUAUUUUUAAAUUUAUUAUUUUUAUAUAUUUUUGUUGUUUAGAUUUAGGAUCAAAUUGAGAACACUUGUAAAUUUUGAGGGCUAAUUUUUUAAAAUCAUGACUAAAUUGAUAUAAUAUGUAAAAGUUGUGGGCUAAAUGAUUGAACUAUACAAUGUGGGUGCUUAAAUUGCAAACUUUUUAUUUUGGGUGCCUAAAAUAAAAAAUUUUGAUAGUUGGGCUUGACAUUUUUUUGUAAUUGGAAUGUUUUUUUUUUAAUUUGGACUUUAUUAUUAUUAUUGUUUAAUUUUUUAUUUUAUUUGUUUGUAAUCUGAGCCCGGGCUAAAUUGGGCCUCUACAAUUGCAAAAAAAAAAAAGGACCCAAGUAGACCCUGAAUGGAUGAUAGAUUAUAAAUGUGUGACUUGUUUACUUCAAUUUAAAUAAAAGCUUGAAUUCUAAUAGAUAAGCAACUAAAAGUUGAUGUGUUGGGUGUAUACUUCUACAUUAUAUAGCAUCUUCCAUAAUAGUGGAAUUUAUAAUCAAAUAAAUGGUAAAUAAUAUCUUCUCAUUGACGUUACAUGAUAGAUAGAAAGUAAUGUGGUCACGAGUCAUUUGUAUUAGUGAUAAAUGACUUAAUUAUCAUUUGUUAGUAAUUAUCUUUUCAUGAAGGAAGAUUAAUAGUUAUCACUAGAUAAAAUAAGAUCGAAGAGCUAAGUCAUGAUAUUUUAAUGGUUGUAAUUAAUAGAUGAAAAGUCGAAAUUUAAUUACAAAUUAUUUUAACUCAUAUUAUAAAUGUUCAGUCAAUUCCCCUGUAGCUCGAGACAACCAGAAACGACAAAUUACAUAAACUUUUACCCAUUAAUUCCAUAAACUCCAUAUUUGAAGUUUUAAUACAAUUUCACUUACUGCACGGCAUACACGUGCUUGUGAAAAAAACUUAUUUCUCCAUUAUUUAAUAUGUAACUUCAUAAGGCAGCAAGCAGCCAUUCAGUCAAGGGCAGAACACAACCCUGUAAUUGGUCCCACCAGGGCAAGUAAAUGUGCUUGUUUGAUCAUCUUUAGGGUAACUGUAAGCAUCGGGGCAUCUUGCCUUGAAGAACCUGGACAAAUCCGUUGGGCCACAAUUCCCUGAAUUGCAACAAUAUUGAUCUGUUUUGUAGACAGUGCAAGGGUUAUUGCAUCCACCUGGGGCUUUCAACUGAUUAGGGCACUGACCUAUGAUAUCAGCUGUGCAUCGAAUACCCCUGCUGCAACUGCCAGAUGUUGGACUAAAUUCCAUGGGAACAUUAAAUCCAUCAACCAGAGAGAUAUCAAAGAAAUCCAAGUUGUUGAACUGGUUUAAUGCGAAUUCAGCCAAGGUGUUUGGGGGUGCACCAUAGGCUUUGCACUGAAGUAGGCCCCCACAGUCACCGGUUUGGCAUCUGCCUCGUCCAGCUCCGUCGAAUUGGCAAUUGGUUCGACCCCAGAUACGGGCUCCUGUAGUGCCAGGAUUCACGUUUAGAUUCCAAACUGCGCCUCUGCUCAGCUCUCUGCCACCACCAGGAACGGCUGCUGCCCAGACCUUGUAAGGACAGUUGUUUCGAAUGUCAAAAUUGGCAGCACUGGCCACCGUGAAGCAGAGAGCAAUAAAAGAGAUUGAAAAUAGAGAGAGGCUUUUGAAGUUCAUCUUUUAAAUUAGCUUUCUAUUUGUAUGGAGUGUGUUAGGAAAAGGUGGAUUUAUAUAGAGUUGUGAAUGCGAUUCAGGACCAAUAGCUAAUGUAAUCAUAUAAAUGUCUACAAAUUAAUAAUCUACAAAAUAAUUUUCCAACAAGGAAAAGAAAGAUUUUUCAAUUGAGAUGGGAUGGUAUGGGAUCCACACUUGACAACUUUGGAACAGUGACUUUGUUAUCUCUAGAUUCACAGGUGAUGCUUCAAUUAAUAGAAGUAGAAGUAAAUCAAUUAGUUCUUAAGAGAUUACAAAGAUCAUAACUUAUAUGAGAUUUUACUGCUAGAAAGUUCCAUCAAUCAAUAGUUAUGUUGAGUGAAUUUAUAGACAAAAUAGCCCAGAAAUUGUAAAUAGCAGAGCAAACGUAAGGUUGCAAUAAACUGAAGCCUUUAAUUUUCUUUUUCGUGAAUGAAAUGAAAAGCUCUACAUAAAAUUAGAAAGCCUCAAAAGAAAGUUUCAAAUAAUUGUAAGCCUUUUCCUCUACCAAAUGCAAAUUUGGAAAUACAAUCAGCUUCAAUAUUUUCCUCUCCAAGGAUAUAAUCAAGAGACUAACUUUCCACUUUUUGCAAGAGUUUAACUAUGCGUCUGAUUAUUGCUGAAUUUGAGCACUUGGACAAGGAAUCGUUGAUAGCCUCAAUAACUUUUAUGUUGUCUGUUUGCACUAAAAUUUUAUGAUAAUGCCUUUCUUGCACCAACAACACACCAUCAAGAAUGCCCCACAAUUCGGUUUUAAUUGUUGAACAAGGCCCCAAACGACGAUUAUAACCAAUUAUCCAUUUUCCAUUGUUCUCUCUCACUACUCCUCCGGCGGCAGGGCAUCCCGUGUUAAUUUUAACAGUUUCAUCUAUCCUUAAUUGGAUCCAUCUUUCUGCUUCCACUGAAUUCACCCUUGAUAAUUGCCUCACAGGACCUCCAUUACAAACAACAAGAUAUUAUUUAGUUCAACUAUACACAUUUUUUUACUAUUUCCUCUGCACUCCAUGUCACACCUUGAAAGAUACAUAUAUUAUUAUUCUUCCAAAUACACCAAGUAACAAUGCCAAAAAUGCACGACCAAUCUACAUCCCUCAUAACUAAAUUAUGACCAAUCUACACCUUGAGUGAUCUGGUACCUAACAUCUUUCGCUGUCCCACAAUCUCUAAUGGUAUGAAUUACAUCCUCCAAUUCAUGACCACAGAUUGAACAUCUCGCAUCACUACCAAUUCCACACCUCAAUCGCUCCUCCUAAGUAAGCAAUUGUUGUUUGAGAGCCAAUCAAAGAAAACCCGAACCCUUUGAGGCCCUGAACCUUCCAUGGCAGAUUCCAAGCCUCCACCCUAAGAUUCCACAAUCUCUCCUUGAUCAUACGAGAUGCACUUUUAAUAGAAAAACUCGCCAAGGGAUGCGGUGGUGGAAUACUAGUAAUAUGCCCAGUAAUUUUUUCCGAUAACCAAACCCGAAAAAACUCUAAAUUCCACCUACCUUCUUUUGUAACCAUUAAUUUUAUUUUUAAGUAACCUUUAAUUUAUUUUUUAUGGUAAUGUUUCAUUAAAAAUCAAAUAGUUAAAUAAAUAAAUAAUUGAAUAUCAGACUAAUAUAGGGCAAAAUCCCACUCAAUACCCAACAUCAAUGUCAAAGACGUGACAGUAAAGGCUGAAUAGUCUAAGUCAAGGUCUUUGCAAUUUGCUAAGGCACUAAUUGAAGCUCUCCCUUUCUAUCUCUGUUUUUCUCUCAUUUUCCCUAUCAAGUGGUGGAUUAAAACUAUAUACAUAGAAUAACUGGUAAUUAACAACAUUUAUUAUUUCCACAAAAAGCAUUUACUGUUUCUAAAUUUGGAUAAUAGUUAUGUAUUUUCCUAUUUUUCUCUACUUAAAUCACGUGGAAAUUAACAAAUUUUAAAAUUCCACAAGUUUAUAAAGACAAAUAGACAUAAAGUUGUGCUUUUAUUGUCUUCUCCUUUUAUGAUAAAAGAUAUAUUUCAGGUUGAAAUAUGCUAUUAAUAUCUUUAGUUUUAUCAAUUUUAAACGUUAAAAUUUUAAUUUUUUUUUAAAUUUAAAAAUCCUAAUUCAAUUAAUUUUUAUCAAAAUUUAUCAAUUUAUUGUUUUCGUUAAUUGUAUGUUACAUUAUAUGAAAAUAACCUAAUCAAUAUGUUAAGUUAAGUUGAUAAAUUAUGGAGAAUUGAACGAAAAUUUCUUCGCCCCCACAGACGACUUUCCGUUAAUGUUGAAACAAGAAAACCGACCUAUGCGACCCUUCACUCUUAAUCACCAUGAACGUUCAACCCCACACGAAAGAGGACUGGGAACAUAGUAAUUCACACUUAAUUUUGCUUCAUUCUCUCUCCUUUUUUUUCUUAUUCACGAAAGUCAUACUACUAAUAAUAAAAACUGACUUACAAAAGCUUCAAAGUAGUCUUCUAAUGAAGCCAGUCAUUUUCUGUUUUCUCUUUAUAAUACUAUUUUUUUAAAUAAACAAUUAUAAAAAUUGACUUACAAAUUCUGCAAAGUAGAUUGUUGUGAUAAAGUUAACAAUUAACUCUUAAUUUUUAUUUGGUGAAAGGAAAAAAACAAAGAUAAACAACUUGUAAUGACCCAAAUUACUGAGAAGGAUGAGUCCAAGGAAGAAGAGCAACAUCUCAACUCAUCUUUUGUUGAGAUCCAUUGGCAACAGUUAGAAAAUGACAGAAAAAUUUGCCUAAUCCUAUUUACUACUGUUUUUGUACUCCUAAUUUGAAGGAUCAAGGAGGAAGAAAACGAGACCUAUGGCUGCCACGUCUACUCAAUUAUUAAGUUAAUCAACUGAAGGAAUUUAUCGAACACUUUAGAGUACCUUCACUCUUUUCUUCACUCAUAUCCACUUAUUUCCUCAACAACCUGACUCUGAUACCAGAAUGUUAAGUAUAAAAUCAAGUGGGAGCUGAAAAUAAGUGUCACAUUUAUUGAAGAUAGAAAGCUGGCUUUUAUAGCCUUACAAAUGACAAUAUAGAAUCACAGCUAACACCUAUAUCACCUAUAAACAAUGAUCACCACUAAACAACUUUAAAAACACUAAAUAAUUCAAACAAAUCCAUCUCAGAAAACACGUACAAAAUAUGGGUAUAAAGGCUGCCCCAUAGUAAAUGGCUAAGUUAAUUAUGUUUUAGACCUCCUCAUAUUAUUUUCAAUUUUCAAUUUUUUUCAUAUUAAAAUUUUAAAUAUAGACAACUUCACAUUUUUUUUUAAUAUUUAUAUGGUGUUAUGGGAUAAAUUAUUUUAUGAACUUUUCUUAUCACAUCAUUCAUGAUCCUUACCAAUUAAAAAUAAAUAUAUCAUCUUUUUUUCCGCAUUAUAUGUACAGUUGGUAAGAAGAGAUCGUGGAUGAUAUGAAAAAAAAGAUUAAGUAUUUAUUUUUAAUUUGUAGGGACCAUGGAUGAUGUGUUACGGAGAGCUUAUAAAAUAAUUUUUCGUGUUAUGGUAAUUAUUUGAUACACCACCAAUGGAAUUUCUUGGAAUCCACAAGCGGAUUGAGAGUUUCACAAAUACCACAUUUUUCAUAUAAUUACUUUUUUGAUUUUUUUAUUACACCCUAUAAUUCUCAUGUCAAACUCAAAUUAGUGAAAUGAAAUAAACGGAAACAGAUUCUACAAAAUUAGUGAAAGUUAAAGAAAUUGGCACAAUAUCCUUUAAGCAUGUAAUAAUUCAGACUAUGAGGCAAUGAGUUGGAAGUAACUGAAUACAGAUAAAGAAGUUGUUUUUCGUUUUAUUUUUAAAUGAAAGUUGGAGAAUACUUUUAAUGGAAAAUAAGUAUACCUGUUCAUGGGUCAGGUCAUUUGGCACGACCAGAAGAUCUGCUUGAAAAGUGGCAGGAUUUGACAAAAAUAUGAGCCUGAAAAAUGGCUUUGUUUGCAAAAAAAAAAAUAACUGUUGUUUUCUUGCUAUUUUUGCACUGUUUUACUGUUGUUUUCGUACUUUUUUUUGCUACCAUUUUACAAUUAUGUUGUUACUAUUUUGUUGUUAUUAUUUGAAUAUUGUUUAACUCUUAUUUUAUUGUUAAUUUUGUUACUAUUUUAGAGGCAUUUGUGUGUUGAGUUGCACUUAUUUUAGUGUUAUUCAAGUAUAAAGAUUUUUAAAAUUUUAUUUUCAAUUUGUUGGGAAAUAUUUAUUUUUAAUGUGUUAUAUUUUUUUAAAAAUAAUAUAAAAAUUUUAAUACAAGUGCGCUGGACCCGAGUUUUAGCAUAUUUAUCCAGGUCGGGAUUGGACAAAAUUUUAAGCUAAUUUUUCGAGCCAAACUUGGGCUUGAAAUUUUAUCAAAGCACACCCCAAACCUGAUCCGUUCUAUGAAUAGAUUUAGAAAUGAGUAACAAAAAUCAUGGGGGGGGGGGGAAUGGGGACCGUUGCUUUUGAAUUUUGAUGCUCUUCUUUUCUCUUGCUUUUGGUCAGUAUCCCAAAUUUCCGUGUAAAGUAACAUUGACCUUGGCCUCCAUAGCAAUACAGCUAACACCAUUACUGUUUUUGGGAUUGAAUCACAAAUAUUUAUAGUAUUCGCCAUAUAUAGAUUUGUAAAUUCUUGCUCUAAUUCACUUGAAUCAUAACUCGACCCAAAUUGAAACGUUGAUUGUAGUUAUAUUGUUAUUUAACUUAAUGUUUAUAUCAUUAUUAUUAUUUAAGCUAGUCAAGGUUGAUGUCACGAGUUAAUCGGACACUAAUUCGAUGAAGAAGAUUAUGAAAAUAUCUUUCCGUAAUUAAAAUAAGUUAAUAUUAUUUGAGGGUACUUUAGUCUUUUUAUUUAAAAAACCAAUAAAAAUGUAGGCAUAAGAUAAAUUCUACAUAUUCUCUUACCAAAAGUCGGAUUGCAUUUUAUCCAUAUUACUUUUUAAAUUGGUAAAUUAGUCUUUGUAUGUUAGAUUAAAGAGCAAAGUGAUUCUUUCGGUUAAAAAAUUCAUCUAUUUCAGCUAUAAAAAUUGAUGUAGCUAACAAAUUAAUUAGACAAUUACUUGUGACAUGCUAACGUACAAUGACCAAUUUUUAAAAAUAUAAUAUGGAUGCACCUUUUAAUAGAAGGACUAGUUUUGAUCUAAAGUACAACAACUAAUUUGCUAUCAUUUUUAAUAGAGGGGACAAAAUACAAUUUGACUCAGAGUAUAAGGGUCUCAAUGAUACUUUUACCGUAACAUUUUCUUUCAUUAUAUACAUUUAGUAAGCAAAAAGAAAAAAAUGUUUUUCUUAAUUUUAUUUAUCGCUUUCAGUUCCAAGGUGUCACUAAUCGCUCCCAUAUAGCUAGCUUCAAAUUAAGUUUUAUUUAUUGUUAAGUCUAUAUUAUCAGAGAUGUUAAUGGGUUGGAUUGGUUGGACUUAUAUAUAUAUAUAUAUAUAUAUAUAUAUAUGAUGUUAGUACAUUUUAUAUUUACUUAAGCUCAGUCAAACAUGAAAUAUAGGCUUAAAAAUUUGUCUAAGGCUGUCCAUAUUUGUAAAUCACUGACUUAAGCCUUGUUUUAAGAGAUUUGUAGAAUUUGGCAAAUUCGUUCAUCAUGUUCUUGAAGAAAAAUGUUCUAUGUUUGAAAAUUUUUUGUUGUUGUUCAUCCAUGAAUCUUUUCGGAGAUGAUGAGUUGUUUAAAAAAAAAAAACGAGUGAAGAAAAUAGUAUUAUAGUUGAGAAAUUUUAUUCAAAUAUGUAUGAUGAGUUGCAGUUGGUUGGAUGGACCUACACUGGUGUUUUUCAUGCAUUGGCUUGCUUUUUACACUUUCUUCUAUUUAUUCAAUCAUUCUCAGUCUCGUGCCUAUAAAUUUUGUAUUUAAUAAGGCCGCUUAAAAAAUAUUUUUGCAAUGAUCAAAUAUAUAAUAUUAUAUUUUUCCACAAAAAUAUAUAAAUAAUAUUAUAUGUUGUACUUUUUUCAUAAUUAUAUAAUAAUCUUUUAAUUGUCGAAACCAUUUUUGAAAAGGCGUCGACUUUUGUUUGAAAACGAAAAUUAAACGAGAGUCGCCACCGAUCAUUUUUAUGAGGUGUGAUCGGGUCACCUCGUGGCGAUUUAAUUUUGUAUUUAAAAAAUAGUUUGCAUUGAUAAUAUAUAUAUAUAAAAUAUUAUAUUUUUCCACAAAAAAUAUAUAAAUAACAUUAUAUGUUUCAGUUUUUGCAUAAUUAUAUAAUAAUCUUUUAAUUGCAUGUGUUUUAAGGAUCAAAUUGAUAAAAUAUGUGAGCAUUGAGAAAUAAUGGUGUUAUUAUACCAUUUAGAAAAGGAUUGUGUCUUUACUUUUAUUAACGGAGAGUGACCAAAAUAGAAACGAUCUAAAACGUUAUGAAAAAACUAAAAAAAUUAUAUAAUUGAGUAAUAAUUAUAUAAUUCCACAAUUAACUAGUCUUGACUCAUAAGUAUAGCUUGGGAUACAGCUAAAAAGAGCCAUAAAAUAUACAAAAAAUGUUUCAAAGAAAGGCAAAGAUAGGAAUGAAACAAAAACAAAUCAAAUUAGUGCUUUUAUAAGAUGGAAAAUUUUACUAAUUUUAUUUUUAGCAUUAUAAUGUCAACUUUUUAUCUGAAAGUUGUGAAUUUCGUUCUUGUUUUGAGCAAAAUCAGGUUUUCUAUUUUUUUUUAUUUAAAAUGUUGUCGAUGUUGUUUGGUAUAUUUUCUGUUAAGAGAUUCCUUGAUAAAUUUAAUGAUAGUAGUCCAACAAGACUUCCAAUUUUUUUGGGAUCUCUCUUGUGAGAGUAGUAGCUGAAAUGUUUAUGUUGGUAACCAGUCUUGAUGUGAUACUGUAUUCAUCCUCUCAUCCUUUCUGCACCAAUAAUGCACUCAAAAGUAAGAGGCAAUCAGAUGAAAUAGCAGUGCCACCACGCAGCAUCAUGCUUAAUUUUUGUGGCCAUUGCACUUGGAUUAGUGAAACAUUUCGAAAUAGCUCUUGAAAUCUUGUUAUGGGAAAGGUCUAAGUUUUGAAGAUUUUGAAGAGCACAAAUUUUAUGAGGCCAUCAAGUUUAUUUAAUCGUAGGCUUCAAACCACAAGUCUAGUGUCUUGAGAGCUUGUCACCACUGAAAUGAUUUUCAUUGAAAUCAAGAAUGACUAAACUUGAAAAUAUUGCAAUGUGGAUGGUAAUUUUCCAAACAUGCUAUUGUUUUGAAGUUUUAGCCUUAGAAGAUUUGCAUAUCCCAGUAUUGGAAAUUGGCCAACCAUGCUGCUGUUACAUUUUGUGGUUGAAGUGCAUGCAGCUUGAUGACAUGCUGCAGCACAUAUGCUUGCUGUAACAGCAAGGUUUCUCUUUAGUUUCAUUCUAAUUAAUCUUGUUUAAAAUGGACAAGUUGAUGACAACUUGAUGCAUUAGGUGUUGAAUGACUAGUUUAGGUGGCUUGUUUAUGUGUACAAGCAAUGUUUUAAUAGUCCCAAUGCUGAUUAGUGGGGUCAGUUGACUAUUUGGUGAUGUAUUUGACUAUAAAUGUAUGUUUUUUCUAGUUGAAUGAAUGAGCUGAAUGAGCUAUCAGCCAUUAGCUCCCUUGCUGCACAUUUGUGAGCAAGUAAAAAUGCUUCUUGCACCUUGCUUCAUGUUCUGUGCUCUUGUUCUCUCUUUUGUUGCUGCCUCUUGCUCCAACAAUUGGUAUCAUGAGCCUAUGUCUUACGGGACCAUUGAUUUUGCUUCCCCUGCUUGUUGAAAAGAAAGAAGCUGUCAAAGCACAAGCAAGUCAUUAAGGACUGCUUGUAGAAAAGAUAAUAUCGGCUCAAACUUAUAAGAUCCCCAAACUAGCUUGAAUAAGCUAAAGGAGGAGUUUAAAGGAAAGGUGUGAGCUUUCCAAAUGUGCAAGCUUAGCAAGAUGUCAAAGCUGCAAGCUUAGCAAAGUGCGAGCCUGAUGAAGACACCUGUUGAAGACAAUAUGCAAAGAUGUGAGUCUGUCAAAGGUGUGAGCUCAGCAACAUGUGGAAGCUCAAUGCGUGUUGUAUAGUUGCAAGCCUCUUGAAGACAGUAAGCAAAGUGUGAGCCUGUCGAAUUGCAAGCCAAAAUGGCAGAAUGAAGGCAAGCAACUAUACUCACGAACUGUUUGUGCAAGAAGAAAAUGAAUUGGUCAGCUUGAAUCAAAGCAUCUAAGAGCUGCCAAGUUCAAAAAACUUGAUGAAUGACUGGUAUUUGCAGCAUGGAGUCCAAGGAGGAGUAUUGGAAAUUGGCCAACCAUGCUGCUGUUACAUUUUGUGGUUGAAGUGCAUGCAGCUUGAUGACAUGCUGCAGCACAUAUGCUUGCUGUAACAGCAAGGUUUCUCUUUAGUUUCAUUCUAAUUAAUCUUGUUUAAAAUGGACAAGUUGAUGACAACUUGAUGCAUUAGGUGUUGAAUGACUAGUUUAGGUGGCUUGUUUAUGUGUACAAGCAAUGUUUUAAUAGUCCCAAUGCUGAUUAGUGGGGUUAGUUGACUAUUUGGUGAUGUAUUUGACUAUAAAUGUAUGUUUUUUCUAGUUGAAUGAAUGAGCUGAAUGAGCUAUCAGCCAUUAGCUCCCUUGCUGCACAUUUGUGAGCAAGUAAAAAUGCUUCUUGCACCUUACUUCAUGUUCUGUGCUCUUGUUCUCUCUUUUGUUGCUGCCUCUUGCUCCAACACCCAGAUAAGGUUGGAUUUUCUAAUCUCAAAAAUGGAAGAUUCCAUCAAUUUGGAAAUUUUCCAAAGAGGAGAUUUCUAUCAAUGUAAAGAGCUGUCAUUUGUCGAUCUCCUAAUGAGUUACAAACCAAUUCAGAAAGGGUUGAAAUCCCCCCAGUAAGGAAACUUCAAGAAAAGAUGCCAUUGACUCCAUUCAAUAAUUCCACAUUGAAACAAGGGAAUCCAACUUAAGUUUGGUUGAAAUCUCAAACAUGUGUUUCGGAUGCCUUCAAUGUUGCAAAAUUCGUGAGAUUAGAAAAGUAGGCUUCUAAAACAACUCCUUUGAGCAGAUUAUGCCCAAAUGGAAAAGUACCACUUAAUAGAUUUUCUAAAACAUCAAAGAACUUCAAAGAUGAUUACUCCCCUAUAGACAAUAGAAUUGGACAGGAAAGCUAUAUAUAUAUAUUUUUUUGAAUAAAGGAAAGCUAGAUUUUUAAAUUGCCCAAGUUGGUCAAUUAAAUGGCCAGAAAGUUGAUUAUCUACGUAUUCAUCGACUUUAAGCAAUCUAAACAACAUCUAGACAAACUCUGCAGGAUUUCUGAUAUGUCUUGAUCAAUUUUAUUAUUCGAAAGAUCAAGAUGAAUAACAAAGCUCUAGUUUCCAUUGGCACUUCAAACGUUAUCUUGUAAAUUGUUAUAGUGAAGACCAAGGAGUCGAAGAUGGGAAUGGAUGGAUUGAGAAGAUUGGAGCUAAGGUCAAGAACUUCAAGAAACGAUAUAUUCCCAAAGUAAUCUGGAUUUGGGCCUUUCAAAUGAUUGACACUAAGAUCAACAGACACAAGACCAUGAAGACUAAAUAUCAAGUUAUCUUCUAGAAUACGUUUUAUUUGGAGGGGGUAUCCUAACAUUUAUGAGUGCCAUGUUUAGUGAUAUUUAUUACACCAUAAAGUUUUUCAUACCCUGUUAAAGUGGAUUUUGGGCUCUAAUAGAUUUUUGGGGAAUUGUUCCAUUUUCGAUGCCGAAUUGUGGGGCAUCUUGAAUGGUUUGACUUUCCUAUGUGAUCAUGGCUAUGACAACAUUCUAAUUCUACCUUGAUCAAGAGAAUAUAUCAAUUGCUGUUACGAUUUGAGCACUAGCACGUUUGGCACAUCUUCAGAUGAUAAUCAUGAUGCUGAUAGAUUGGUUAAACUAACUCACUAUAAAUUGUAUGAUUUAUGCUUGUAAGAGGCCUCCCUACUAGGGAUGUCGAUUUAAAUUUUGUAACUAGUUUAAGUAGUCUUUCUGUCAAAAAAACAAUUCGAAGUAAUUAUUUGUAAAAAAAAAAAAAAACACUCACAACCUCAAUUGACUGUAAAACAAAAUAGAAAGGAAGCAUGAGUGAAAGAACUACUUGAUGACCUUCCUUUAUAUAGUAAGCAUAUCAGAGAGACUAAAAAUUCAAUUUAAUCAUUUCAUUGAAUGAAAAAACUGAAAGGAAACAAGGUGAUCAGAGAGCCAUAUGUCAGCAGUUUAGACAUAGAGAUAUUUUACUCAAUAGUAUUCGCACAUAAUUUUUCUCAUCCAAGGACUUCAAUAGGAAUACUUCUUAUAAUGUUAUCUUAAAUUAUUUUACAUAUAAUGCAUUUUUCAUUUGAAUCCGAAAAAAAGGGUUAACAUUUCUUUUCAAUAUAUGUUAUCCUAAAAAAAAAAAAGAAAUCAUGAAACUCUUCAUUGGUAUAGAUUAUUUUUGGGAUAAAUUUCAAAACUAUAUAUGAACCAUAGUUUAAUGUGCAAUUGUAUACUUGAAUUUUGAUUUUGUAUAAUUUUAUACAUGAAAUUUUGAUUUGAUCCAAUUCUUGUAAAUUGUUAACACAAUUAUUGAUAACAUCAUUUUAUGUUUUUAUAUUGCAUAUAUAAAUAAUUAUAUUUAUCCAAUAUAAAAAUACAUUGAUUUAUUUAUUUCUUUAAAUGUGUAUGGUUAAAUCAAAAUUAAAGUUUCAAGUAUAUAUUUGAACCACAAUUAGAAUUUCACGAGUAUAAUUGCAUCAAAUUAAAGUUCAUGUAUAUAAUUGCACAUUAAAUCAAAAUUUAUGGAUAAAUAAACAAAUAACAUGUGAAGUCUCCCGAGAAUUUAGUGCAAUCAAUGCUUCUUUUUAGAAAUAUAAAUUUAACUCAGAAAAUUUUCAUGGAAAGAUUGGCGAAUGAAAUAGAAAAAAAUAAAUUAUAUACAUCACUAAAAUGAACUUCUUACAAUAGAGAUUCUCGUAAUUUUAGCUUCAUAAUGUGUGGUUUGUGUAUCUCAUGUUGACGUUUAAGAACCAGUUUUAAAAAAAAAUGGAAAUUUUUAACAAAAUGAAUAAUUUACUUUUUGAUCUAUCGUAUAAGGAUUAAUUUACCUAUUUUUUAAAUAGAGAAACAAAAUGUAAUUGACUCAUAAUACAAGAGCCUCUACAAUACUUUGACCUAAAUACUUACAUAGCUAAAAUUGAGCAAAAUAAGCACAUAAAAGCUAUGUAAAAAAACUAGAUAAGGUGAAUUUUAAAUAAGGAUGGCGACGAAGUAAAAUGAGUCGUUUUUUGUUGGCUCAUGAUCCUUCAACUUGAUUUUUAAGUAAAUAUAUUCACUCAAACUCAAACCUUUUUAUUUCAACUAUAACCCUUAAAAUAUUUAUUUAAUCUCAUGACCGUUCAUAUGAAAUUUUACAUAAUGUUUUUUAUUACAUUAACUUUAACAAAAUUAAUCCCAAUUUUAUUUACAAAAUUAAAAUGUGGCAUUAUAAUCAAUAUAUCUGGACGAGAUAGAGAUUUGACUCUACAAAUUUUAAUGCAUGAAAAACUCUAUCCAACUUGCUCCAAACUCAAUUUUUAAAAACAAAAAACCAUCUUUGUAUGGCCGGGGUGGAUGGUAUCCCGGCAACUUAAUGGACUUUUGAAAACCUCAAUUUCAAAUAUGGGUAUGUAUUUGAUAUGAGUAUAUUAAAAUUUUUAUAAAUUAUUUUAUAUAUUUUUGAAGGAUUAUAUGCUCAUUCUCAUGUCUGAAUGUGUUGAACUAAUACUUCAAAAUAAAAAUAAAAAAUUGAAAUAACUCUAAUGAGAGAUACUAAUUUGAUCCAUAAAAGCUAACGAAGAAGAGAGAAAACGAAAUGCAACAUUUACAACUUUUAUUUUCCAGACCAAAUGCAAAAAGGAGGACGUUUUGAGGUUGUUUCCUGUCUUACUGGGAAGGGUGAGUCCAAGGAAGAAGAGCAACAGCUGAACUCUUCUUUUGUUGAGAUCCAUUGGCAAUAGUUAGAAAAUGACAGAAAAAAAAAAAGAAGCCUAAUCCUAUUUACUACUAUUUUUGUUACUCCUAAUUUGAAGGAUCAAGGAGGAAGAAGACCAGAUCUAUGACUGCCACGUCUACUCAAUUAUUAAGCUAAUCAACUGAAGGAAUUUAUCAAACACUUCAAACUGUUUUUUAACAUUUUUUGUUGAAAAACAUUUUGAAGUACGACAAAACAUAUUGUUGGUGCAAGAGGCAGCAGCAAGCUGUUUCUAGUCUUGCUUGAGUAGUAAGGCUCGAGGCUUGGUGAAGAAGCAAACUCGGAAGCAGAAAAAACAGAAAGAUGAAGCUAGCAAGUGAAAACAGAAAAGAGAGAAAGAGAUUGAAUGAAAAUGAGCUGAUAUUUUUUCAUUAACACAUGAACAAGGCAUUAAGCCAUUACAUAUAUCAGUCAAUAAGUAAAACAAACAAGUAAUCACCUACUAACAUACCUAACACCACUAAAAUGCCUAGUAACUUGGUAAACUUGAUUGAAAAACAAAAAAGCUUCUACCUAAGCUUGUCAUUCAGCACCUAAUUACAUCAAAAUGCAGCUACCAACUAAGUUUGAUCCUAACUAAAUACAAAACAUCCAAUUAAGGAAACCAAAUGAAUAGCUUCAGCUUGCUGCAUCAAUUUGCUGCUGAAGCACGUUCCUUGCAUGGCCACCUUUGCUGCUAUAUGGGAGCUGACUUCAACACUCCUCCUCAGCUUCUAUGCAGCAGACUCCUAGCUUCCUCUUCAGGCUUAGAUAUCUUGAUACACCAAGAGGCUUUGUGAAGAUAUCGGCAAUCUGAUUUUCAGAACUGCAAUGGAUUAGCUCAAUUUCUCGAGCUUGUUCCAUUUCUCUUAUCACAUGGAGUUUGAUGUUGAAAUGUUUUGUCCUGCCAUGAAAGACAGGAUUUUUAGCAAUAGCAACUGCUGACUUGUUGUCACAAUGUAUCACAGUUGCUUCAUUCUGCUGUAGAUUCAAGUCACUCAAAAUUUUUCUCAGCCACAUGGCUUGAUUAACAGCAUUGGCAGCUGCUACAUACUCUGCUUCUGCUGUCGAUUGAGCCACCAUUGUUUGUUUUCUUGAGCUCCAACAAAUCAUAGCUGAGCCAAGUGUAAAAGCAUAGCCAGAAGUGCUCUUCAUGUCAUCCUUUGAACCAGCCCAAUCGCUAUCAGUGUAGCCAAUCAGUUUCAACUCUUCAGCCUUUCUAAACUGUAUUCCAUGGUUUAAGGUACCUUUAAUGUAUCUUAGCACCCUUUUCCCAGCCUUGUAAUGUUGCUGGUUACAGCAGUGCAUGAACCUUGAUAGCAUGCUUACAGCAAACAAAAUGUCGGGUCUUGUUGCUGUCAAAUACAAUAAACACCCAACAAGGCUUCUGUAAUCUGUUUCACAGACAGAUUCAUGUUCCUCCUGGCUCGAUAGCUUUAUGCCAAUAGCCAUUGGUGUGCUCACUGGUUUACAAUUCUCCAUUGAGAAUUUAGCCAGCACUUUCAAGGCAAAUGUCUUUUGUUUCAAGAAGAUUCCUCCUUCUAUUUGAUUGACUUCCAUUCCUAGGAAAUAUGUCAUCAAUCCCAGGUCUGACAUCUCAAACAUUUUCUUCAUUCUUGCUUUGAAAUCAACCAUCAUAAGCUUGUCUCCUCCAGUCACGAGAAGAUCAUCAACAUAUAGUGACACAAUAAGCUGUGUUUCAGCUCCAUUCUUCUUAACAUAGAGUGUUGGCUCACUAGCACUCCUUUCAAAUCCCAAACUGACCAAAUAUGAGUCAAUUCGAGCAUACCAGGCUCGAGGGGCCUGUUUUAGGCCAUACAAGGCCUUUCUUAGCCUAUACACCAAUUGUUCCUUACCAGGCAUUAUAAAACCUGGGGGUUGCUCGAUGUAUAUCUCUUCUUCUAGAAAUCCAUUGAGGAAUGCAGACUUGACAUCCAUUUGGUGGAUUGUCCACUGGUUCUGAGCAGCAACUGCAAUCAGCAAUCUGAUUGUAUCGAGUCUGGCUACUGGAGCAAAUGUUUCCAUGUAGUCCAGACCAUACCUUUGACUGAAGCCCUUUACAACUAGCCUGGCCUUUAGCUUGUUUAAGCUUCCAUCUGCAUUGUGCUUCACUCGAUAGACCCAUUUUACACCGAUAGUCUUUCUGUUGGCAGGCUUUUCAACCAACUCCCAUGUCUGAUUCUUUACAAUCAUGUUGAUUUCAUCAACCAUAGCUUGUUUCCAACCUUCAUCUGCCUCAGCCUCUUCAAAACUGCUAGGUUCUGCUAAUGCAACCUGUGCCCUUUCAUAAAUAUCUUCUAGGGGCCUUGUGCCUCUCACAGGCACAUCAUCAACAUCCAUUUCAGGUUCUAGCUGCUCAAGUUCAGCUUGAUUAGGCACUAGGUCUUCUGAAAUUGCUUCUGGCUCAUUUUUCUCCCAAUUCCAGCAGGCUUUUUCAUCAAAGAUGACAUCUCUGCUCACUUGGACUUUGUUUGUCAAGGGAUCCAGAACCCUGUAGCCCUUUUUGACUGAGCUGUAGCCUACUAGAACACCUGGUUGAGCCCUUUUAGAGAGCUUGUCUCUCUUUGCUGCUGGUAUUUGUGCAUAACACAGGCAACCAAACACCUUCAGGUGUGCCAAGGAAGGCUUGAAACCAAACCAAGCCUCAAAAGGUGUCUCGGAUGCAAGAGCUUUAGUGGGAAGCCUGUUCUGAAGGUAAACAGCAGUGUUUACUGCCUCAGCCCACAUGGUCUUGGGCAGUUUCUUCUCAAACAGCAGACAUCUGGCCAUAUCCAUCAGACUUCUAUUCUUUCUUUCAGCUACCCCAUUCUGCUGAGGUGUGUAGACAUUUGUAAGCUGAUGUUUGAUACCAGCAUCAUUGCAAAUGGCUUGAAACUGAGCUGAAGUGUACUCAGUGCCAUUGUCUGUCCUUAUCGAUUUCAGCUUGCAACCUGUUUCUGUUUCUACAGCAUUUUUAAACUUCACAAACACUUGAGCUACCUCAGACUUGUGUUUUAAAAAGAAAAUCCAGCAAAACCUUGUAAGAUCAUCAAUAAAGAGGAUGAAAUACCUGUUUUUGCUGAGUGAUUCAGUCCUCAUCGGGCCACAUACAUCAGAGUGCACCAGCUGUAGUCUUUCAGUAGCUCUCCAAGCUGAAUUUGUAGGAAAUGGCAGUCUUGCCUGUUUCCCCAUUUGGCAGACUUCACACACAUCAUCAUGCUCCACUGAGCUGGUGAAGUUCUCUGCCAUGCCCUCUUUGGCCAAUCGAGCCAUUGAUCUGAAGUUGGCAUGUCCAAGCCUUUGAUGCCAAAGCUUGGAGUCUUCAACAGAGGCUGUGUAUGCUGAGUUUGAGUCAUUUGCCCAGUGAACCUCAAAGCAUUUAUCAGUCAUUGUGACUGUCAUAAGGCUUGAUCCACUUGGAUCAGUAAUAUGGCAUUGUUUAUCCUUGAACACAACAGAAUAACCUUUCUCGAGCAGUUGAGCUAUGCUGAGAAGGUUUCUGUCAAUCUGUGGUACCAACAGCACAUUUGGAAUGAUCUUGUUGCCUGUGGGAGUAGAUAUCAGCACUUCUCCUCUUCCUUCAGCCCUUAUAAACUGACCAUUUCCAACCUUGACCUUGGUUUUAUAACUUCUGUCCAAGGUUUUAAACAAGGAGGCAUCUGGUGACAUGUGGUUAGUGCAACCACUGUCCAGCAGCCAGCCUUUAGAGCAUUUCUUCUCAGAAGCUACACAGGAAACAGCAAAGACCUGUUCUUCUUGGUCACUACUGUCCUCAGCUACUCGAGCUUCAACCUUUGACUGCUGAAAUUGAUUCUGCCUUGGCUUACUUCUGUUUUUGCAGACCCUUUCAACAUGGCCCUUCUUCUUGCAGUGUUGGCAUACUGCAUCUGGCCUAAACCAGCAUCUGUCUUCUGGAUGGCCAGGCUUCUUGCAAUAUCUGCAGGGCUGGUCAUUGCUCCUUGCAGCAUCAGGCUUAGGCCUGUUUUUCCAAGGCCUUUUGCCUCUUUGAGCAUUAGUGCUCGAGGUUUCUCUGGCCUUGGCUUGAAAUGCACCUUCUUGGUGAUCUUCAGCUCUGCUAGCUCUUCUUUGUUCCUGAGCAUAAAAGGUGUUGAUUAGCUCAGUCAAAGAGAUGCUAGCAAGAUCUCUUGAGUCCUCUAGAGAGGAUAUCUUAGCCUCAUAUCUCUCAGGCAAAGUGGAGAGGACUUUCUCCACAAUUCUUGCCUCAUCAAAGUGCUCACCUAGGAGCCUUAUGCUGUUAACCACUGCCAUAAUUCUAUCUGAGUACUGCUUCACUGUUUCUUCUUCCUUCAUCUUCAAAUUCUCGAAAUCCCUUCUCAAGUUUAGCAGCUGCUGUUGCCUUGUUCUCUCAGUGCCUUGAAACUCCUCCUUAAGCUUAUCCCAGGCCUGUUUUGGAGUCUCACAGGCCAUGAUUCUGGUGAAGAUGACAUCUGACACACAGUUCUGGAUGCAGGACAUGGCUUUGUGCCUUUUGGUCCUCUCAUCAGCAUGUUGCCUAAUCUGAGCUACUGUGGGAUUAGCCCUCAGUGGUGCUGGCUCAGUAUCUGUGUUGACAACUUCCCACAGAUCAAAAGCCUGUAGGUAAGUCUUCAUCUUGACCAGCCAUAUGUGAAAGCCUUCUCCAUUGAAGACUGGUGGGGCUGCUGGUGAAAAUCCUGAAGAAGCCAUCAAGUUCUUUGUUUUGAAGCAACAGGUCCACUAAGACAAGAGCUCUCGAUACCAAUUGUUGGUGCAAGAGGCAGCAGCAAGCUGUUUCUAGUCUUGCUUGAGUAGUAAGGCUCGAGGCUUGGUGAAGAAGCAAACUCGGAAGCAGAAAAAACAGAAAGAUGAAGCUAGCAAGUGAAAACAGAAAAGAGAGAAAGAGAUUGAAUGAAAAUGAGCUGAUAUUUUUUCAUUAACACAUGAACAAGGCAUUAAGCCAUUACAUAUAUCAGUCAAUAAGUAAAACAAACAAGUAAUCACCUACUAACAUACCUAACACCACUAAAAUGCCUAGUAACUUGGUAAACUUGAUUGAAAAACAAAAAAGCUUCUACCUAAGCUUGUCAUUCAGCACCUAAUUACAUCAAAAUGCAGCUACCAACUAAGUUUGAUCCUAACUAAAUACAAAACAUUCAAUUAAGGAAACCAAAUGAAUAGCUUCAGCUUGCUGCAUCAAUUUGCUGCUGAAGCACGUUCCUUGCAUGGCCACCUUUGCUGCUAUAUGGGAGCUGACUUCAACACAUAUUCAUACAUAAUCAAAACAUACUUCGAUCCAAACUUCAGUAAAUUAUAUCAACCUCAAAUGCCAUUGUUAAAGGGAAAUCAUGAACUAGUAAAGAAUAUUAAAGUUCAUAUAACCCCUUUUAAAAUGAGACAUUUAAUAGAUCUGAGAUCUGAGAUCUGAAUCUUAUAUAAUCAAUUACAUACACACAAACCUUAAUUAUACAUGUAUUUUUUCAUCAAACUACAUACCCAUAGUAGCCCCAGACAUAUGUUAAGAUGAUGAAAAAUAAAUGUAAAGAAUAUUUUCUUUAUUCAAUCAAUCAUAUUUACAAUUGAAUAGAGCUAUAGAAUAUAUACAGCUAAGGUGUAACUAAUUACAUUGCUAAUUACACUAUACAACUCACUAUUGUAACUAACUGUGCACAAAUAUCUAAAUAACUAAUUUAGUUAUUUUCUACAUGCCCCCUCAAGUUGAUGGGUGAAAAAAUGUCUUUCACUCCCAACUUGUUAACUAGAUAUUUGUGUUGUGGAAUACUCAAACCCUUUGUCAAUAAAUCUGCCAUUUGCUCUCUUGUUGAAAUGUGCCUGUUUUGAAUGUGCCCCCUCUGUAUUUUUUCUCUGAUAAAAUGACAAUCUAUCUCUAUGUGCUUCGUCCUCUCAUGAUAUACUAGAUUACUAGAAAUUUGUAUUGCUGCUUGACUAUCACAAUGCAACAUCAUUGGUUUGGUUACUUCAACACCCAGUUCUGACAAUAAGCCUUUAAUCCACAUAAGCUCAGCAACUGUAACUGCCAUGCUCCUAUAUUCUGCUUCUGCAGAAGAUCUCGAUAUCGUGUUUUGCUUCUUAGAUUUCCACGAGAUUAAUGAAUCACCAAGCUUGAUACAAAAACCUAUGACAGAUUUCCUUGUCAUGCUGCAUGAUGCCCAAUCUGAGUCACAAUAGGCAUUUAUCUCUGGUCUUCCUGCUGCUGAAAGUAAGAUUCCUUGUCCAGGAUUCUUCUUAAUGUAUCUCACAAUUCGUAUAGCUGCUUCAUAAUGAGAUUUUUUUGGCUUGUGCAUAAAUUGACUGAGAUGUUGAACGGCAAAGGCAAUAUCUGGCCUAGUAUUUGUCAAGUACAAGAGUCUACCUAUAAGCCUUUGAUAUAUACUUGCAUCUUCCAGUUCAAUAUCAUCUUGCUGCAAUUGAAGUGCUUCAUCAUAUUCAGCACUGGUUAACUUUAGAUUCUGCUCAAGAGGAGUGUUUGCUGGCUUUGCAUUAUUCAAACCAAUGUCUUCUAUGAGUUCUAAGGCAUAUUUCCUCUGAUUCAUUAUGAUUCCUUCUGUCGAUCUUGCUAUCUCUAUCCCAAGGAAAUAUUUGAGUGUUCCCAGAUCCUUCAUUUUGAAAUUCUGAUGUAGAAUGGCUUGAAGUUCUUCAAUUAGUUCCCUAUCAUUCCCAGUGAUCAAGAGAUCAUCAACAUAUAUGAGCAUUAUCACAAUUUUGUUACCCACUGUUUUGGUAAACAAUGAGUAGUCAUGCUUACUUUGAUUGUAUCCAGUGUUGAUGAGAGCCUCACUAAGUUUUAGGUUCCAUUGUCUCGAUGCCUGUUUCAAGCCAUAAAGGGAUUUGAGUAAUCUACAUACUUGAUUGCCCCCUGGAUUAGCAAAUCCCUGUGGUAAAGCCAUGUAGACUUCUUCAUGAAGGUCACCCUGGAGGAAAGCAUUGUAGACACCUAAUUGUACAAGAGGCCAAUUAUAUAAUGCAACUAGUGCAAUAACAACACAGACCGUUACUUGCUUUACAACUAGAGAGAAAGUAUCCUGGAAAUCAAUCCCAGCCCUUUGAUUGUACCCUUUGGCAACUAAUCUGGCCUUGUAACACUCGAUUGAGCCAUCAGAAUGAUACUUAACUUUAUACACCCAUUUGCAGCAAAUGGGGAUCUUUCCAGGUGGCAAAGGGACAACAGCCCAUGUGCCGUUUGCUUCCAAUGCCUCAAUUUCCUGUUGCAUUGCUACUUGCCAACAAUUAUGUUUAAUUGCCUCAGAAUAGGUUUGAGGUUCAGGUGUACGAGUGAUGGAUGAGGAAAAACAUUGAGUAUGUGAAGGUAAAUGAGAAUAGGAGAUAAAAUUAGAGAUGGCAUACUGACCUUGUGCUGCAGUGGAGGAAGUUGAUGAUGAGGAUUUUGUGGAACAAAUGUAGUCGUCCAUCCAACCAGGUUGUUUGUGAGUUCGGGUGCUUUGGCGUAAGGGUUGGGGAGGUUGCGGUGGUGGUGGUGGUGGUGUUAAUUGUGUGGUAGGAGAAGUGUAUGAUAUGAGUGGUGAUGAUUGUGGGGAUAGUGAGGAUGGUGGUUGUAUAGGAGUGAGAUGAGAUGAGAUGUUGAAGGUGUAUGUGAAGAUGUAAUGGUAAAAGGAAGAAAAUUGGAAUCAUCAAGUGGUCCAAAAACAUUUACAUCCAGAGGAAACAUUGGUUGAUCCUUAGGAGGAGUUUUGAAGGGAAAAACAUGUUCAUGGAAAACAACAUCUCGACUGAUAAAAAAUUUCUGAGAAAUAGGAUUAAACAAAAGAUAACCCUUUUGUACUAAAGAAUACCCCAUGAAAAUAGAUGGUAUUGCCUUUGGAGAGAAUUUAUCAUGAAAAGGGGUGAUAGUAGCAAAACAAAGGCAACCAAAAACUUUUAAAUGUGACAAGGAAGGUGGUUUAUCAUAUAACAUUUCAUAUGGUGACUUCCAAUGAAGAACAGAAGAGGGUAAUCUAUUGAUUAAAUAACAAGCAGUUAACACACAUUCACCCCAAAAUUUGACUGGAACAUUUGAAUGAAAUUUGAGUGCCCUUGCUACAUCUAAAAGAUGUCUAUGUUUACGUUCUGCCACACCAUUCUGUUGUGGUGUGUGAACACAAGAUGAUUGAUGAAUGAUGCCAAGAGAAUGAAAAAAAGGUGUACCCUCCUUGGUAAAGAAUUCACUCCCAUUAUCACUCCUAAUGAUCUUGACUACCCCAGAAAAUUGAGUUUUAACAAGACUAAUGAAAUCCUUUAAGACAAGAAAGGCAUCACUCUUAAGUUUUAGUAGAAAAAUCCAAGUCAUCCUAGUCUUAUCAUCAACAAUAGUCAAAAAAUAUCUAUGCCCAGAAUGAGUAGAAAAAUGAUAUGCUCCCCAAAGAUCAAUGUGAAUAAGGGAGAAUGCAGUUUUUGAUCCUGAUUCACUUAGUGGAAAAGGUAAGCGAGAUUGCUUAGCUAAAGGACAAACAGUACAAUAAGUAAGAUCAUGUUGAGAAUGAAAAAUAGAAUGUAGAGAAGAAAUUUUAUUCAACUUGGAUAAAGAUGUAUGACCAAGUCUAGCAUGCCAGAAAGAGGAAUCAACAUGCUUAGACGAUGACAAAGAAGUAACACUAGAUUCUGAAACCAAAGAAGUGGUUACAUUGGUAUUGACUAGAUUUGAAAUUGUGUGAGGUAAAAGUAUGUAGAGGCCAUCCUUCUCCUUACCAAUCCCCAUCAUCCUUCCACUGCAAAGGUCCUGCAAAACACAGAAGGAAGGAUAAAAGGAAACAAAACAAUUGAGAUCCUUAGUGAGCUUUGAGAUAGAGAUAAGGUUGAAGUUAAAAGAGGGAAUAUAUAGUACAUCAGUCAAAUGAUGAGUUGGGGUGAGGGAACGAGUACCAAUGUGAGUGAUAGUAGCAGAUUUUCCAGUAGGCAAUUUAACAUAAGUAUUAGCGGAACAAGCAACAGGUGAAUUCAAAGAAUUGAAAACAAAUGUCAUGUGAUUUGAAGCCCCAGUGUCAAGAAUCUAGGAAAAUGGAUCACUAACAGGGGAGGUACCUGCCAUAUGAGCCACAGGUUGAGAGGAUGAAGCAGAAUCCUUGCUGAGAAGAGAAAGAAUCUGUUGAUACUACUCAGGAGUAAAAGUAGGAGCCAGAGGAGCUGAAUGAGUAGCUAUAUCUGCAGUAUCAUCACUGUCAGUAGCAGUAACAACAUGAUUGGCUGCUGGUGAUUUCUUUUUAGUGAACAUGAAAUCAGGGGGAAAACCAGUAAGCCUAUAACAAUUCUCAAUCUUGUAACCCGAAAGUUUGCAAUGCUCACAGAUGCCAUUAUAACGCUUCUUGGAGGAGGAAGAAGUAGGUUUGAAGGAAAGCAGAACAGUGGAAUCAGAAAAGGUAGGAGAGGCAAGCUCGCGUUGAUCUUCAUCACGAAUCACCAUAGAAUAAGCAUUGUUGACAGAGGGAAGAGGUUGUAUCAAUAAGAUCUGACUUCGAACAUUUGCAUAAGUUUCAUUCAAACCCAUAAGAAAUUGAAAAAGACGCUGCUGAGAAUGUUGAGCAGUCUUUUUUGCAAGGUCACAAUCACAAGUAGAUGAAGGCAUAAUAAUAUCAUACUCAUCCCAAAGAAGGCAGAGCUUUGUGAAAUAAGUAGCAACAGAUGAAGUACCUUGUGUGUGAGUGGAAAUAGAUCGAUAAAGAUAAUAAACACGAGAGCCAUCAACCUUAUCAUACCUUUCGUGUAAGUCCUUCCAAACCAAAGCUGCACUAAAGGCAAAAACAAUUCCAGCAGAGAGUUCCUUGGAAACAGUAUUGAUGAUCCAAGAGAGAACAAGAGCAUUGCAACGAUCCCAUUGCGAUUGCAGAUCUGGAGAAAGAGAGUCGCGUUUGCAAGAUCCAUCUAUAAAUCCGAGUUUGUUCUUCGCAAGAAGAGCAAUACACAUAGAACGGCUCCAAACACAAUAGUUAUCUGUGCCGGUGAGUUGAUGGGAGACGAGAAUGAUCCCGGGAGUAUCGGAAGGAUGAAGAUAGAGAGGAUUGCUGAAAUCAAUGGUGAUGGUGGAAUCUGAUAUCAUGUUAAGAUGAUGAAAAAGAAAUGUAAAGAAUAUUUUCUUUAUUCAAUCAAUCAUAUUUACAAUUGAAUAGAGCUAUAGAAUAUAUAUAGCUAAGGUGUAACUAAUUACAUUGCUAAUCACACUAUACAACUCACUACUGUAACUAACUGUGCACAAAUAUCUAAAUAACUAAUUUAGUUAUUUUCUACAACAUAUACAACUUUCGACCAACAUGGUCCUACUUUCAAUAGUGAUGAAAAACAAGGGAAUCACUAUACCACAAAACCCAUUACAAAGCCAAGAACUAUGCUAACAUAAAGCCAAUUCGCUUUACUUCCUUCACUGCUACUUCCAUUAUUUGCAACAUCAGUUGGAAUACCUUUUGUGCUUCAGGUUUUAAUGAGAGGUGGUCUGCGAAGAUGAUUGCCCAUGCAAGACAAGUUUUCAAAGCUUUGAAGUUGAGUGCUUGUUGGGAUUUGUCCUGUCAAGUUAUUGUAGGACACAUUGAAGUGAUUUAAGAAAUUCAAAUUGGAGAAACUUGGAAGGAUUUCACCAUUCAAUCGAUUCAUUGACAGAUCAAGAGAUUCCAUCUAACACCAUUUUGCCAAUGUUGUUUGGUAUAUUUCCUACGAAAUUCCCUGAUAGAUUUAAUAUUUUUUUCUUUAAUUACACACGCCCGCUGAAACAUGAUCCCACAUGUCCAUGUUCGCAAGGCGCUGUAUCAAGUCCAUAAAUCAAGAAUUCACAACAAAUUAUCUUCAAAAGUGAGGCCGCUAAGGUUAAUCCUCACGUAUAAAUCCGAAAGAAAACUUAUGUCAAAACUCUCCGCAUAUGAUAUAUCCACGGGAGAUAAUUACAAGUUUAUUUUACUUGAUGAUAACAUGCGCACAUUUGGGGCGAAUGGUUGGAAUUAAGCUCAGGGUCAAAAUUGGUUAUAUAAUGGAACUACAUGACUUGGUGUGGGUCUAAUGCUAUAAGAAUUUUGUAUUAUAUUGAUCGAUAAAAUAUCCCAAUGCACUCAUAAAAUUAAGUACCACACUUAAACAAAUUAUGUGCUAUAUCUCUGUCAAUACAUAAUCUAUACAAGUUUCUAAAUUAUAUAGAAUAUUUCAAGGCUUGCUAACAUAAAGAAGAUUUAUCAAAAUUCUUAUUAAACAACAAUAAGAUAAGCUGAACACAAUAGGAUAAUAAUAAACAAGAUAAACAUGGACUCUUGACAGUUAAAAAUGACAUGUUCCAAUUCAAUCCAAUAUCCACGAUCGAAAAAAUUAGAUAAAGAUGAUCAAUUGUGAUCUGAUCUUCCAAUUAUGUUCCCAAGUGAUAUGAUUUUCUUUGAUGGGCUAGAUAUAUACAAUCCACAUAAACAAUAUAGACCAUAAUUUUGGUUCAAUAAAUUGCCAAAAUUAUCACACUUAUUCCGAGACUUAAUCAAUCCUUUAUACUUUUCAUAUUUUUCAAUACUAUAACUUGUGUUUCGAUGAAGAAUUUUCAAUUUUUUGAUAUUUUUAAAAUGCUAGAAUUUUAGAAUUCAUAAAUUCAAAAUGUUGGGAUUUAAACAUUGCUUUGUUUGAAAAAAUAAAUAAUUUAGAAAAAAAUUAGGUUAAUAGAAUUUUAAAAAUUAAAAAAUAAUUAUAAAAGAAGAUUAAUUAUAUUAAAAUAAAUAAUAUAAAAAUAUUCAAUAUAGACAUCAUUAGACAAUGUGUAUUAAAUCAAAUAAAAAAUUUGGAGGAAUUUUGAAAAACCACCUUCAUAAGUGAAACUCGAACUACUAAAAUUCCCUCUUGGAAUUAUCUAAAAAAUUUGAAUUUCUUCAAAAUAUUUAUACAAAUAAAUUCAUUUUUAAAAUUACACAAAUGAAAUCUCUCCUAUAAAUUCUUUACCCAAACAUAUCCUUGUGCCACUAAUGUAGGAUGCUAGAUGCUAACUUGUCAUCAGCACCACAAUUGUAACACCCCAAACCUAGCCUAGACGUUAUGGUCGAAUCGGAGAGUGUUACGAAGAAGGGUUUUGAAACUGUUUUUACUUUGACAAAAACCUUGUGAAGUUACUUGAUAUAGAGUGUCCAAAUUUUGCAAAACAUAUUCAUUUACUUAUUCAUUAUCGAAACUGUCGUUAGUUUAUUCAUUUGCCAAAACAUAAUUUGCAGCGAAAAUCUUAAAAAUCGUUAUAUUUUGGAAACCCAGUUCGUAUUUACAGAAAAACCUUUGUUUUUGUAAAUCAUUUUCGACAAUCAUCGUAGGAUAGAAAACAACCAAAAACCAAAAACAACAGUUAAAACCAUACAAUCCAGAGAGUCCCAAAAGUUACAAAACUCUCAAAUAAAUCCAAAAUUAAAAAAUACUGGAAACUCAAAGGCAGGUUUAAACUAGUGGUCACCCUAAGCCUCCGUCACACCGACCCGCCUAUGUCCGAUGGUUACCUGAAUAAAAUGGACAAACAGAGGUGAGUUUUUGUAAACUCAGUGUGUAACCCAACAGAGAUAGACAUGCUAUUUUACACAAAAUUCUCAUAAGCGGAAAAAAUACAAAUACGGACCAAAGUCCUUAAUAGAUUCAAAUAUCAGAAUCAGAUAAUCUAGACAGUUAUACAGAAUCCUACCCUCAUCCUUUACCCACCAUCUCCAUCCAUCCUAUCACACCAUAUGAGGUUAAAAACACUCAUCCAUUCCUACACACCAUAUAAUGUCGAUGCGAUACAUAACAGAUAAUAUGUAGUCAAGCUGCCAGAAUAUAGGCUUAAGGUCACCGUACAUAUCACUUCCUCCACAUAUACAAAUCUCAUCCCCACAUACAGAUAUAGAAUACAGACAAUAGAUAUAACAGAAUUACAUGUCUAACAUGCUCGUAUAUAGAUAUCGUAUAUGCUUACACAAACAAUUAGACAUAUAUAUCAGUAUCCUACUCAGAUCAGACUAUCCACAUAUUAGAUCUCGUAUAAUAGGGUUUGGUUAGCCCUUACCGACCCUACAGUAGGCCCAUAGUCGAUCAGAACAACCCGUGCGAUCCUAAGAAAAAUUUUAGAAUUUUUGGCCCAUAUUCUCGUGUGGGCCCACACGCCCAAAUUGGCCUUGCUCUUGUGGGCCACACAGCCUAGCCCAAAACCCACAUGUCCAAUCUGGCCUAGCCUUUGUGGCCUACACGACUACACAUUCACUAUCACACGGCCAUGUCUCGCGCACAGCCACACCUUCGACACUCACACGACAUAUCCCUGAAUUUUCUCCCACUCCCCACCCACAACUACCUCAGAAUUUCGGUUCUACCAAACCUCUACUAAACACCCGAAUCAAAAAUUAACAUCCUUACUCGCACAGGGAUUCAAACACAAAACCUCCAACAAACUAACUCCUUACCACCAGACCAGUAAGCCCAUUCUAGUAUGAAUUUACAAACAAUAUUACAUAAGCCUACCCAACAGGGAUAAGGCUAGGAUAAAAAAUAAUAAAAUUUCCAAAGAAUGGGAUAUGAACCCAAUACCUCAUACACAUAUCCAAAACACUUAACCACUAAAACAAGUACACAUUUGUAUUAAGAUUCACAGAAACAGAAAUAAAUUAUUCAAGGUGUUACAGCAAUUCAUAUGUACCUUUUGCUAAUGUAGUACUAUUUUAUCUCAUAUCUCAUAUUAGCAAAUAAUUUAAAAAUUAAAACAAAAUGAAAAGUUAAAAUAAAAAGUAAAAAAUAAUUGAAUUUUAUUUCAAAGGGAAUAUAUAUUUUAUUAAUAAAUAAAAGUUAAACUUUCUUUUCUUAUUAUCAUGAACUUAAUUCUUGUAGAAAAAUAAAACUUUAAAUGAAUCAAAUUAAUAUACAAUAUAUUAUAAAGAGCUCAUAUUUCCGGCUUAAAUUUUCCUCAUGGGCAAUGAAUUUUCUUCCAAGACCCCAAUUUUCCAAAAUAGCAUUUAUAGUUUGUUGAAUAUAAUUUCUAUAUACCCCAAAAUUUCCUUUUUAAAGUUUUUGCAAAAAAGUAUUUAGACUGUGUUUGAACCAAGAAUUUUAAAAUUUUUGAGAUUUUUAAAAAAUCUAGCCUUUUAAAAUUUAUCCAUUCAUAAUGCUAGCAUUCGUAAUUAUUUUGAUUGGAUAAAUAAUUGAUUUAGGAAAAAUUAGGUUAUUAAAAUUUUACAAAUUAAAAAAUAAUUAUAUUAAAAAUAAAUAAUAUAAAAAAUAUGAUUUGAAUAUAAUUAUAUUUGUAAAAACUAUAAAUAGUUCUAAUAAAUAAAUUUUAAAAUAUAAAUUAGAAUUAAAUAAAAACUAUUUUUGAAGUUUAAAUUUUUUUUAGUGGAACCAUGUGUAUUAAAUCAAAUAAAUUUAUGAGAAAAUUUGAAAAAAAACCACAUCUUUAGAAAAAAAAUUGAAACAAGAAAGUGAGAUACUAAAACCGUCUCUUGAAAUUACUUACAAAAUUUGAAAUUCAUCAAAUAUUUAUUCAAAUAAAUAAAUUUAAUUUUAAAAUUUCAAAAACCUUUUGAAAAGAAGAAAAUCGAUGGAUUGACCCGAUUUGAACCGAUGGAAUUUGAUCAGUUUUGAUUCAUUUUUUUAUAUUCAAUUCGAUUUGAGUUUACAAAACAAAAAUACUCUAAGAUAAAUUGAAAUAUUUCUUCAAAGUCAACCCAAAUUGAAUUAUGAUCACCCUUGAUAUAUUUCGAAUAAUUAUUUUGUUGGGUGAGUAUUUGGUACUCUAAUGGUACACUUUUAUAAUUCCAUAGGUAUAAUUAUAAAUUUGUGUUCCAUUUUUUAAAAAAAAAAUUUAUUAUACCUUAAAUACAUAGUGUAUCAAAUAUUUUUCGAACCUUGUUUCUGGAAACACAUUUAAGUACGCUAAAGUCUAUAUCUUCCUUCAUUGACAAUAAAAUCAAUAUUAAUCAAACUAAAACUUAAUUUAAGGUUGACAAGUUUAAAACUACAAAUGGAGAUAAAAGUUUGAAAACUAAGUCCCACUCCCACUUUCUUUACUUUUUAGGUCUUAAAAGCCAAAAGAAAGAAAAGAAAAUGGAAGACAUGGAAAUUGAAUCAGAAUAUUUUUCUAAAUGUUUGGCUAUUAUUAAGCAAAAUUUUGAAAACCAUUACUACUUCUUGCAUUCCCAAACUUUUUCCUAAGAGAAAAAUAAAACUUUUAUAUACUUUAGUGUGGCUUUCGAGCUCUUGAUUAUUUGUUUAUAUUAAAUUACAAAAUAAAAAUUUGAAAGUUAAAAUAUGCUCUAAGUCACUCUACAUUUUAUAUAUUUGGAUUUUAGUCUCUUACUUUUAUUUUUAAAAAUUUAAUCCCUAUAUUUUUUUGAAUUUAAAAAUCAAAGUCAAAUAGUUAUUGCCAUUAAAAUUAUUCUAUUAAAUUUAAUGGUGUGACAUUUGAAAUUAAAAGAAUAUAUCCACUUCGAUAGUCUUGUAACAAUAAAAUUAAUUUUAAAAAUGUUAAUUAAGUUUGGUUUCUUAAACACUAGUUUAAAAUCAACUAAGUCAUUGGAAUAAAUCCCAAUCUCAUGGUUUAUUUGCUAUUUAAAAAUUAGCCAGAAAUUUUUUUUAGGAGAACUGAAAUCAAAUUGUAAUUUUUACGAUAGUAAAAAUAUAAUUUCACUGUUUUAACAACUUAUAUCUUUAUAAUUUUUAAAAGAUUAAAUCAAAUUUGCAAGAAAUCUUCAAGUAUAAGUUUAUUUUACUUGAUGAUAACAUGCGCACAUUUGGGGCUAAUGGUUGGACUUGGAAUUAAGCUCAGGGUCAAAAUUGGUUAUAUAAUGGAACUACAUGACUUGGUGUGGGUCUAAUGCUAUAAGAAUUUUGUAUUAUAUUGAUCGAUAAAAUAGCCCAAAAAUUGCAAAUAGCAGCGCAAACAUAAGGUUGCCAAGAAUUGCGGCCCUUAAUUUUAUUUUUAAGUUACCUUUAAUUUGUUGUUCAUAGUAAUGUUUCUUUACAAUAGUUAAAUAAAAAAAAUAAUUGAUAUGGCUAAUGACAUUGAUAUGGUGACCUACUUCAAGUGAAGUGGCUAUUUAUAUUAUUUUAAAUGAAAAAAUAUAUAUAUUGAAUAUCAGAGUAAUAUAGGACAAAACAUGAUCCAACAUCAUAGCAAAACACAUGACAGUAAACAAAUCUUCACCCAAUGCUUUAGCAAUAUAUUCAGCCACAACAUUAAUUAUAUUCUCUGAUAUAUUAACCAAAUCCACACUCCCAAUUAUAUCCAUGUAUGAAGAAUCUAAUUGAAGACAUGUAAUAAUUUGUUAAAACAGUCGAAUUUUUUUCUUUCCAUUCUGUAUCAAUCAUUUUUCUUAUUGCAUAAAAAAAAAUCAAUUUUAGAAGUUUGUAGGGAAUCAAAAGGGCACUGACAGCCAAAGUUGAAAAUUUUUAAUUUAGUUUGUUAUAAAUAAAAAAAACUAUAAGUUAAUAUAUAGUGAAAUUAUAAUUUUAUCUCGAAAAUAAAAAAAAUUUCAAUUCAAUCGUCUUAUAAAGGGAAAAAUACCAAAAAAAGCCAUUUUUUAAAAAAUUUAGCGAAAUGGGCCCGGUAUUUUAUUAUUUACCGGAAUGGGCCCUUUUCCCCUAAAUUGCAUCCAUGUCAGCACGAUGUCAGGGGACGUGUUAGCAAAUCGCGUCCACGUCAGAGUGCUUUAUGUCCACGUCAGCAAAGCGCACUGACGUGGAAGCAAUUUGCUGCCACGUAGAACGCUCCUGGGGACAUGAUUUAGCCAUGUUUUCCACGUUAGGAUUUUUAGGGUUUUUGGAGAAAAAAGUAAACAAAUAAGGGAUUAGGGUUUAGGGUUUCGUAAUUAAAUUAAUUAAAACUUAUUCAAAAUUGGAUUACGUUUCGUGUUUAUGGGUUUUUAAGAUAAAAUCAAAGCAGGAUGAUUUAUCAAAAGGAUUUUUGAAGUCGCGCCCACGUGUACGCGCUUUUGCUAUAGUAGGUCCUGGAAAAAUAAUUUCGAGUUGACGUUUCUGAGCAAAUAAUUUAAAAACGCUUCAAGCAGGAUGUUUUAUGAGAAGAAUUUGUGAAAUCGCACCCUCGUGGACGUACUUUUGCUACAGUUGGUCCUAAAAGAAAUAAUUUUGAGUUGACGUUUCUGAGCAAAUAGUUAAAAAAAACGCUUCAAGUAGGAUGCUUUAUGAGAAGAAUUUGUGAAAUCGCGCCCACGUGGACGGGCUUUUGCUACAGUAGGUCCUGAAAAAAUAAUUUCGAGUUGACAUUUCUGAGCAAAUAGUAUAAAAAAACGCUGCAAGCAGGAUGCUAUUUGAGAAGAAUUUUUGAAAACGCGAAGAAUUUGUGAAAUCGCUCCCUCGUGGACGCGCUUUUGCUACAGUAGGUCCUGGAAAAAUAAUUUCAACUUGACGUUUCUGAGCAAAUAGUAUAAAAUCGCUUCUAGCAGGAUGCUUUAUGAGACGAAUUUGUGAAAUUGCGCCCACAUGGACGCGCUUUUGCUUCAGUAGCAUGUUUGGGCUGAGGCUAUAAAUGAGGCAAACAAUGUUCUCAGAAUGCAUAAGUCACAGCAGAAACAAUUUAGAGAGGCUAAGAAGGUUAGAGUUUCAAAUAUGAGUGAACAUAUUAGUGCUGUUAUUUACUACGAUGGUGAGGUUUGCCACACCGAGAAUGGUGUUGUUUUUUUGUCGAAAAAUACAGUGCGACUGGUUUUUAACCAGAACAUAGAUUUGACAGAACUUCGUAAAAGAAUUAGGCAUAAAAUUUUUAGAACGACGCCAAUGAAAGUUCUGUCUAUUACGUACUCGAUUUUGUUCUUCUGUUGAUCCGGUGACAUAUGACUCGUUCAACAUAAAAGGUGCUCGUAGCUUGGAGGCAAUGGUGCAAACUCAUCUUGCUAGUGGAGCACCUUAUAUUGAGUUAUAUGUACAAUUUACAUCGCCAAAUGAUGUACUUGCGACCGGUGUUCGAGAUGUAUACACGACCCCUGGCCGACAUUCGAUUAGCAGGUUACAAAACACGAAACAGCCCAUGUUUGGUAGCGGUGUUGAAUGCACAUCUCCUGCAAGACACUUUGUCAGUGGAUGGGACACGUACGUCGGUGGCUCGAUGUUUGAUGCUGGAAAUACGUACUGGGGAAUGGCUAAGCAAUAGCCCUUGAGUUGUUCUUUGUACAUCAACCCCUAAGAAGAAACUAAGAUCACCCAUAUCUUUUAGAGCAAACUUACUGUGAAGCUGGCGGACCACCUCACCUAUGUCAUGCACAGAGCUCCCAGUGAGCACAAUAUCAUCUACAUAUACCAUGAGCAGUAGACACGUUCCCACUGAUACUCGAAUGAACAGUGACGAGUCUGCUUUGGGCACUUGAAAACCAAGUUAAGUUACCAAAUAAUGCUUAAGUGUUUGAUACCAAGCACAACAGACGGACUGGAUGGAGGGUCUAUGAAAGAGAGAGAAAAAAAACUUAAGAAGACACCAGGAAAGAACCAACUUCUGAUACCAUGUUAAGCUAUACUAACAGCUUAGAGAAACAAAACAGACUUAGAAAUUAUUUCAUUGUAAAAGUCAUAUCCUUGAGUACAGACUUCUCAUAGUUUUAUACACAAACGUAAGCAUAACUAACUGCUCAAUUGCUCAACUGUUAAACUAAUCAUACAACAGCUUUAACAAAUACUAACAGUUUUACUAACUACUCUAACAAGGAUACCGAGCUUUUCGGUGUUGAUAACCACUGAAAAGAUGGCGUCGAACACCAAUUGGCUUGCACAAAGGAGGGAAUAUGUUGAAAUGGAAAGUGGUUUAACGCCAACUGUAUACAUGAAGUUAUCAAUGGCUAGCAGACAACCGAGGGAAAAGUAGACCACAUAAUGGUUAUGUUGUUGGAGGAGCUUCGGGAUUCCUUGUUAAUGGAAGGGAAGAAGAGAAGUGGCAGGUAAAUGAGACGGAAACCAGCAACCCCUAAGGUGUACCACCACCUCUUAGUAGAGUGGAAGCUGUAUUUUUUAUUUAAUUAUCAUUAUUUAAUUAGGUGAACAGAACUCUUGUAUUGAUUCCCUAUAAAUAGUAACUGUAUUUGAGCUAUUUACACCUUUCAUAAACGUCAUUAUUUUAUUCAUAAAUGUCAUUAUUUAAAUAAAAAAAAGAGAAUUUAUAAUUUAACUGAUUUACAUUGAAAGCAAUUAGAAAGCAGAGAAAAUAUCCUACACAGAGAAUCUAUUGCCUUCUUUAAAAGCUCCUGAAAUUUCAAAUUGCCUGCAUAUAAAGAAUUAUAAAGGUUGAAGCUUUUAUCCUUGCCCUAUCCAUGCCAUAGAUCCAUUCUUAUUUAUAUAUGUUCACUCUUCUUUAAUUAUUUGUGUAUGUAUGGUGGGUUAUCCUUGAUAGUUGCCAUAGAUCCAUUGUUGAGAAACUAGCCAAGGGCAUGUAGAUUUGAGAUGCCCUGUUCUGAUUUUUCCUUUUUGAGUUGCAUAGAGAAUAAAAAGGUGAAAAAGUGUUUUGGAUUAAUUAUAAAGAGGUUUCUUAAGUUUUUUGUCAAAAGUCAAAAGAAAGUGUCACGAGUCAUCAUUUAAUUGGCUCAUAUGCCACAUCAAUAAUCCGUUGUUGGAUUAAAUGUUUAACGGCAGUAACUAAUUCAAACAAUUAUAUUAAUUAGAAUGACUAAAUUGAAAAAAAAAAUUAGAGUAACUAAAAUAGGACAAACCCUAUUUUAGAAUAACCUUAGGUGUAGUUUAAUCCUAUACUUUUAUGCUUGUCUAAAAUUACUAUUUUUUUAAAGAAGAAAUUCAUUAAAGAUUAAGUCGCAAAACAAAAGCAAACAUAAAGAGGAGACGAACUACUAAACCCAAGCCAACAGGUUCGCCCCAUACACCCAAACUUACUGCCCACAAUCCUCAUUCUUAUCAAUAUAAAACAUGAUUUCAACAUUCUUCAAAGAAGAUGCAAAAGGAAAAGUAUCACAUUACGUAUGGUUUGCAUAUAACAAAGCCACUCACGCAAGCAAGUGGGCUGCCUUGUUGGCACAUCCACGAGUCCAAUUAAAGGACAGAAGCUAAAACUAAUCUUUUAGCACCAAACAAUCAUGUAUAGCACACCUAGGUCAAAUGCAUCAAUUAUCCAUGCUUUUCCCCCCUUCAAACUACAUACCCAUAGUAGCCCAAAACACAUAUGGUUUACCACAAAUAUGGUCCAGCUUUCGAUAGUAUGUAAUCCUCCAAGACCUAAUGAAAAACAAGGGAGCCACUACACCCCAAAAUCCCAUUACAAAGCCAAGAACUAUGCUGACAUAAAGCCAAUUCACUUUACUUCCUUCACUGCUACUUCCAUUAUUUCCAUUAUUCAUAACAUCAGUUGAAAACCUUUUGUACUGCAGUUUUUAGUGGGAGGAGGUCCACAAAGAUGAUUUCCCACGUAAGACAAGUUUUCAAAGCUUUGAAGCUGAGUGCUUGUUGGGAUUUGUCCUGUCAAGUUGUUGUAGGACACGUUGAAGUGGUUCAAGAAAUUCAAUUUGGAGAAACUUGGAGGGAUUUCACCAUUCAAUCGAUUCAUCGACAAAUCAAGAGAUUCCAUCCACUUCAUGUUGCCAAUGUUGUCUGGUAUAUUUUCUGUUAGGAGAUUCCCUAAAAAAUUUAAAGACAAUAGUCCAACGAGACUACCAAUUUCUUUGGGCUGUAAGACUAUUAAUUGAAAGGUCCAUGCUGAUAACAAGUCCCAGUGUGCUAACAUAUUCAUGCUCUCGUCCUUUCAACACCAAUAAUGCUUUAAAAGUAAAUGGGAAAUUAAUGACUAGCGGUGCAAAAACUUCAUUAUUGCUUUUGUUUUUUGUGGCCAUUGCACUUUAAUUAUUGAAACAUUUUGGAAUAACUCCUGAAAUGUUGUUGUGGGCAAGGUCCAAGUUUUGAAGAUAUUGAAGAUCACAAAUUUUAUGAGGAAUAUGACCAUCAAAGUUAUUUGAUCGUGUUGAAGUCAGCUCCCAUAUAGCAGCAAAGGUGGCCAUGCAAGGAACGUGCUUCAGCAGCAAGUUGAUGCAGCAAGCUGAAGCUAUUCAUUUGGUUUCCUUAAUUGAAUGUUUUGUAUUUAGUUAGGAUCAAACUUAGUUGGUAGCUGCAUUUUGAUGUAAUUAGGUGCUGAAUGACAAGCUUAGGUAGAAGCUUUUUUGUUUUUCAAUCAAGUUUACCAAGUUACUAGGCAUUUUAGUGGUGUUAGGUAUGUUAGUAGGUGAUUACUUGUUUGUUUUACUUAUUGACUGAUAUAUGUAAUGGCUUAAUGCCUUGUUCAUGAGUUAAUGAAAAAUAUCAGCUCAUUUUCAUUCAAUCUCUUUCUCUCUUUUCUGUUUUCACUUGCUAGCUUCAUCUUUCUGUUUUUUCUGCUUCCGAGUUUGCUUCUUCACCAAGCCUCGAGCCUUACUACUCAAGCAAGACUAGAAACAGCUUGCUGCUGCCUCUUGCACCAACAAUUGGUAUCGAGAGCUCUUGUCUUAGUGGACCUGUUGCUUCAAAACAAAGAACUUGAUGGCUUCUUCAGGAUUUUCACCAGCAGCCCCACCAGUCUUCAAUGGAGAAGGCUUUCACAUAUGGCUGGUCAAGAUGAAGACUUACCUACAGGCUUUUGAUCUGUGGGAAGUUGUCAACACAGAUACUGAGCCAGCACCACUGAGGGCUAAUCCCACAGUAGCUCAGAUUAGGCAACAUGCUGAUGAGAGGACCAAAAGGCACAAAGCCAUGUCCUGCAUCCAGAACUGUGUGUCAGAUGUCAUCUUCACCAGAAUCAUGGCCUGUGAGACUCCAAAACAGGCCUGGGAUAAGCUUAAGGAGGAGUUUCAAGGCACUGAGAGAACAAGGCAACAGCAGCUGCUAAACUUGAGAAGGGAUUUUGAGAAUUUGAAGAUGAAGGAAGAAGAAACAGUGAAGCAGUACUCAGAUAGAAUUAUGGCAGUGGUUAACAGCAUAAGGCUCCUAGGUGAGCACUUUGAUGAGGCAAGAAUUGUGGAGAAAGUCCUCUCCACUUUGCCUGAGAGAUAUGAGGCCAAGAUAUCCUCUCUAGAGGACUCAAGAGAUCUUGCUAGCAUCUCUUUGACUGAGCUAAUCAACACCUUUUAUGCUCAGGAACAAAGAAGAGCUAGCAGAGCUGAAGAUCACCAAGAAGGUGCAUUUCAAGCCAAGGCCAGAGAAACCUCGAGCACUAAUGCUCAAAGAGGCAAAAGGCCUUGGAAAAACAGGCCUAAGCCUGAUGCUGCAAGGAGCAAUGACCAGCCCUGCAGAUAUUGCAAGAAGCCUGGCCAUCCAGAAGACAGAUGCUGGUUUAGGCCAGAUGCAGUAUGCCAACACUGCAAGAAGAAGGGCCAUGUUGAAAGGGUCUGCAAAAACAGAAGUAAGCCAAGGCAGAAUCAAUUUCAGCAGUCAAAGGUUGAAGCUCGAGUAGCUGAGGACAGUAGUGACCAAGAAGAACAGGUCUUUGCUGUUUCCUGUGUAGCUUCUGAGAAGAAAUGCUCUAAAGGCUGGCUGCUGGACAGUGGUUGCACUAACCACAUGUCACCAGAUGCCUCCUUGUUUAAAACCUUGGACAGAAGUUAUAAAACCAAGGUCAAGGUUGGAAAUGGUCAGUUUAUAAGGGCUGAAGGAAGAGGAGAAGUGCUGAUAUCUACUCCCACAGGCAACAAGAUCAUUCCAAAUGUGCUGUUGGUACCACAGAUUGACAGAAACCUUCUCAGCAUAGCUCAACUGCUCGAGAAAGGUUAUUCUGUUGUGUUCAAGGAUAAACAAUGCCAUAUUACUGAUCCAAGUGGAUCAAGCCUUAUGACAGUCACAAUGACUGAUAAAUGCUUUGAGGUUCACUGGGCAAAUGACUCAAACUCAGCAUACACAGCCUCUGUUGAAGACUCCAAGCUUUGGCAUCAAAGGCUUGGACAUGCCAACUUCAGAUCAAUGGCUCGAUUGGCCAAAGAGGGCAUGGCAGAGAACUUCACCAGCUCAGUGGAGCAUGAUGAUGUGUGUGAAGUCUGCCAAAUGGGGAAACAGGCAAGACUGCCAUUUCCUACAAAUUCAGCUUGGAGAGCUACUGAAAGACUACAGCUGGUGCACUCUGAUGUAUGUGGCCCGAUGAGGACUGAAUCACUCAGCAAAAACAGGUAUUUCAUCCUCUUUAUUGAUGAUCUUACAAGGUUUUGCUGGAUUUUCUUUUUAAAACACAAGUCUGAGGUAGCUCAAGUGUUUGUGAAGUUUAAAAAUGCUGUAGAAACAGAAACAGGUUGCAAGCUGAAAUCGAUAAGGACAGACAAUGGCACUGAGUACACUUCAGCUCAGUUUCAAGCCAUUUGCAAUGAUGCUGGUAUCAAACAUCAGCUUACAAAUGUCUACACACCUCAGCAGAAUGGGGUAGCUGAAAGAAAGAAUAGAAGUCUGAUGGAUAUGGCCAGAUGUCUGCUGUUUGAGAAGAAACUGCCCAAGACCAUGUGGGCUGAGGCAGUAAACACUGCUGUUUACCUUCAGAACAGGCUUCCCACUAAAGCUCUUGCAUCCGAGACACCUUUUGAGGCUUGGUUUGGUUUCAAGCCUUCCUUGGCACACCUGAAGGUGUUUGGUUGCCUGUGUUAUGCACAAAUACCAGCAGCAAAGAGAGACAAGCUCUCUAAAAGGGCUCAACCAGGUGUUCUAGUAGGCUACAGCUCAGUCAAAAAGGGCUACAGGGUUCUGGAUCCCUUGACAAACAAAGUCCAAGUGAGCAGAGAUGUCAUCUUUGAUGAAAAAGCCUGCUGGAAUUGGGAGAAAAAUGAGCCAGAAGCAAUUUCAGAAGACCUAGUGCCUAAUCAAGCUGAACUUGAGCAGCUAGAACCUGAAAUGGAUGUUGAUGAUGUGCCUGUGAGAGGCACAAGGCCCCUAGAAGAUAUUUAUGAAAGGGCACAGGUUUCAUUAGCAGAACCUAGCAGUUUUGAAGAGGCUGAGGCAGAUGAAGGUUGGAAACAAGCUAUGGUUGAUGAAAUCAACAUGAUUGUAAAGAAUCAGACAUGGGAGUUGGUUGAAAAGCCUGCCAACAGAAAGACUAUCGGUGUAAAAUGGGUCUAUCGAGUGAAGCACAAUGCAGAUGGAAGCUUAAACAAGCUAAAGGCCAGGCUAGUUGUAAAGGGCUUCAGUCAAAGGUAUGGUCUGGACUACAUGGAAACAUUUGCUCCAGUAGCCAGACUCGAUACAAUCAGAUUGCUGAUUGCAGUUGCUGCUCAGAACCAGUGGACAAUCCACCAAAUGGAUGUCAAGUCUGCAUUCCUCAAUGGAUUUCUAGAAGAAGAGAUAUACAUCGAGCAACCCCCAGGUUUUAUAAUGCCUGGUAAGGAACAAUUGGUGUAUAGGCUAAGAAAGGCCUUGUAUGGCCUAAAACAGGCCCCUCGAGCCUGGUAUGCUCAAAUUGACUCAUAUUUGGUCAGUUUGGGAUUUGAAAGGAGUGCUAGUGAGCCAACACUCUAUGUUAAGAAGAAUGGAGCUGAAACACAGCUUAUUGUGUCACUAUAUGUUGAUGAUCUUCUCGUGACUGGAGGAGACAAGCUUAUGAUGGUUGAUUUCAAAGCAAGAAUGAAGAAAAUGUUUGAGAUGUCAGACCUGGGAUUGAUGACAUAUUUCCUAGGAAUGGAAGUCAAUCAAAUAGAAGGAGGAAUCUUCUUGAAACAAAAGACAUUUGCCUUGAAAGUGCUGGCUAAAUUCUCAAUGGAGAAUUGUAAACCAGUGAGCACACCAAUGGCUAUUGGCAUAAAGCUAUCGAGUCAGGAGGAACAUGAAUCUGUCUGUGAAACAGAUUACAGAAGCCUUGUUGGGUGUUUAUUGUAUUUGACAGCAACAAGACCCGACAUUUUGUUUGCUGUAAGCAUGCUAUCAAGGUUCAUGCACUGCUGUAACCAGCAACAUUACAAGGCUGGGAAAAGGGUGCUAAGAUACAUUAAAGGUACCUUAAACCAUGGAAUACAGUUUAGAAAGGCUGAAGAGUUGAAACUGAUUGGCUACACUGAUAGCGAUUGGGCUGGUUCAAAGGAUGACAUGAAGAGCACUUCUGGCUAUGCUUUUACACUUGGCUCAGCUAUGAUUUGUUGGAGCUCAAGAAAACAAACAAUGGUGGCUCAAUCGACAGCAGAAGCAGAGUAUGUAGCAGCUGCCAAUGCUGUUAAUCAAGCCAUGUGGCUGAGAAAAAUUUUGAGUGAUUUGAAUCUACAGCAGAAUGAAGCAACUGUGAUACAUUGUGACAACAAGUCAGCAGUUGCUAUUGCUAAAAAUCCUGUCUUUCAUGGCAGGACAAAACAUUUCAACAUCAAACUCCAUGUGAUAAGAGAAAUGGAACAAGCUCGAGAAAUUGAGCUAAUCCAUUACAGUUCUGAAAAUCAGAUUGCCGAUAUCUUCACAAAGCCUCUUGGUGUAUCAAGAUAUCUAAGCCUGAAGAGGAAGCUAGGAGUCUGCUGCAUAGAAGCUGAGGAGGAGUGUUGAAGUCAGCUCCCAUAUAGCAGCAAAGGUGGCCAUGCAAGGAACGUGCUUCAGCAGCAAGUUGAUGCAGCAAGCUGAAGCUAUUCAUUUGGUUUCCUUAAUUGAAUGUUUUGUAUUUAGUUAGGAUCAAACUUAGUUGGUAGCUGCAUUUUGAUGUAAUUAGGUGCUGAAUGACAAGCUUAGGUAGAAGCUUUUUUGUUUUUCAAUCAAGUUUACCAAGUUACUAGGCAUUUUAGUGGUGUUAGGUAUGUUAGUAGGUGAUUACUUGUUUGUUUUACUUAUUGACUGAUAUAUGUAAUGGCUUAAUGCCUUGUUCAUGAGUUAAUGAAAAAUAUCAGCUCAUUUUCAUUCAAUCUCUUUCUCUCUUUUCUGUUUUCACUUGCUAGCUUCAUCUUUCUGUUUUUUCUGCUUCCGAGUUUGCUUCUUCACCAAGCCUCGAGCCUUACUACUCAAGCAAGACUAGAAACAGCUUGCUGCUGCCUCUUGCACCAACAGAUCGAAGGCUUAGAACCACAAGGUUUGAGAGCUUAUCACCAAUCUAUGCUGGUACACUUCCACUGAAAUGAUUUUCACUAUGAUCAAGCAUAAUUAAACCACCAGAAUUUCGCAACGUGGAGGGUAAUUCUCCAAACAUGCUAUUAUUUCGAAGGUUUAACAUAAAAAAAAAUUCUAAUCCCAAACUAGGUGGGAUAAAGAAAGAAAAGCUAAAGGAGAAAAAAGAGAAGGAAAAGAAAAUGGAAAACACGGAAUUUGAGUAAGAAAAGCAAAAUUUUGAUAACGAAUACUACUUCAACUUUUAUUGAAAAUAAAUCAAUUUAUCAUGGAGUCAGAUUUUUUUUUUUGGGUGGCCAAAAUUAAACUAUAUGUUUUUAUGAUAAUAAAAAUACAAUUCACUAUUUUAAUAGCCUAUAUCUUUAUAAUUUUUAAAGAAUUAAAUUAAAUUAUUAUUAUUUUUAAGAGGGCCAAAAUAUAAUUUUACUAUUAUCAAUGCCGAGCCCCUCACGAUAUGGAUGAAAAUGUAAAGAAGUGUUUACUUGUGAUUGGAGAACUGAAGUUUCUUUUUAAUACUUAAAAUAUUACUUUUUAAAACUUCAACUUAAAUAUGUUUUUCUCAAUCUCAAAAAUUAUUUUUCUUGCCGUAAUCAGGAUAUUCAUCAUUGAUAUCACUGAUUAAUUUUCUAACCGUGGAUAUUUUCUGAAAAGUUAAAUGAGUGACAAUAAAAUGUGUUCCAUUUUCGUGAGCGGGAUUAAAAAUUAUUUUUUUCGGGUAUCCAUCAUCGGUAAUAGUGAUUAAUCUUCUAACUGUGGAUGCUUUCCGAAAAGAUAAAUGAUUGACAAUAAAAUGUAUUCCAUUUUCGUGAAUGGAGAUUAAUAAUUAUUUUUUAAUUAUUUGAAAAGGUUGUUUUAGUUAGGGGAGAGGAUUAUUAUUAUCGGAUUUAAAAACUAAAUCAUAAAGUGUCAAUAUAGAACUUCAAUCUAUAUUACUUGAUACUAUUUUGGUACCACGUACUGAUCGAAACAUUCCGUUCUGAUAGUAAAUUGAAGAUAUAAAAAUGCAAUUUCACUGUUUUAAUAGCUUAUAUCUUUAUAAUUGUUAAAGGAUUAAAUCAAAAUUUUAUCAUUUUCUAAAGAGACCAAAGUGCAAUUUUACUUUUACUAAUUUAAAAUUUUAAAAAUUUUAAAAGAUAUAAAUAGAAAAUUUUCCAGGUGCCUGCCCCUAGCUAAUGUAGCCCUCGUUAAAAAUUCGAUUCACUUUGCUCCAAACUCAAUUUUUAAAAACAAAAAACCACCCUAUAUGGCUGGGGUGGUUGGAAUCCCGAUAACUUGAAAGGAUUUUUGUCGGGUAUGUAUUUCACACGAGUAUAUUAAAACUUUUAUAAAUUGUUUCAUAUAUUUUUGAAAGAUUCUAUGCUCAUUGUCAUGUUUGAAUGUGUUGAAUCCAAAUAUAUACUUUAAAAUAAAAAAUCGAAAUAAUUCUAACCAGUAUACCAAUUUGAUCCAUAAAAGCUAACAAAGAAGAGAAAACAAUCAAGUACAUUAAAUUUUACAAACUUGAAAUUAACUUGGAGAUUUAAAUUCCAACAUUUACAACUUCUUUUAUUUUCCAGACCAAAUGCAAAAACGACGACGUUUUGAGGUUGUUACCUGUCUUACUGAGAAGGGUGAGUCCAAGGAUGAAGAGCAACAGCUGAACUCUUUUUUUGUUGAGAUCCAUUGGCAACAGUUAGAAAAUGACAGAAAAAAAAUUGGCUAAUCCUAUUUACUACUAUUUUUGUUACUCCUAAUUUGAAGGAUCAAGGAGGAAGAAGACCAGAUCUAUGGCUGCCACGUCUACUCAUUUAUUAAGCUAAGCAGCUGAUGGAAUUUAUCAAACAACUUUUUUUGCUGAAAUUAUUUUCAUUGUAAAUUAAAGAAAUACAGCAAAACAUAUUCAUACAUAAUCAAAACACACUUUGAUCCAAUCUCCAGUAAAUUAUACCAACUUUAGACCAACAUGUUUACACAUGUUUUUUUCCCAUCAAACUACAUACCCAUAGUAGCCCAAGACACAUACAGCUUUCGUCCAACAUGGUCCAACUUUCGAUAGUAUGCAUGCCUCCAAGACCUGAUGAAAAACAAGGGAGCCACUACACCCCAAAAUCCCAUUACAAAGCCGAGAACUAUGCUGACAUAAAGCCAAUUCACUUUACUUCCUUCCCUGCUACUUCCAUUAUUUGCGACGUCAAUUGGAAUACCUUUUGAGGUGCAGUUCUUAGUGAGAGGAGGUCCGCAAAGAUGAUUGCCCACGUAAGACAAGUUUUCAAAGCUUUGAAGCUGAGUGCUUGUUGGGAUUUGUCCUGUCAAGUUGUUGUAGGACACAUUGAAGUGAUUCAAGAAAUUCAAAUUGGAGAAACUUGGAGGGAUUUCACCAUUUAGUCGAUUCAUGGACAAAUCAAGAGAUUCCAUUAACUCCAUCUUGCCAAUGCUGUUUGGUAUAUUUCCUGUUAGGAGAUUCCCUGAAAAAUUUAAAGACAGUAGUCCAACGAGACUACCAAUUUCUUUGGGGAUCUCUCCGGUGAGACUGUUAGCUGAAAGGUCCAUGCUAGUAACAAGUCCUAAUGUUCUACCAUAUUCAUCCUCUCGUCCUUUCAACACCAAUAAUGCGUUCAAAAAAAAUGAGGCUGCAUAUACAGACUCCCCAAGAACAAAAUUAUUCCUUUUGUUUGCUGUGGCCAUUGCACUUAAAUUAUUAAAACAUUUUGGAAUAACUCCAGAAAUGUUGUUGUGGGCAAGGUCCAAGUUUUGAAGAAACUGAAGAUCACAAAUUUUAUGAGGAAUACGUCCAUCAAAGUUAUUUGAUCGAAGGCUUAGAAUCACAAGGUUUGAGAGCUUAUCACCAAUCCAUGCUGGUACACUUCCACUGAAAUGAUUUUCACUAAGAUCAAACAUAAUCAAAUUUGGAGAAUUUUGCAAUGUGGAUGGCAAUUUUCCAAAUAUUGUAUUGUUUCGAAGGUUUAACAUUUUAAGAUUUAGAUGCCAUAAAGAAGGUGGGAUUUUGCCGGUCAAAUUGUUGCUUCCCAAAUUUAAAAGGUUCAAACGCUGCCAAUGAUUCCAACAAUCUGGAAUAUCUCCUGAGAUAAGAUUUUUAUCAAUGUAAAGAACUUCCAUCAAUUCCUCACUUGAUGAAUUACAAACCAAUUCAAAAAGAGAUCCCGAAAAUGAAUUAUUUGAUAAAAUUAGAAAUAGUAAAGUUGAGAAUACUCUUGGCAAUGGGCCUAUGAAUCGGUUUGAACUCAAAUCAACAGAGUUUCUCACAUUCAAAUAUGAAACCUCUCCUCUAAGUUGAUUCGAGGAAAGGUUUAAAGAUUCAAAUUGAGUAGGAAGGUUCAAAAACCAAGUGGGUAUGACAUCUGAAAUUCCUGCAUAGGAGAUAUCCAAAUAAGACAAUUUCUUUUGGAAUUUUAGCCACUGGGGAAACUUUGGGCCAAGAUGCCAGUGACCCAAUUCGAUCCUUUCACAUUGAAAUGGGGGAAUCCAGCUUAAGUUUGGUUCAAAUCUAAGCCGAUUGUGUGAUGCUGCUAGAGUUGUCAAUCUCGUGAGAUUAGAAAAAUGGGUUUCUGAUACAACUCCUUCUAAUAGAUUAUACCCACAAUCCAGAGUUUCCAAACUUUCUAGUCGUCCAAACGAUAGAGGAAAAGUACCAUUUAAUUGAUUUUCUGAAACAUCAAACAACUUCAAAGAUGAUAACUCCCCUAUAGACAAUGGAAUUUGACCAUUUAAUUGAUUUUCUGAAACAUCAAACUCCUCCAAAGAUGAUAACUGCCCUAUAGACGAGGGAAUUUGGCCGUUUAACUGAUUUUCUGAGACAUCAAACAACUUCAAAGAUGAUAACUCCCCUAUAGACAAUGGAAUUGGACCAUUUAAUUGAUUUUCUGAAACAUCAAACUCCUCCAAAGAUGACAACUGCCCUAUAGACAAGGGAAAUUGGCCGUUUAAUUGAUUUUUUGAAACAUCAAACAACUUCAGAGAUGAUAACUCCCAUGUAGACAAUGGAAUUUGACCAUUUAAUUGAUUUACUGAAAGAUCAAGCUGAGUAACAGAGCUCAAGUUUCCAAUGGCACUCGAGAUUGUUCCUUGUAACUGGUUAUUGCCAAGACUAAGGAACUGAAGACGGUUUAAACUAUACAAGGAAUUGGGUAUGGACGAAUUGAGAUAAUUCCAACUAAGAUCAAGAACUUCAAGAAACGAGCUGUUCCCAAAGUAAUCUGAAAUUGGGCCUUCCAAAGAAUUGCCACUAAGAUCAAUGGACACAAGACCAUGAAGACUAAAUAUCCACUUAGGUACUGAAGAAAAGCGGUUGAAAGAAAGAUCAAGAACAACCAGUGAUUUUGAAGAAUUAACAUUGAUCAAAGAUGGAUCAUUGUCUAAACCACAACCUGACAAGUGCAACUCUAACAAAGAAGGAAGUUUGAGUGUUACCUGUACCCAAUCAUUUGCUGUAUGAAGAUCAGCAUAACUCAAAUCAAGGUACUGCAAGGAAGAAAGUCCAGAAACCCAUUGAAGAGUUUUUGAUUUGAGAUCAUUACCUCCAAGAUCAAGAUACUGCAGCUUUGAGAGAUUCCCAAGGUUAUGAGGAAUUGCUCCCUCAAAUUGUGAUCGAGAGAGGUUAAGAUAUGUUAAACUCUCUAGCAAACCGAAAAAUUUCGGGAUAUGUAUGCUGCUAAAAAUGUUAUAGCUCAAGUCCAGGGAACUGAGAUGCUUCAACUCCAGCAGUGAAGGAUUUAUUUUGCCUCCCAGCAGGGAAUUGUGGUAAGCUUCCCAUUCAGCAUUUGUUGCAAAGGCAUCAGGCACUGAAAGAGGAGCGGCCAAGUGCAGUUGGUUGACGUGGCCUGUUGAGUUAUGGCAGACGACACCAGUCCAUUCACAGCAAUCCCCACCUUCUACCCAUGACGAUAGCCUGUUUGAAGGAUCAAAAAGAUGAUUCUUGAAUUUCAAAAGAGCUUCUCUCUCACUCUGAAUGCAAAGUAGGUUGGAAUUGGCAUGACAAAUGGUAAAGCAGAUAGCGGGAAUGAGAAGAAAAGAAGGGAAAAAGGAAAUAGGAAGAGUAGUCAUGGUUGCAAUUGCCAUGGCUCACAACUCCAAAUAUAUAGAGUAAGCUUUAGGUAAAACACAAAAAUACAUGAAGCGCAAGGAAGUUUCUUCCAACAAAAUGCAUUAAAUUGGAAAUUUAAUUAUCCACAAAUUGUUAAAUUGAGCCAAACAAAAGUCUAUGAAGAAUGCCCCACUCCCACAUUCUUUAAGGCUUUUUAGGUCUUAAAAGCUAAUGGAGGAAAAAAGAAAGUAAAGCUAAAGGAGAAAAAAGAGAAGGAAAAGAAAAUGGAAAAUACGGAAUGUGAGUAAGAAAAGCAAAAUAUAAAUUUACUAUUAUCAAUGCUCUGUCUUAUUUUAUUUUUAUAAAUAAUUUUUACGAUAAUAAAAAUAAAAUUUACUAUUUUAAUAACUUAUAUCUUUAUAAAUUUUAAAAUUUAAAUUAAAUUUUUAUUAUUUUUAAGAGGGCCAAAAUAUAAUUCUACUAUUACCAAUGCCGAGCCCCUCACUAAAAUGGAUGAAAAUGUAGAGAAGUGUUUAAUUGUGAUUGGAGGACUGAAGUUUCUUUUUAAUGACUUAGAAGCUAAUUGGCAAUAUUGAUAAUUAUCUCAACACGAGGUUCUUAUUUUUUUGAAUACUACAUUGGAGAAUUUUGGCUUAGCUCCAAUCUUAGAAAUUUUCUAAUUUUUAUAUGUGAAUAAAAUAUUUUUUAAAACUUAAAAUAUUACUUUUAAAAAUUCAACUUAAAUCUGCUUUUCUCAAUCUCAAAAAUUAUUUUUCUUGCCGUAAUCAGGAUAUUCAUCAUUGAUAGCAGUGACUAAUUUUCUAACCGUGGAUACUUUUCGAAAAGUUAAAUGAGUGACAAUAAAAUAUAUUCCAUUUGCAAGAAUAGGAUUAAAUUUUUUUUCGGUAUCCAUCAUCUGUAAUAGUGAUUAAUCUUCUAAUUGUGGAUGCUUUCCGAAAAGAUAAAUGAUUGACAAUAAAAUGUAUUUCAUUUUCGUGAGUGGAGAUUAAUAAUUAUUUUUUAAUUAUUUGAAAAGGUUGUUUUAGUUAGGGGAGAGGAUUAUUAUUAUCGGAUUUAAAAACUAAAUCAUAAAGUGUCAAUAUAGAACUUCAAUCUAUAGUACUUGAUACUGUUUUGGUACCACGUACUGAUCGAAACAUUCUGUUCUGAUAGUAAAUUGAAACAACUAAUUGUUUCAUGUUGAGUUUUCAUAGUAUAUAGGAGUAAUUUUCAAAACCACCAACAUAAGUGAAUUUUGAACUACUAAAAUUCCCUUGAAAUUAUCUAAAAAUUUUGAAAUUCUUCAAAAUAUUUACCUAUACAAAUAAAUUCAUUUUUACAAUUUUGAAAACCUUUACACAAAUGAAACCUCUCCUAUAAAUUCUUUACCCAAACAUAUCCUUGUGCCACUAAUGCAGGAUGCUAGAUGCUAACUUGUCAUCAGCACCACAAUUAUAACACCCCAAACCCAGCCUAGACAUUAUCGUCAAAUUCAGGAGUAUUACGAAGAAGGGUUUUGAAACUGUUUUUUUGAAAAAAACCUUGUGAAGUUACUUGAUAUAGAGUGUCCAAAUUUUGCAAAACAUAUUCAUUUACUUAUUCAUUACUAAAACCGUCGUUAGUUUAUUCAUUUGCCAAAAAAUAAUUUGCAGCGGAAAUCUUAAAAAUCAUUAUAUUUUGGAAAUCCAAUUCAUAUUUACAGAAAACCCUUUGUUUUAGUAAAUCGUUUCCGGCAAUCAUCGCAGGGUAGAAAACAACCAAAAACCAAAACCAACAGUUAAAACCAUACAAUCCAGAGAGUCCCAAAUGUUACAAACUCUCAAAUAAAUCCAAAAUUUUAACGAAACAAAAACUGAAAACUUAAAGGCAGUUUUAAACUAGUGGUCACCCUGAGCCUCCGUCACACCGACUCACUUAUGUCCGAAGGUUACCUGAACAAAACAGACAAACAGAGGUGAGUUUUUUGUAAACUAAGUGUGUAACCCAAUAGAGAUAGUCAUGCAAUUUUACACGAAAUUCUCAUAAGUAGAACAGAUACAAAUACGAACCUAAGUCCAUAACAAAUUCAAAUAUCAAAAUCAGAUGAUCCAGACAGUUAUAUAGAAUCCUACCCUCAUCCUUUACUCAACAUCUUCGUCCAUCCCAUCACACCCUAUGAGGUUAGAAACACCCACCCAUCCCUACACACCAUAUAAUGUCGAUGCGACACAUAACAUAUAAUAUGCGGUCAAGCUGCCAGAAUAUAGGCGUAAGGUCGCUGUAUAGAUCACUUCCUCCACAUAUACAAAUCCCAUCCCCACAUAUAGAUAUAGAAUACAGACAAUAGAUAUAAAAAAAUUACAUGCCUAACAUGCUCGUAUAUAGAUAUCAUAUAUGCUUACACAGACAAUCAGAAAUAUAUAUCAAUAUCCUACUUAGAUCAGACUAUCCACAUAUCAGAUCUCGUAUAAUAGGGCUUGGUUAGCCCUAUCGACCCUAUAGUAGGCCCAUAGUCCAUUGGAACGACCCGUGCAAUCCUAGGGAAAUUUUUAAAAUUUUGGGCCCACAUUCUUGUGUGAGCUUACACGCCCAAAUUGGCCUUGCUCGUGUGGGCCACAUGGCCGGGCCCAAAACCCACACGCCCACUCUGGCCUAGCCCUUGUGACCCACACGGCCAUACAUUCACUAUCACACGAUCGUGUCUUGCGCACAGCCACACCUUCGACAAUCACACGACUGUGUGUCGCAUAUGGCUGGCCACACACUCGUGUGGCGUCGACAAUCCCCUUUUUCAGCUUUUGUCGAACAUCAUUUUCUCGUGUUUUAGGUACACACCUGGUAUGAUUUUGAUGCUACUGCAACCUUGAGCCCACCAAAACCUAAAAAUUAACAUCAUACACUCCCACAAUCAGUUUUAAUUCUAAAUUAAAUCGAACCAACAUAAUCAACAAUGGUGUAAUUUAAGUGUUCAACAUUUACCCAUUUCCCUGAAUGAUUCCGACUACGAUUCCGCAAGAGGAGAGCCCCGUUCUUCACCAUUCACUGUUGCCAAUACCCAAAAUCAACUAACGGAAAGAAAAUAAUAGGAUCGAUGUAGAACAGCAUAAAAACGAUUCCUAAACCCACAUGAAAUUCACCCCUACACUUACCAAACCGCACAACAACACCUAAGAACUGGAAUUUCGAGAUUGAACGACAAGAUUUCCAGAAUUCAGAAAGCAAGGGAAAUAAAGGAUCUUUUUAGUUAACAGGAAGAAGAGUCCAAAGUUUGGGAAAUUUUAGAGGAGAGAGAAAUAAUAAUAAUAAAUAAAAUAAAAACAAAAUAAUAACAUAUCCCCAAAUUUUCUCCCACUCCCCAAUAACCCACAACUACCUCAGAAUUUUGAUUCCACCAAACCUAUACCAGACACCCGAAGCAAAAAUUAACAUUCUUACUCACACAAGGAUUCAAACACAAAACCUCCAACAAACUAACUCCUUACCACCAGACCAGUAAGCCCAUUCUAAUAUGAAUUUACAAACAAUACUACAUAAGCCUACCGAACAAGGAUAAGGUUAGGAUAAAAAAUAAUAUAAUUUCCAAAGAGUGGGAUUUGAACCCAAUACCUCAUACACACACCCAAAACACUUAACCACUAAAACAAAUACACAUUUGUGUUAAGAUUCACAGAAAUAUAAAUAAACAAGGUGUUACAGUAAUUUAUAUGCACUUUAUGCUAAUGUAGUACUAUUUUAUCUUAUAUCUCAUAUUAUCAAAUAAUUUAAAAAUUAAAACAAAAUGAAAACCUUGACAUAAAUGAAAUCUCUCCUAUAAAUUCUUUACCCAAAAUAUCCUUGUGCCACUAAUGCAGGAUGCUAGAUGCUAACUUGUCAUCAACACCACAAUUGUAACACUCCAAACCUAGCCUAGAUGUUAUGGCCAAAUCCGGGAGUGUUACGAAGAAGGGUUCUUAAACUGUUUUUUACUUUGACAAAAAAACCUUGUGAAGUUACUGGAUAUAGAGUGUCCAAAUUUUGCAAAAUAUAUUCAUUUACUUAUUCAUUACCGAAAUCGUCGUUAGUUUAUUCAUUUGCUAAAACAUAAUUUGCAGCAAAAAUCUUAAAAAUUGUUAUGCUUAGGAAAUCCAGUUUGUAUUUACAGAAAAACCUUUGCUUUCGUAAAUCAUUUUCGGUAAUCGUCGCAGGAUAAAAAACAACCAAAAACCAAAAUUGACUACUAAAACCAUACAAUCCAGAGAGUCCCAAAAGUUACAAACUCUCAAAUAAAUCCAAAAUUUAAAAAAAUAAGGGGAAACUCAAAGGCAGUUUUAAACUAAUGGUCACGCUGAGCCUCCGCCACACCGACCCGCUUAUGUCCAAAGGUUACAUGAAUAGAACAGACAAACAAAGGUGAGUUUUUGUAAACUAAGUGUGUAACCUAAACAAAGAUAGUUAUGCAAUUUUACACAGAAUUCUCAUAAGCAGAACAGAUACAAAUACGAACCUAAGUUCUUAACAGAUUCAAAUAUCAGAAACAGAUAAUUUGAACAGUUAUACAAAAUCCUACCCUCAUCCUUUACCCACCAUCUCCGUCUAUCCCAUCACACCAUAUGAGGUUAAAAAUAUCCACCCACCCCUACACACCAUAUAAUGUCAAUGCGACACAUAACAAAUAAUAUUCAGUCAAGUUACCAAAAUAUAGGCGUAAGGUCGCCGUACAAAUCACUUCCUCCACAUAUACUAAUCUCAUCCCCACAUACAGAUAUUGAAUAUAGACAAUAGAUAUAACAGAAUUACAUGUCUAACAUGCUCGUAUAUAGAUAUCAUAUAUGCUUACACAGACAAUCAGACAUAUAUAUCAAUAUCCUACUUAGAUCAGACUAUCUACAUAUAAGAUCUCAUAUAAUAGGGUUUGGUUAGCCCAUACAGACCCUACAGUAGGCCCAUAGUUGAUCGAAACGACCCGUGCGAUCCCAGAGAAAAUUUUAGAAUUUUAGGCCCACAUUUUCGUGUAGGUUGAUACGCCCAAAUUGGCCUUGCUCGUAUGGGCCACACGACCUGGCCUAAAACCCACACACCCAAUCUGGCCUAGCCCUUUUGGCUCACACGGCCACACAUUCACUAUCACACGACCAUGUCUUUGGCAUAGCCACACUUUCAGCAGUCACAAGACCAUGUGUUGCACAUGGCUGGCCAUACACCCGUGUGGCGUCGAGAGUCUCAUUUUUUAGCUUUUGUCAAACCUUAUUUUCUCGUGUUUUAGGUACACACCUAGUACGAUUUUGAUGCUACUGUAAUCCCGAGCCCACCAGAACCUAAAAAUUGACAUCACAUACUCCCACAAUAAGUUUUAAUUCUCUAUUAAACCGAACCAACAAAACUGACAACGGUGUAAUUUAAGUGUUCAACACUUACCCACUUUCGACUACGAUUCUGCAAGAGGAGAGCCCCGUUCUUCACGAUUCACUGCUGCCAAUACCCAAAAUCAACUAACGGAAAGAAAAGAAAAGAAUUGAUGUAGAACAACUUAAAAAUGAUUCCCAAACCCACACGAAAUUCACCCCCUACACUUACCAAACUGCACAACAACACCGAAGAACUAGAAUACCAAGAUUAAACGACAAGAUUGAUAGAAUUCAGAAAGCAAGGGAAAUAGAUGAUUUUUCUAGUUAACAAGAAAGAGAGUCAAAAGUUUUAGAAAUUUUGGAGGGGAGAGAGAAAAAGAAAUAAUAAAAAAAUAAAAUAAAAACAAAAUGACAACAUAUCCCUAAAUUUUCUCCCACUCCCACAAUUACCUCAGAAUUUCGGUUCCACCAAACCUCUACCAGACACCCGAAGCAAAAAUUAACAUCUUUACCUCCAGCAAACUAACGCCUUACCACCAGACCAGUAAGCCCAUUCUAAUAUGAAUUUACAAACAAUACUACAUAAGCCUACCGAACAGGGAUAAGGCUAGGAUAAAAAAUAAUAGAAUUUCCAAAGAGUGGGAUUUGAACCCAAUACCUCAUACACACUCCCAAGACACUUGACCACUAAAACAAACACACAUUUAUGUUAAAAUUCACAGAAACAUAAAUAAAUUAUUCAGGGUGUUACAACAAUUCAUAUGUACUUUAUGCUAAUGUAGUACUAUUUUAUCUCAUAUCUCAUAUUAGCAAAUAAUUUAAAAAUUAAAAAAAAAUAAAAAGUAAAAAAUAAUUGAAUUUUAUUUCAAAGGGAAUAUAUAUUUUAUUAAUAAAUAAAAGUUAAACUUUCUUUUCUUAUUAUUAUGAACAUAAUUCUUGUAGAAAAAUAAAACUUCAAAUGAAUCAAAUUAAUAUAUAAUAUAUUAUAAAGACCCCAUAUUUUGGGCUUAAAUUUUUCUCAUGGCCAAUGAAUUUUCUUCCAAGACCCCAAUUUUCCAAAAUAGCAUUUAUAGUUUGUUGAAUAUAAUUUCUAUACCCAAAAUUUCCUAUUUAAAUUUUCUGCAAAAAAGUAUUUAGAGUGUGUUUGAACGAAAAACUUUAAAAUUUUUGAGAUUUUUAAAAAAUUUAGCCUUUUAAAUUUUAUCCAUACAUAAUGCUAGCAUUCGUAAUUAUUUUGAUUGGAUAAAUAAUUGAUUUAUGAAAAAUUAGAUUAUUAAAAUUUUACAAAUUAAAAAUAAUUAUAAAAAAGAAUAAUUAUAUUAAAAAUAAAUAAUAUAAAAAUAUAAUAUGAAUAUAAUUAUAUUUGUAAAAACUAUAACUAGUUCUAAUAAAAUAAAUUUUAAAAUAUAUAUUAUAAUUAAAUAAAAACUAUUUUUGAUGUUUAAAUUUUUUGUUAGUGGAACCAUGUGUAUUAAAUCAAAUAAAUUUAUGAGAAAAUUUGAAAAAAAAAAACAACACAUCUUUAGAAAAAAAUUUGAAACAAGAAAGUGAGAUACUAAAAUCCUCUCUUGAAAUUACUUACAAAUUUUGAAAUUCAUCAAAUAUUUAUUCAAAUAAAUAAAUUUAAGUUUAAAAUUUCAAAAACCUUUUGAAAAGAAGAAAAUCGAUGGAUUGACCUGAUUUGAACCGAUGGAAUUUGAUAUUUUUGAUUCAAUUUUUUAUAUUCAAUUCGAUUUGAGUUUACAAAACCAAAAUACUUUAAGAUAAAUUGAAAUAUUUCUUCAAAGUCAAGCCAAAUUGAAUUAUGAUUACCCUUGAUAUAUUUUGAAUACUUUUUUUUUGGGUGAGUAUUUGGUACUCUAGUGGUACACUUUUAUAAUUCCACAGGUAUAAUUAUAAAUUUGUGUUCCAUUUUUUUAAAAAAAUUUAUUAUACCUUAAAUACAUAGUGUAUCGAAUAUUUUUCGAACCUUGUUUCUGAAAACGCGUUUAAGUACGCUCAAGUCUAUAGCCUCCUUUAUUGACAAUAAAAUCAAUAUCAACCAAACUAAAAUUUAAUUUAAGGUCGACAAGUUUAAAACCACAAAUGGAGAUAAAAGUUUAAAAACUAAGUCUAUGAAGUAAGUCCCACUCCCACGUUCUUUAAGACUUUUUAGGUUUUAAAAGCCAAAAGAAAGUUUUGUAUAUGUUUGGUUAGUAUUAAGCAAAAAUUUGAAAACCAUUACUACUUCUUACAUUAUGAUUUUUCAACAUUUAUUCAAAAUCAAUCAUUUCAUCCUUUACUCUGCUUUAUUUAAUUCCCAAACUUUUUCUUAAGAGAAAAAUCAAACUUUUAUAUAUACAUUAGUGUGGCUUCCGAGCUCCAUAUUAAAUUGAUUAUAUGUCUAUAUUAAAUUAUAAAAUAAAAAUUUGAAGGUUAAAGUAUGCUCUAAAUCACUAUACAUUUUAUAUAUUUGGGUUUUAGUCUCUUACUUUUAUUUUUAAAAAUUUUACCCCUAUAUUUUUUUGAAUUUAAAAAUUCAAGUCAAAAAGAUAUUGCCACUAAAAUUAUUCUAUUAAAUUUAAUGGUGUGACAUUUGAAAUUAAAAGAAUAUAUCCACUUCGAUAGUCUUGUAACAAUAAAAUUAAUUUUAAAAAUGUUAAUUAAGAUUUUUUUUCUUAAAAACACUAGUUCGAAAUCAACUAAGUCUAUGGAAUAAAUCCCAAUCUCACGGUUUAGUUGCUAUUUAAAAAUUAGGGCAAAGCCAGAAAUUUUUUUUAGGAGAACAGAAAUUAAAUUAUAAUAUUUACUAUAGUAAAAAUACAAUUUCACUGUUUUAAUAGCUUAUAUCUUUAUAAUUUCUAAAGGAUUAAAUCAAAAUUUUAUCAUGUUAACCAAAGUACAAUUUUACUUUUACUAAUUUAAAAUUUAAAAAAAUUUAAAAGAUAUAAAUAGAAAAUUUUCUAGAUGCCCUAGCUACAUGUAGCCCUUGUUGAUCUAGUAUAAGAUGAUCCCACAGAAGCGAUUGUUGGCUAGAGUCAGGUUCCACUAAAUUGUAAGUCUAAAUCUUUGGAGCUGGUGGUCGUAAGCGUCUUCUUCCACUAUAACUGGCUUAUUCAGUUUGGGAAGAAUCAUCUAAAAGCCGUGGAUUGAACCCAAGGCAGAACGAGACAACUGGAGGUUGGAAUCUCCCAUAAGAAUUUUCUUUCUCUUAACUCUAUUUUUAAUUUCUCGAAUUUUCAAUUCAAUAUUCUUAAUUCUGUUUUUAUUUUAUUUUUCGUUUCUAGAUCCAACAAUUUAAUUCUGUUAUUUUUUUUAUUUUUUUCCAGGAACGUAGGUUGUCUUGGGCAAGACUCUGCCUGGGAUUUCACGGAACAAGAUAUUUUGCAAGUCCAGUCCCUGAGGAUUUGACCCUACUUCCCUUUUACUAUUCUUUUUCAUUAUUUAUUAGGGAUAGGAUAUUUUUGGUGCUUUCAACGACCGCAUCAAUAUUUAAUGGUGUGACAUUUGAAAUUAAAAGAAUAUAUCCACUUCGAUAGUCUUGUAACAAUAAAAUUAAUUUUAAAAAUAUUAAUUAAGAUUUUUUUUUCUUAAAAACACUGGUUCAAAAUCAACUAACAAGCUCUUUCAAAGCAUUUUCGUUCAAGAAAAAUCUCUUUUUUCCUACAUAAACUUCUACUUUUUCUCUGUAUUUAAUGUGGAAAUUAACAAGCUCCAAAAUCCCACAAAUUUAGAAAGACAAAUAGGCAUAAAGUUGAGAAGCAAGUCUAUGGAGUAAGUCCCCCGCAAGUGUAUGGAGUAAGUCCCACUCCCACGCAAAAGGAAAAAAUAAUAUUGGAAGAAAACCAUUGCUAAUAUUCUGUUAUUUUUCCAAAAACAGCCAGAAUCGUUCAUAGAUUCACUCAAAAUUUCACAUAUAAUUAAUUAUUUCGUAUAAAAUAUCAAAUUAUUCACAUGUAUUAUAUGAAAUUAUUUAAAUGUCAUUAAUCAUUAUUUUUAAAUUUUUAAAUUUUAUGUAUUAUUAAUUUUAUAAAUAAUUUAUAUUAAUUAUUUAAAAAUACUUAAAAUUUAUAUUUUUUAAGAAAAAAAUGAAAAAUUAUACUUUAAAAUCUAUAGUCACUCCCAACCCGUAAAUAAGAAGAUAAUACACUUCAGCACACUUAAACUUAUAUCCUCCUACAUUAGUAAUAAUGUUAAUACCGAUCAAACUAAGACUCAAUUAAUAUAUUUUUUAAACUUUUAUAAUGUACAAAAUAAUAAAUGAAAAAAAUUGUUAAAUGAGGUAUUUAUAAACUUUUUUUAAUCUUAUGUAUUAGUACUCCUGUAUAACCUGCAGAUUUAUAACAUAGGUAUCACAUUUUUUGGGGAUUUGCAAGCAAUCAUUAUUAAAUAUAUAUUUGUUCUGCAAAAAAAUCAUAUCAAUGAAUUGAUGAAAAAAAGUUUAAGCACCUAACAUCAAAUAUAAAUUCUUUAUUUAUUUUAUCAAAUAAUUAUAAUAAGAAAACAUGAAUCAGAGUAGUAAAUUUAAACUCAGAGUUAGAUUAAUUGAUUCUUGUAAUUCCUUUUAAAAUGUGACAUUUAAUAGAUCCAAAUCCUAUAUAAUCAAUUAUAAACAUACACAAAAUUUAAUUAUACUUGGUUCUUUUUCCAUCAACCUAUUUAUCCAUAGUAGCCCAAGACACAUACAACAUUCAACCAACUUUCGAUAGUAUGCAUGCCUUCAAGACCUGAUAAAAUACAAGGGAGCCACUACACCCCAAAAUCCCAUUACAAGGCCAAGAACUAUUCUCACAUAAAGCCAAUUCACUUUACUUCCUUCAUUGCUUCUUCCAUUAUUUGGAACAUCCGUUGAAAUACCUUUUGUGCUACAGUUUUUAGUGAGAGGAGGUCCGCAGAGAUGAUUGCCCAUGUCAGAGACUUUUCAAAGCUUUGAAGCUGAGUGCUUGUUGGGAUUUGUCUUGUCAAGUUGUUGCAGGACAUAUUGAAGUGAUUCAAGAAAUUCAAAUUGGAGAAACUUAGAGGGAUCUCGUCAACUCCAUGUUGCCAAUUUCGUCCUACAACAACUUAACCAAUAUCAUGAGAUUCCAUCAACUCCAUUUUGACAGGAUAACUCAUGAGAGAUUCCAUGAACUCCAUGUUGCCAAUUUCGUCCGUUAUAUUUCCAAUUAGGUGAUUUCCUGAUUCAUUUAAUUAUCGUAGCUCGAUGAGACUUCCGAGUUCUUUUGGGAUCUCUCCUAUGAGUCUAUUAAUUGGAAGGCACAUGCUCCUAACAAGCCCUAGUUUGGCACUAUAUUAAUUAUUUUAAAAUACAUCAAAAAGAAAUACUUAACCAAUAUAAUUUCUCUAAACUUGAUAAUAAUGAUAAAUUAUUUAAAUAUUUAAUUUUUUUCUUGAUAAUUAUGAGACACAAUACAUUAAGAAACAUACUACAACCUUGUCAAAAGAGAAAACAAAGCUAAACCGAUAGAAAAAGAAGCGGCUGACCGGUAACAUCCCCUUAUUAUUAUCCGGUAAAAGAAGAUCCUUCCAAUAUCUCCAAGAACUACCCACCAAAGUGCUCGAAGAGUUGUCGCGCACUGCAAGAGACUCCACUUCUCAUGACAUAGUUAGUUAUCAAUGUCUACGUAGAUAGAAUCAAAGCACCCAACUCUCGCUUUUAUCAUCAUCCACACGAAGAAACUAUAAUCAUUCCGAAACUUGAAAAUCAAUGUUAUUCUUCUCUAGUAAACAAAGAACACUUGUUAAUUAUUCGCGUGGUACAAUAAUAAUGAAAUGUAAAAAUACUAUCUGAUUAAAUACAUAAAAUAAAAAAAAUACAAUAUAAUAAAAGAUCACUUUGUCAUAACAAAAUAUGGGAGAGGCUGAGGAAACACUCUGGGAUAUAUUGAUGAUUAAGUAAAUUCAACUGUUGUAGCCUUGUAGGUCUGGCAAUUUCGAAUUGCAUAUAUACAAAUGUCCUUACCGGAUUCUCAAGCUAGAUCAGAGACUCUAAAAGUUCAUGUGGGUUCGAUGAUACCACAUCCUCAUCUAUCCUAGGACUUUAGUCUCGAUGAAAUCGGUAUUCACCGAUUUUAUUUUAGUUUAUUUCCGCUUUUGAUUGAGCAAUAAGCCGGUGAUACAUGUGGUAGUUUUAGACCAUGCUUCAACUUCACUGUUAGUGUGUAUGAUAUAUAAUAAUCCCUACUUUCAUGCUUAGAAGUAGGCAUUUAGUGAGUGAUAAGUUGUUCUUAAAUGUUGUGUUGUGCAUCAAGUUUUACGAGGUUUUGGAAACUUUUCAUAUUGAGUGGUUGGUCGAACAGUUUCCAGUGCAGAGAUGGAGGCACUGAUGAGUAGUGCUCAAUCUCUAGCGUUACAUCGAGAUAACAACCUCAAAAACUUGGAAGUAACUAGGCAAGAUUUCAGAUUAGCAAUUAGAGAGUUAAGACCGGUGGAAAAACUAGGUUCAAUGAGGUAACAUCACUUAGUAAAUUUUAAUUACUUUUUUGGGAAAAAAUUAGGAAGGGAAGGAUGAUUGAAUUACCGGAACACCGAGGGGUUUAUGAAACCACGACGACUUUAAUUGAUCAACUUCGGGGUAGCAUGAGCCAAUCGCUUAGACUUUAAUUGUAAUUAAGCAGUCAAUGCCAAAACGAUUCUCACAGUUUUAAAUCGAGCAACAUGAGAAUAUAUUUCUUCGAAGUCAAUACCUUGUUGUUGUGAGUAUCCCUUUGCCACAAGCUAAGCUUUAUGUUUUUGGACGCUUCCAUCAGCUUUAUACUUUGUUCGAAAUACCCACUUCAGUCCUACAACAUUCUUGCCUUCUGCAACAUCAACCAACUCCCAUGUUGAAUUUCUUUCAAUGGCAUGCAUCCCCUAAGUCUAUGGAAUAAAUCCCAAUCUCACGGUUUAUUUGCUAUUAAAAAAUUAGGGCGAAGUCAGAAAAUUUUUUUAGGAAAACCGAAAUUAAAUUGUAAUUUAUAUGAUAAUAAAAAUGCAAUUUCACCAUUUUAAUAGUUUAUAUAUUUAUAAUUUUUAAAGGAUUAAAUCAAAAUUUUAUCAUUUUCUAAAGACACCAAAGUGCAAUUUUACUUUUACUAUUUUAAAAUUUUAAAAAAUUUAAAAGAUAUAAAUAAAAAAAAUUUCCAGGUGCCCGCCCCUAGCUACACAUGGCGCUUGUUAAAAACUCGAUUCACCUUGCUUCAAACUCAAUUUUUAAAAACAAAAAACCACCCUAUAUGGCUGGGGUGGAUGGAAUCUCAAUAACUUGAAAGAAUUUCUGUCGGGUAUGUAUUUUACACGAGUAUAUUAAAACUUUUAUAAAUUGUUUCAUAUAUUUUUGAAAGAUUCUAUGCUCAUUCUCAUGUUUAAAUGUGCUGAAUCUAAAUAUAUACUUUAAAAUAAAAAAUCGAAAUAACUCUAAACAGUUAUACCAAUUUGAUCCAUAAAAGUUAACAAAGAAGAGAGAACAAUCAAGUACAUUAAAUUUUACAAACUUGAAAUUACCUUGGAGAUUUAAAUUCCAACAUUUACGACUUCUUUUAUUUUCCAGACCAAAUGCAAAAACGACGACGUUUUGAGGUUGUUAUCUGUUUUAGAUCCGCUUCUUCGUUGAAUACAACAUCCCUACUAAUUAUCACUUUGCCACUUAUAGGAUUAUAUAAACAAUAUGCUUUAGAUUGAGGACUAUAGCCAAUGAAAAUACAUUUUUCAGAUUUUUCAUCUAGAUCGAGAAGUAACUAAAGCAUGUGCUAUAAAACCAAAGACUUUUAAGUGGCUUACCCGAGGUUUCUUACCCAUCCAAGCUUCAUAAGGUGUUUGAUUAAGAACAACCUUUGUUGGUGAGAUGUUCAAGAGAUACACUGCUGUUGCAACUACUUCUCCCCAAAACUGUGCGAAUGGCAAUAACCUCAGCAAUGUUUGAAUCAAGGUGACCAAGGAGACCAAAGAAAAUACCUCGGAGAUGACCAUCGUAGUCACGAAGAAUGCCUCCACAACCCGCUGGACAAGGUUUGCCCCAAGCUGAUCCGUUGACAUCAGAUUUCAACUUACUGACAGGAGAAGGGGUCCAAGAAACCAAGUUGCGAUGAAUUAUUUUAGGAGUUGAAAGAGGUCCGUCAAAGGGAUACAGCCACCAAUCAAGUUCAGUAACAGAUUCAUGAUCAGAUACUUUAAUCCAAGGAAAAGAUCGAAGUUUACAGAGAUUUAAUAAAGAACCGACAUCCCACUAUUUAUUCUUGAAGACCGUCUAGAAGUUUAACAACUUCUUUCGCUGCGCAAGCUAUGGAAUCAGCCCCCAUAUCAAAACAAUCCCACAAUGCAAAUUGCCCUGUUUGGGAUAAUGCCACUUUCUCUUCUCCAACCAGUUUCCUGCACUUAUCAGCUAUAACAUGAAAGAAAAUGAAAAAGAAAAAAUUUUAAAAAACCAUGCAUACAUAGUUAAAAUUAUCAUGGAGCCUCUAUAGUAAGAGUCGGAUUAUAUUUUAUCCUUUUAUUAAAAAUGUGGACAAAUUAAUCUCUGUACGAUAAAUUAAACAGCAAACUGAUCAUUUCUAUUAAAAUUUUUAUUUAUUUAUACGGUUAAAAGCUAUAAAAAAAAGCUAAGGUGAAUUUCAAAGGACGUCAACCAAGUAAGCCGAGUAUUUUUUGUUGGCUCAUGAUGCUUCAACUUGAUUUUUAUGUCUAUAUACUCGCUUAAACUAGAAUUUUGUUUAAUACUUUAACCUCUUAUUUUGACCAUAACCCUUAAAAGAUUUAUAUAAUCCCAUGACCAUUCGUAUGAAAAUUUACAUAAUGUUUUAUAUUACAUUAGCUUUUACAAAAUUAAUUCCAAUUAUAUGUUACAAAAUUAAAAAGUGACAUUUUAAUGCGCCAGACAGAUAUUUGAUUCAAAAAAUUUUAAAGAAAAACUCCAUCCACCUUGCUUCAAACUCAAUUUUGAAAAACAGAAAACCAUCUCUAUAUGGCUGGGGUGGAUGGAGUCUCGGCAACUUUAAGGAACUUUUGCCAACCCCAACUUCAAAUACCGGUAUGUAUUUAACAUGGGUAUAUUAAAAUUUUUAUAAAUUUUUUUUCAUAUAUUUUUGAAAGAUUAUAUGCUCAUCCUCAUGUUUGAAUGUGCUGAACCCAAAUAAUGAAUAUGAAUAUAAAAAAAUUGAAACAACUCUAAUGAAAGAUACUAAUUUAAUCCUUCUUAUAUAAUCAAAUACAAACACAUACAAACCUUAAUUAUACAUGUUUUUUUUCCCAUCAAACUACAUACCUAUAGUAGCCCAAUACACAUAUAGCUUUCGACCAACAUGGUCCAACUUUCGAUAGUAUGCAUGCCUCCAAGACCUAAUGAAAAACAAGGGAGCCACUACACCCCAAAAUCCCAUUAUAAAGCCAAGAACUAUGCUGACAUAAAGCCAGUUCACUUUACUUCCUUCACUGCUACUUCCAUUAUUUGCAACAUCAGUUGGAAGACCUUUUGUGCUGCAGUUUUUAGUGAGAGGAGGUCCACAAAGAUAAUUGCCCAUGUAAGAAAAGUUUUCAAAACUUUGAAGCUGAGUGCUUGUUGGGAUUUGUCCUGUCAAAUUGUUGUAGGACACAUUGAAGUGAUUCAAGAAAUUCAAAUUGGAGAAACUUGGAGGGAUUUCACCAUUCAACUGAUUCAUCGACAAAUCAAGAGAUUCCAUCAAUUCCAUGUUGCCAAUUUUGUCUGGUAUAUUUCCUGUUAGGAGAUUCCCUGACAAAUUUAAUGAUCGUAGCUCAACGAGAAUUCCAAUUUCUUUUGGGAUCUCUCCAGUGAGACUAUUAGCUGAAAGGUCCAUGUUGGUAACAAGUCCUAGUAUGCUACUAUAUUCAUCCUCUCGUCCUUUCAACACCAAUAAUGCACUCAAAUAAAUGAGAGUAGUGGUACCUCCCCAAUCAUAACUAUAGUUAUUGUCGUAGCUUCUAUUGGCCAUAGCACUCAAAUUACUAAAACAUUUUGGAAUAGCUCCUAAAAUGUUGUUACGAGAAAGGUCCAAAUUCUGAAGAUAUUGAAGAUCACAAAUUUUAUGAGGAAUCUGGCCGUCAAAAUUAUUUGAUCGAAGGCUUAGAAUCAUAAGUGUUGAGAGCUUGUCACCAAUCCAUGUCGGAAUAUUUCCACUGAAAUGAUUUUCACUAAGAUCAAGAAUGCGCAAAUUCGUUAAAUUUUGCAAUGUGGAUGGUAAUUCUCCAAACAUGCUAUUAUUUCGAAGGUUUAGCCAGUCAAGACCUGUACGUCCCAAAGAAGGUGGGAUUUUUCCGGUCAAAUUGUUGUUCCCCAAAUUCAAAAAUGUCAAACUUUCUAAUUGAUUCCAGCAAUCUGGAAUUUCUCCGGUGAGAAGAUUUUUAUCAAUGAAAAGAACUUCCAUCCUUUCCCUACUUGAUGAAUGACAAACUAAUUCAAAAAGAGACCCUGAAAACAAAUUAUUUGACAAAAUCAAAAAUUGUAAAGUUGGGAAUACUCUUGGCAAUGGGCCUGUGAAUCGGUUUGAACUCAAGUCAGCACUAUCUCUCACAUUCAAAUAUGAAAUCCCUCCAGCAAGUUGAUUAUAAGAAAGAUUUACAUAUUUAAAUUGAGGGGAAAGGUUCAAAAACCAAGUGGGCACAGAAUCUGAAAUUCCUGCUUGAGAGAUAUCUAAUAUAGACAAGUUCUUUUGAAAUUUUAACCAAUGGGGAAAUUUCGGGCCAAGAUGCCAUUGACCCAAUUCGAUAGUUCGACAUUGAAAGGGGGGAAUCCAACUAGAGUUUGAUUCAAAUCUGAGCAUAUUUUGUGAUGCCUUCAGAGUUGUCAAUCUCGUGAGAUUAGAAAAGUGGGUUUCCAAUAUAAUGUUAGAAAUCAAACCCACUCCAAGCAUAAUCUAGAAGCAUGAGACGUGGAGCAAUUUUGUGCCAUGCAAAGUGCUGAAAUUUUAGCCAUACAAAGUGCUCCAUUAUUGAGAUGUUUUGUGGCUGGAAAUUAAGUGGAUUAAUAGCCACAUUUGUUGUCACUUUAUCAGCCUAUAAAUAGAGGCUUGAACUUGUGUUGUAAAGGAAGAAAAAUGAGAAGAAAAAAGAAAUAAGAGAAGCAACGUGAGUGAGAGUGAGAAGGUUAGCAAACCUUGAGUGAGUUAAAAUCUAGCAGCAGCUAGACUAUCUAGUCAUUGAGAAAAUAUUUGUAAUCUUCGUAUUGUAAUAUAUUGAGUGUGUAAUAAAAAGUAAAUUUUCGGCCCAUCACGUUUCCAACAAGUGGCAUCAGAGCUACGAUUCGGAGCUUGGUUCGGAGUUCGGUUCGUGUCCAGUUCGGAGUACCUUUGGUGUUCAUCUAACAAGUCGAUAUGGGCGACGUAAUUCAGCUACAAGUUCCACAAUUGACGAAGACAAAUUAUGGAAAUUGGAGCAUUCGAAUGAAGGCUUUGCUCGGUUCGCAAGAUUGUUGGGAGAUCGUUGAAAAAGGAUACAUCGAGCCCGGAGAUGCCGCUACAGAAGCAGCUUUAUCAAAUGACGCUAAGAAGGCGUUACGAGAAGCACGAAAUAAGGAUCAAAAGGCCUUGAAUAGUAUCUUUCAAGGAAUGGAUGAAUCAACCUUCGAGAAAAUAUCAGAUGUGAAGAACGCGAAGAAUGCAUGGGAGAUUUUGCAAAAAUCAUUUCAAGGUGUAGAAAAAGCUAAAAAGGUACGCCUUCAGUCACUUAGAGCUGAAUUUGAAAUGUUAAAAAUGAAGAGCUCCGAGAAUAUCGAUGACUAUGCCAAUCGUGUAAAAUCGGUGGUAAAUGAAAUGAAACGAAAUGGAGAAACUCUUGACGAGGUAAGAGUGAUGGAGAAAAUUCUACGGUCACUCACACGCAAAUUCGAGUACGUAGUCGUUGCCAUCGAAGAAUCAAAAGAUUUGUCAAAGAUGUCGCUCGAAGAACUUGUGGGUUCUCUGCAAGCCCAUGAGCAAAAGAUGAAGCUAAAUGAAGAUAGUGAAAAUCUUGAUCAAGCCUUGCAUAGCAAGUUGUCCGUCGACGACGGAGAAACAAGUAAUAACUUUAACCAAGGAAGAGGAAACCGCAGAGGAUACCGUGGAGGCUACCGUGGUGGAAACAGAGGAGGAAGAGGAUCACGAGGACGUGGAAAUCAAUCAUAUGGGAGAUAUCAAGAAAAUAAAGAUUAUCAAACAUCCAACCGUGGACGUGGAUCUAGAGGUCGUGGCCGAGGCAGAUUUCAAGAAAAUAAAUCUCAGGUACAAUGCUACAACUGUAACAAGUAUGGACAUUUCAGUUACGAGUGCAGAUCAACACACAAAGUGGAUGAAAGAAACCAUGUAGCAGUCGCAGCAGAAGGCAACGAAAAAGUGGAAUCAAGUGUCUUUCUCACUUACGGAGAAAAUGAAGAUCGCAAGAGAAGUGUGUGGUAUCUCGACAACGGUGCAAGCAACCACAUGUGUGGAAGAAAGGAGCUGUUCACAGAAUUAGAUGAAACAGUUCAUGGACAAAUAACUUUUGGAGACAACUCACAUGCAGAAAUCAAAGGAAAGGGCAAGGUUGUUAUAACACAAAGGAAUGGAGAGAAGAAGUACAUCUCAGACGUUUACUACGUACCAGCUUUGAAGAGCAACCUGAUCAGUCUUGGUCAACUCCUAGAAAAAGGAUAUGAAGUUCAUAUGAAAGACCGCUCACUCGCCAUCAGGAACAAAAGUGGAGAAUUAGUUGUUCGAGUUGAUAUGACGCGAAAUCGUCUUUUCACCCUCGACAUCGAGUCUGGAGAAGUAAAAUGCAUGAAGACGGAUCUGAAGAAUGAAUCAUGGUUGUGGCACUUAAGGUACGGACAUCUCGGAUUUUCUGGCUUGAAGCUGUUGUCGAAGACAAAUAUGGUGAAUGGAUUACCAAGUAUUAAUCAUCCAGAUCAACUGUGUGAAGCCUGUGUCAAAGGAAAGCAGCAUAGGCAGAAAUUUGAAGUAGGAAAAUCUCGAAGAGCUAGAAGACCAUUUGAAAUUGUACACACCGACAUAUCUGGUCCGUACGACAUUGAAUCACUCGGUGGAAACAGGUACUACCUAACUUUUAUUGAUGAUUAUAGCAGAAAAUGUUGGGUUUAUUUUCUCAAAGCAAAAUCGGAAGCCCUAGAAAAAUUCAAGGAGUUCAAAGCAAUGGUGGAAAAACAGAGUGGUCGAUAUUUGAAGAUACUCAGAUCCGAUAGAGGAGGCGAGUAUACUGCAAAGCUUUAUGAAAGUUUCUGCAAGGAUCAUGGAAUCAUUCAUCAGUUAACAGCCAGACGCACUCCACAACAAAACGGAGUUGCAGAAAGGAAGAAUCGGACAAUUCUGGAUAUGGCAAGAAGCAUGAUAAAAGGUAAACACCUUCCGAGAACUUUCUGGGCUGAAGCCGUUGAAUGCGCAGUUUAUCUGUUGAAUCAAUGUCCAACAAAAAGUGUAAGACACAAGACACCAGAAGAAGCAUGGAGCGGUCACAAGCCAAGAGUUGGACACCUCAAAAUUUUUGGAUGCAUUGCAUAUGCACACGUUCCUGAGCAACAGAGGAAAAAGCUUGACGAUAGAGGAGAGAAGUGUAUCUUUAUAGGCUAUGACAAAAGAAGUAAGGCCUACAGACUUUAUAAUCCUCUUACUAAGAAAUUGAUUAUCUCAAGAGAUGUCGAGUUCGAUGAAGCGGAUUACUGGAGAUGGAGUGAAGAAGAAAAGAAAGUGGAAGGGUUAUUUUUCAACGAAGACGACAAUAACCAAGAAGAACAAGGCGAUGAUCAAAGUCCUGGUACAACAGCCCCUUCGUCACCAACCAGCAGCAGCGGAAGCAGCAGCUCAGAUGAAGCACCCACAAGAACACGGAGUCUCAACGACAUCUACAAUUCUACGGAACCUGUAGAGACGCAGUUCGAUUAUUCACUAUUCUGUCUAAUGACAGAAUGUGAUCCAGUGACAUACGAAGAAGCAAUUGAAAACAAUAAAUGGAAGAAGGCCAUGGACGAGGAGAUUGCUGCAAUAAGAAGGAAUGACACGUGGGAGCUAACAAGUCUGCCAGAAGGACAUAGCCCGAUUGGUGUCAAGUGGGUGUACAAGACGAAGACCAACAAAGAAGGAAAAGUAGAGAAAUACAAGGCAAGACUAGUCGCCAAAGGCUACAAGCAAAGACAAGGAGUGGACUAUGAUGAAAUAUUUGCUCCAGUCGCAAGAAUAGACACAAUUAGGCUUCUCAUAGCGGUCGCAGCACAAUACAAAUGGAAAAUCUAUCAGAUGGACGUCAAGUCUGCAUUCCUGAAUGGCUACUUGGAGGAGGAAGUCUACAUAGAACAACCACCUGGAUAUAGCAUACAAGGAAAGGAGGACAAAGUCUACCGAUUGAAGAAAGCUUUGUAUGGAUUGAAGCAAGCCCCAAGAGCAUGGAACACAAGGAUCGACGAGUACUUCCGAAGAAAUGGAUUCAUCAAAAGCCCGCACGAGCACACCCUGUACACAAAGAAGAAUGGAUAUGGAGAUAUCAUGAUCGUAUGCCUAUAUGUGGAUGACAUGAUCUUCACCGGAAACAAUCCAGGUAUGUCUGAUGAUUUCAAGAAAGCUAUGACUAAAGAAUUUGAAAUGACAGAUAUCGGUGAGAUGUCAUACUUUCUUGGAGUCGAGGUGAAACAAAUGCAAGAUGGAAUUUUUGUCUCUCAAAAGAAGUAUGCGGAGCAGAUUUUGAACAAGUUCAAAAUGAAGGAUUGCAAGCCAGUAAUCACGCCAGCUGAUCCAGGGAUGAAGCUAAGUGUUGAUUCGACAAGGGAGUCGAUAAAUCCGACGUUGUUUAAAAGUCUCGUUGGAAGUUUAAGGUAUUUGACAAUCACACGACCAGAUAUUACAUAUGCAGUAGGAUUGGUGAGCAGAUUCAUGGAGAAGCCGAAGCAAGACCACUUAAUUGCCGCAAAAAGAAUUUUGAGAUAUAUCAAAGGUACGAUGAACCAUGGUUUAUUCUAUACCCACUCACAAGAUUCAAAAUUAGUUGGCUACUCAGAUAGCGAUUAUGGGGGAGACUUGGAUGAUCGGAAAAGCACUUCCGGAUAUGCAUUCCACAUCAGUUCCGCAGUUUUUUCAUGGUCGUCAAAGAAGCAACAAACAAUUGCUCUCUCAACAUGUGAAGCAGAGUAUAUGGCCGCAGCAACUUGUACAUGCCAAGCAAUGUGGUUGAAGAAUAUUUUGGGAGAAAUAGGUGUUUCAAAUGAAGGUCCAAUUACCAUCUACGUUGACAACAAAUCCGCUAUAUCACUUGCCAAGAAUCCGGUGUCGCACAGCCGAAGCAAGCACAUCGAUACGAAGUAUCAUUUUAUCCGAGAGCAAGUGAAAAACAAAAACGUGGAGUUGGUCCAUUGCAGGACAGAAGAUCAACUGGCAGAUAUUUUCACAAAGCCGUUGAAAGUGGAGACAUUCAACAAAUUCAAAGAGAAGCUCGGUAUGAAAGUUGGGUUUGAGGGGGAGUGUUAGAAAUCAAACCCACUCCAAGCAUAAUCUAGAAGCAUGAGACGUGGAGCAAUUUUGUGCCAUGCAAAGUGCUGAAAUUUUAGCCAUACAAAGUGCUCCAUUAUUGAGAUGUUUUGUGGCUGGAAAUUAAGUGGAUUAAUAGCCACAUUUGUUGUCACUUUAUCAGCCUAUAAAUAGAGGCUUGAACUUGUGUUGUAAAGGAAGAAAAAUGAGAAGAAAAAAGAAAUAAGAGAAGCAACGUGAGUGAGAGUGAGAAGGUUAGCAAACCUUGAGUGAGUUAAAAUCUAGCAGCAGCUAGACUAUCUAGUCAUUGAGAAAAUAUUUGUAAUCUUCGUAUUGUAAUAUAUUGAGUGUGUAAUAAAAAGUAAAUUUUCGGCCCAUCACGUUUCCAACAUAUAACUCCUUCCAAUAGAUUAUACCCAAAACUUAGAGUUUCUAAAUUUGACAGUUGUCCAAGACUUGGAGGAAAAGUACCACUUAAUUGAUUUUCUGAAACAUCAAACAACUUCAAAGAUGAUAACUCCCCUAUCGACAAUGGAAUGGGACCAGAAAUUUUGUUUUGAGCAAGGGACAGGUAAGCUAGAUUUUUAAAUUGGCCGAGUUGAUCUGUUAAAUGACCAGAAAGUUGGUUAUCUUUCAUAUUCAAUGACUCUAAGGAACCCAAACAACAGCUAGACAAACUCUGUAGGAUUUCCGAUAUGUCUUGCUCAAUUUCGUUAAUCGAAAGAUCAAGAUAUCGGAGAUGUUUUAAACUAUACAAGGAAUUGGGUACGGAUGAAUUGAGAUAAUUCCCACUAAGAUCAAGCACUUCAAGAAACGAGAAGUUCCCAAAGUAAUAUGGAAUUGGGCCUUUCAAAGAAUUGAAUCCAAGAUCAAUGGACACAAGACCAUGAAGACUUAAUAUCCACUUAGGUACUGAAGAUAAGCUGUUCCAAGAAAGAUCAAGAACAAGCGGUGAUUUUGAAGAAUUAACACUGAUCGAAGAUGGAUCGUCUUCUAAACCACAAUCUGUCAAGUGCAACUCUAACAAAGAAGGAAGUUUGAGUGCUACCUGUACCCAAUCAUUUGCUUUAUAAAGAUCCGCAGAACUCAAAUCAAGGUACUGCAAGGAAGAAAGUCCAGAAACCCAUUGAAGACUUUUUGCUUCAGAAAGAUCCGCAGAACUCAAAUCAAGGUACUGCAAGGAAGAAAGUCCAGAAACCCAUUGAAGACUUUUUGAUUUGAAAUCAUUACCUCGAAGAUCAAGAUACUGCAACUUUGAAAGAUUCCCCAGGUUAUGAGGAAUUGCUCCCUGGAAUCGUGCUCGAGAGAGGUUAAGAUAUGUUAAACUCUCCAGCAAACCGAAAAACUUCGGGAUCUGUAUGCUGCUAAAAUUGUUAUUGCUCAAGUCCAGGGAACUGAGAUGCUUCAACUCCAGCAGUGAAGGAUUUAUUCUGCCUCGUAGUUUUGACCGCUUGUAAGGUUCCCAUUCAGCUGGUGGUGCGUAAAUAUCUGGGGCUGGAAGAGGAGGAGCAGCCAAGUGCAGUUGGUGGACGUGGCCUGUUGAGUUUUGGCAGAAGACACCAAUCCAUUCACAGCAAUCCCCACCUUCAACCCAUGAAGAUAGCCUGUUUGAAGGAUCAAUAAGAUGAUUCUUGAAUUUCAAAAGGGCUUCUCUCUCACUCUGAAUGCAAAGUAGGUUGAUAUUGGCAUGACAAAUGGUAAAACAGAUAGCGGGAAUGAGAAGAAGAAAAGGGAAUAAGGAAAUUGGAAGAGGAGUAGUCAUGGUUGCAAUUGCCAUUGCUCACAACUCCGAAUAUAUAGACUAAGCUUAGCUAAAACACAAAAAUACAUGAAGUGCAAGGAGGUUUCUUCCAACAAAAUGCAUUUAAUUGAUAAUAGGCCGUCGGAAAUUUCAAAACCCCAAAUUUCCACAAAAUUUGGUAUGAAGGGAAAUUUCUAAUUAAUUGCAUUUAAUUUUUGACAAAAUGUAGUAUGAAUUUCGAUUACUAGAUUAAAGAAUUAUAAAACCCAGUCAAACAAAUUGGAUGGCGUGGUCCCUUAAUCAUUUCUUAAUGCAUAAAACAAUAUUAAAUAAAUUAUAAUAAAAAAUCUAAAAUUAUAAUAAUUAAAGUAAAUUAUACAACGUUUGCCUUUUAAUGGGUCUGCAAACUGUGCAUGAUUAGUCAUUAGAUGCACUUCGGUAGAUAGAUUAAAAAUUAAAAAUAAUUAAAGUAAAUAGUAAGAAUCUUUUAUCUAAUUUUAUUUUAAAAUUUAAAGAGUUUACUUUUUAUAUUUUCUAGAAAUUUUUAAAUUUCUAAUUUUUAUGUACUUUUUUAAUGUUAAAAAUAUUUUAAACUUUUUGAAUUUUUAAAAUAUGACAUAUAAGAUAGAAUAAUGUCACGUAAACAUGAAAUACUUGUGAACUAUAAAACAAGAUGUCGUGCCAGUGUUUGGUAGCCAACAUCAACUACUUCCGGGUUCUAAUUUUGUUAAGAGUAAACUAUAAUCAAGAUCACUAAAUUACUAAUAAAUUUAUGUUUUAAUCAUUAAACUUUAAAAUAUUAUAAAAUAUAUACAUCUUAAUAAUAUACAUACGAGUAAUUAUUUAAAUCCUACUUAAAUUUAUUUAUUCCUUCCUGCUCCAGUUAAUGUGUCACUAUUUGCUUUUAUAAUACACAUGUGAAACUCGAAUUAGCGAAACGAAAUAAACGGAAAUGGAUUCUGCAAAAUUAGUGAAGGUUGAAGAAAUUGGCACAAUAUUCAUGUAAUAAUUCUUACUGUGAGGCAAUGAGUUGGAAGUCACUGAAUAGAGACAAAGAAGCUAGUUUUCGUAUUUUUUUAAUGAAAGUUGGAGAAUACUUUUAAUGGGAAACGAGUCAGGAAAGUCAUGGGGGUGGGAGUAGUGGUAGUGCUACCUUUGCUUUUGAAUUUUGAUGCUCUUCCUUUCUCUUGCUUUUGGUCAUUAUCCCAAAUUUCCAUGUAACCUUGAUUUUGAUAAAGAUGAUAUCAGUUUUACCAAUUUGAUGAAAGAAAUUAUGAAAAUAAUUUUUUUGUAAUUAAAAUAAAUUAUAUUAUUUUAGGAUAUUUUAAUCUUUUUAUAUGAAAAACUAAUAAAAAUAUGUGCAUAUAAUAAAUUCCAUGUAUGCUCUUUUUAGAAAUUGGAUUGCAAUUUAUCCAUUUUACUUUAAAAAUAGGUAAAUUAGUCUUUAUAUAUUAGAUUAAAUAGCAAACUAGUCAUUUAAUUUCUUUAAAAAUUUCACCUAUUUCAACUAUAAAAAAUUGGUGUAGCUAACAAAAUAACCAAACAAUUACUUAUGACAUGCCACAUGUACUUCAUUUUGACAUAUAAGGACAAGUUUUUAAUAUAUAUGGAUGAACAUUUUAACAGAAUGAUCAAUUUAUUCUUUGAUAUAACUUUUUAAAAAUGCAAUUUGACUCAUAGUACAAAAAAUUUUAUAAUACUUUUACCCUAAUAUUUUCUUUCUUUAUAUACCUUCAAUAACCAAAAAGAAAAAAAGGUUUUGUUUAAUUUUAUUUAUCCCUUUCAGUUUCAAGGAGUAACUUCAAAUUAAGUUUUUAUUAGAUAUUAAUUAUUGUUAAGUCUAUAUUAUUAGAGAGGUUAAUUGAUUGGAUUGAGUGGGGUUUAUGUAUGAUAUUAAUUAGUAGAUUUUAUAUUUGUCCAAGCCAAUUCAACAUAAAAUAUAAGGCUAAAAUUUUGCCCAAGGUUAUCCAUAUUUGAAAAGGGCUAACUUAAGUUUGUUUUAGGUCUACCUAUAUCUUUUUAAAAAAUUAUAUUAAUUUUAUAUUGAUAUUUAAUUUUUUAAUUUUUUUUCUUUAUUAAAAAUUUAAAUAUAGACAACUUAACAUGUUUCUUUAAUAUUUACAUGGUAUUAUAUUAGCGUAAACUAUAAAAAUAGUCACCCAACUAUUAACGUAUUUCUGUUUAUACUAUAAACAUAAUACAAUCUAGCUCUGAUAUCAAUUGUUGAAAAAAAUCUAGUUUAAAAUGAUUUUCUGUCAUAGAAAAAAUUGAAAAUUUUGAAAAUAAAUUCAGUUUGUGAUAUUUAUAUUAAUAAAAGUUUCCCAAAAAGUACAUGUGUUUUGUGCUAGAUGGAUUCUAAAUAUUUUCGACUUUCAACCAAGGGAACUUUUCCGCUAUUCUCGUACCACAUGUAUUUCAUUUUUUUUUUAAUAUUUAUGAAUAUUUAUAUAUUUUUUAAUUCUUUUAUUUUUAUAAAUUUUAAGUUAUUUAUUGACGUGACAUAUAGGACAAAUAGUGUCAUGUUUGCAUAAAGUAUGUGUGGGUUGCCAUGCCAAUAUAAAUUUAAAAAUUAAUGUUUUAGUCAAUAUUUCUAUUAAAAAUUAUUUGACUCUUUAAAAGGCUAAUGGUCAAAUUUAGCUAAAAAAAAGAGUAAUAUCAAAUUUGUAAAAAUAAAAACAUUGAGGGUUAAAUUUAUUAUUUUUCUAAAUAAAAAUUGUCAGUUUAAUCCUAAAUAUCAAAAAUUCGUCAAAUUUAACUCUCAACAUUUAUAAAAAUUGUUAAUUUAGUUAUAAUUCUAAAACUUUACACAGAUGAAAAAGUUAAAUUAUAAUUUUAGAGUCUUGUGAUAAUUCCAGUCAAAAUACAUUCUUAUUAAUGAAUAUUCUUUUACACAAAUCAAAGAGAUACAACGAGGAGAGUGAAGCUCCUAGAAUGGUGUGUUAUAUUUUGUGUCCUAUACUUGUUUUGACAUUUAAUUUUAUGGUUAACAUGUGAUGAGAAUUACAAAUAUAAUUAUAAUGCAUUAAUUUUUUUCCCAAAAUUUUAGAAUUAGAAUUAAACUUGAAAUUUUUUGCAAUUUUUGAGGCCUAAUUUUUUUUUAAGAAUUCAAAUUAAAAUAACAAAUUUUGUAAACAUCAAGAGUUAAAUUUUUUGAAUUUUUUAUAUUUAGAUUAAAAUUAAUAAAAAUGUGUAAACAUUAGAGGGUUAAUUUUAUUAUUUUACCAAUAAAAAAAGCCCACAUUAGCUUAGAGUGACUAAAAUGUUUAUUUUUAAUAAAUUUAAUGAUUAAAUCGAAAAAAUUAAUAAUUAAGUGGCCAAAAUGAAACGGAAGACAUAUUUUAUCCACCAUUUUUAUAGUUUAUUCUAAAUUUAAAUAAUUUAAUAUGUGAAUAUUUUAUUAUUAUAAUAAAACAAUCCAUGUGACUUUAAUUAAUAAUGAUGUAAAAUAAUACUUAUAGAUGUACAAGUUUAUUAUAUUCAAAUUAAUAUAUAUUUCAUUAAUUCAUAUUUUAUAUAAAAUAUUUACACAUAAUAUAAUUUAGUGCAUAUAUAAAAGAUUUAUACAUGAUAUAUUUUAAUUAAUUGCAUGAAUAAAUCAUCCUACUCUAUCUUAAAAUAUUAUUAUUAUUCAUUUAAUAUAUAUUAUUCAUAUAAACUUUAAACUUUCAUUUUAAAAAUGUUAUAAUCUCGGAAUGGUUGUAACACUAAGUGUUGUUUCAGAAAAGUCAUAACCUUUAGUUGGCUAAGUGCACUGCAUUGUAAUCACCACCAUUCAUUUGCAAAGUCUUAACCUUAUGGUGGGAAAGUGUACUAUAUUGUAAUCACCAUUCAUUUGUAAAAUCUUAAUAUUGUAUCGGAAUCACCAUGAAAACUAUAUUGAAAUUAUCGUUCAUUUGCAAAAUCAUAGUACUGUAUGGGAUCACCACAAUAGUGAGUUAUUAAAAUCUUAACCUUUUUUGUGGCUAAACGUGCUAUAUUGGAAUCAACAUUCAUUUACAUUUACGAAAUUAAUCUUAUCACCAUUCAUUUGCAUUUGCAAAAUCAAUUUGGUAGUCUUAGUAUUGUAUUGGAAUCACCAUGGUAACUGUAUUGGAAUGAUUAUGGAAGUUUUGGGUUAUUUUAGAACCAAUGGAAAGAUUAUUAUUUCUGUAUUUCAUAUAAUGUAUCUUAUUAGGGUAAACUACACAGAUAGUCACCUAACUAUCAAAACUUUUCAUUUUAGGCACCUAGAAUAAAAAGUUUGUAAUUUAAGCACUUAUGUUACAUAGCUCGGUCAUUUUGGUCACUCCUGUUAAAAUCACAAAUGACAAGUUAACCUGCCAAUUAAAAAAUUGCUAUAAUAAUAAAUUGAACUCUCAACUUUUACAUAUUAUAUUGAUUUAGGCAUAAUUGUUUUAAAAAAUAACUUUCAAAUUUUACAAAUAUGUUCAAUUUGAUCCUAAUUCUAAAAAUUUAAAGAAAUAUAUAAAAUUCAUAAUUUUUUUAAAAAAUGUAAUAAAAAUUUUAAUUUUAUAUUAAUAAUAUUAAUAUUAGAUAAAAAUAAUUAUAUUAAUAUUUAAAAAAAUAAAAAAACCUACCCCCACCUUGUCCCUCUCCCCCUCCCUCACCACUGUCCCUUUCCUUUCCUCAUCUUCGCCCUCCUCCUCACCUUUGCCAUUGUCUCUUUCCUUUUCGACUCUCUUCUUUCCUUUCUUCUGGUGGAUCUAGUCACCGUUGUCGAAACUCCGACCCAAGAUCUGUCCAUAUCAUUUGGGACAAAACCGGUAAUGGGAACAACACUCGUUUCGAUGCUGGUGAUGAUGAUCGGACUAAGAGGCAUGAAAUAAUGGGUUUCGUUGGGAUCCAAACUGAGUUCGGCUCCAGUGGUCGGAGACAGUCUUUGAGAGAGACGUGGAUGCCUUAUGAUUGUUUUUUUAAUGGGCUUCAUUGUUUUUUUAGAAAGACGGUCUUUGAGAAAGACGUGGAUGCCUUAUGGUCGGAGAGGGACGGGUGAGGAGGCUUUUUUUAAUAUUAAAAUAACUAUUUUUAUUUAAUAUUGAUAUAAAAUUUAAAUUUAUUAUUAUAUUUUUAAAAAUAUUUAUAUUUUUUAUAUAUUUCUUUGAACUUUUUAGAAUUAAGAUCAAAUUGUGAACAUAUAUAAAUUUUGAGGGUUAAUUUUUUAAAAUUAUGACUAAAUUGAUAUAAUAUGUAAAAGUUGAGAGUUAAAUUUCUUAUUAUACUGAUUUUUUAACUGCCAGCUUGUCGUUUAUAGUUUAAUAGGAUUGACCAAAAUGUUGAACUAUGUAACGUGAGUGCUUAAAUUAUAAAUUUUUUAUUUUGGGUGUCUAUUUUUUUUUUUGAUAAUUAAGUAACUAUUUGUACAGUUUACCCAUAUUAUUAUAUAUCAAUAAUAUAUAAAUAACUUUUAACUAUAAACCUUCUCAUGAAUUUCUUUAAAUGAGGAAACUCUAAAGAGCUUAUGAAAAUAAUGAUUGACAUUUAUUUAUAAGGUAAGUCUGAGCUAUGAAAUUGUUUUCUAGUUAUUUAAUUUAUUAAAAUGUAUCUAAAGUAUGCAUUUUUUAUUUUAUUAAUUUAGUUUUAAAUUUUAUUUAAGAAAAAAAAGAAGAUAAAUGGGGAUGCUUAUAAAAAAAAUUUAGACAAAAUAAAAUAAAAGAUAAACGGGUAAAUUUUUUUUCCGAUAGUUUUUCUUUUUAACUAAUCACAAUUUUUUUAAAAAUAUUAAUUAAUUUAAAAUAUCAAUAUUUCCGGUGGAAAUUUUAGGUUGUCCACCUCACUAGGAGCUUAAGACAUUAUAAUAUAUAAUAUAUUUUACUUUUAAGAAUAUUAUAUUAUAAGGUAUUCUCUGUUAGAAAACCUUUUUUUUUUCUCCAAAUCGUUUGUUUCUUUUUGUUUUUCCCUAGCGGCAGUGUUAGCCUCUGAGUUAGCUACCGCCUGCUUUUUUUCUGCCUAUGAACCCUCUUUUUCUUUAUUCUUCUCUCAUUCACACCAUGCAUUUUCUCUCUUUUUAGUUUACAAAUCUAUUUUGUAGGUAUCUUUAUUGUUUUCACAAGUUGUGAUGGACAGAUGACAGUAUUUAUCAUCGUUGAAAUAUCACCGACCACCAACAGUUUCUUUUAGAAAGAAGGUAGCUCUUUGUUGACUUCUUAAUAUAUUUCUGUUUUGAGAGUUUCAGAAUAAUAAAUGAUUUCAUAAGUCGGUUUGGAUUUGUAUUAGCUCAAGUUCUAUAUUUUUUUUUGUUUUUUUCUUGUUUAAUAAGUAUUCACUUUUAGAAGUUUUUGCCUAUUCUUAUAGUACACUUUUUAGUCUUGCUUUUGCAAGUAAUUUUAGGGUUAAUUUUGUCGCCGUCCCCUAGUUUUGUCGUUGUGCCCUCUAGUUUUGUGAAUGCUCGGUUCUUUUACCGUUAUGAGGUUGUUACCUGUCUUACUGAGAAGGGUGAGUCCAAGGAUGAAGAGCAACAGCUGAACUCUUUUUUUGUUGAGAUCCAUUGGCAACAGUUAGAAAAUGACAGAAAAAAAAUUGGCUAAUCCUAUUUACUACUAUUUUUGUUACUCCUAAUUUGAAGGAUCAAGGAGGAAGAAGACCAGAUCUAUGGCUGCCACGUCUACUCAAUUAUUAAGAUAAGCAACUGAUGGAAUUUAUCAAACAACAUUUUUUGCUGAAAAUUAUUUUCAUUGUAAAUUAUUGAAAUACAACAAAACAUAUUCAUACAUAAUCAAAACACACUUUGAUCCAAUCUCCAGUAAAUUAUACCAACUUUAGACCAACAUGUUUAGACAUGUUUUUUUCCCAUCAAACUACAUACCCAUAGUAGCCCACGACACAUACAGCUUUCGACCAACAUGGUCCAACUUUCGAUAGUAUGCAUGCCUCCAAGACCUGAUGAAAAACAAGGGAGCCACUACACCCCAAAAUCCCAUUACAAAGCCGAGAACUAUGCUGACAUAAAGCCAAUUCACUUUACUUCCUUCCCUGCUACUUCCAUUAUUUGCAACGUCAAUUGGAAUACCUUUUGAGGAGCAGUUCUUAGUGAGAGGAGGUCCGCAAAGAUGAUUGCCCACGUAAGACAAGUUUUUAAAGCUUUGAAGCUGAGUGCUUGUUGGAAUUUGUCCUGUCAAGUUGUUGUAGGACACAUUGAAGUGAUUCAAGAAAUUUAAAUUGGAGAAACUUGGAGGGAUUUCACCAUUUAGUCGAUUCAUGGACAAAUCAAGAGAUUCCAUUAACUCCAUGUUGCCAAUGCUGUCUGGUAUAUUUCCUGUUAGGAGAUUCCCUGAAAAAUUUAAAGACAAUAGCCCAACGAGACUACCAAUUUCUUUGGGGAUCUCUCCUGUGAGACUGUUAGCUGAAAGGUCCAUGCUUGUAACAAGUCCUAGUGUGCUACCAUAUUCAUCCUCUCGUCCUUUCAACACCAAUAAUGUGUUAAAAACAAUGAGUCAGCAUCUACAUACUUCACAAAAACAAAAUUAUUGGUUUUGUUUGUUGUGGCCAUUGCACUUAAAUUAUUAAAACAUUUUGGAAUAACUCCAGAAAUGUUGUUGUGGGCAAGGUCCAAGUUUUGAAGAAAUUGAAUAUCACAAAUUUUAUGAGGAAUAUGUCCAUCAAAGUUAUUUGAUCGAAGGCUUAGAAUCACAAGGUUUGAGAGCUUAUCACCAAUCCAUGCUGGUAAUCUUCCACUGAAAUGAUUUUCACUAAGAUCAAACAUAACCAAAUUUGGAGAAUUUUGCAAUGUGGAUGGCAAUUCUCCAAACAUUGUAUUGUUUCGAAGGUUUAGCAUUAUAAGAUUUAGAUGCCAUAAAGAAGGUGGGAUUUUGCCGGUCAAACUGUUGCUUCCCAAAUUUAAAAGGUUCAAAUUCUGCCAAUGAUUCCAGCAAUCUGGAAUAUCUCCUGAGAUAAGAUUUUUAUCAAUGUAAAGAAUUUCCAUCCGUUUCGUACUUGAUGAAUUACAAAGUAAUUCAAAAAGAGAUCCCGAAAAUGAAUUAUUUGAUAACAUUAGAAAUAGUAAAGUUGGGGAUACUCUUGGCAAUGGACCUAUGAAUCGGUUUGAACUCAAAUCAACAAUGUUUCUCACAUUCAAAUAUGAAAUCUCUCCUCUAAGUUGAUUCGAGGAAAGGUUUAAAUGUUUAAAUUGAGUAGGAAGGUUCAAAAACCAAGUGGGCAUGACAUCUGAAAUUCCUGCAUAGGAGAUAUCCAAAUAAGACAAUUUCUUUUGGAAUUUUAGCCACUGGGGAAACUUUGGGCCAAGAUGCCAGUGACCCAAAUCGAUCCAUUCACAUUGAAAUGGGGGAAUCCAGCUUGAGUUUAGUUCAAAUCUAAGCCGAUUGUGUGAUGCUGCUAGAGUUGUCAAUCUCGUGAGAUUAGAAAAAUGGGUUUCUGAUACAACUCCUAAUAGAUUAUACCCACAAUCCAGAGUUUCCAAACUUUCUAGUCGUCCAAAAGAUAGAGGAAAAGUACCAUUUAAUUGAUUUUCUGAAACAUCAAAUACCUCCAAAGAUGAUAACUGCCCUAUAGACAUGGGAAUUUGGCCGUUUAACUGAUUUUUUGAAACAUCAAACAACUUCAAAGAUGAUAACUCCCCUAUAGACAAAGGAAUUUGACCAUUUAAUUGAUUUUCUGAAAGAUCAAGGUGAGUAACAGAGCUCAAGUUUCCAAUGGCACUCGAGAUUGUUCCUUGUAACCAGGUAUACCAAAGACUAAGGAGCUGAAGACGGUUUAAACUAUACAAGGAAUUGGGUAUGGAUGAAUUGAGAUGAUUCCAACUAAGAUCAAGAACUUCAAGAAACGAGAUGUUCCCAAAGUAAUCUGGAAUUGGGCCUUCCAAAGAAUUGCUACUAAGAUCAAUGGACAGAAGACCAUGAAGACUAAAUAUCCACUUAGGUACUGAAGAAAAGCGGUUCCGAAAAAGAUCAAGAACAACCAGUGAUUUUGAAGAAUUGACACUGUUGAAAGAUGGAUCAUCUUCUAAACCACAACCUGACAAGUGCAACUCUAACAAAGAAGGAAGUUUGAGUGUUACCUGUACCCAAUCAUUUGCUGUAUGAAGAUCCGCAUAACUCAAAUCAAGGUACUGCAAGGAAGAAAGUCCAGAAACCCAUUGAAGACUUUUUAAUUUGAGAUUAUUACCUCCAAGAUCAAGAUGCUGCAAGGAAGAAAGUCCAGAAACCCAUUGAAGACUUUUUGAUUUGAGAUUUUUACCUCCAAGAUCAAGAUGCUGCAACUUUGAGAGAUUCCCAAGGUUAUGAGGAAUUGCUCCCUGAAAUAGUGCACCAGAGAGGCUAAGAUAUGUUAAACUCUCCAGCAAACCGAAAAAUUUCGGGAUAUGUAUGCUGCUAAAAUUGUUAUUGCUCAAGUCCAGGGAACUGAGAUGCUUCAACUCCAGCAGUGAAGGAUUUAUUUUGCCUCCUAGCUGGGAAUUGUAGUAAGCUUCCCAUUCAGCAUUUGUUGGAAAGUAAUCAGGCUCUGAAAUAGGAGCGGCCAAGUGCAGUUGGUUGACGUGGCCUGUUGAGUUAUGGCAGACGACACCAGUCCAUUCACAGCAAUCCCCACCUUCAACCCAUGACGAUAGCCUGUUUGAAGGGUUAUUAAGAUGAUUCUUGAAUUUCAAAAGAGCUUCUCUCUCACUUGGAAUGCAAAGUAGGUUGGAAUUGGCAUGACAAAUGGUAAAACAGAUAGCGGGAAUGAGAAGAAGAAAAGGGAAAAAGGAAAUUGGAAGAGGAGUAGUCAUGGGUGCAAUUGCCGUUGCUCACAACUACAAAAAUAUAGAAUAGCUUAGCUAAAACACAAAUAUACAUCAAACGCAAGGAAGUUUCUUCCAACAAGAUGCAUCGGAGAUUUGGUACCAAGGAAAUUUCUAAUUAAUUGCAGUUAGUUUUCCAUAAAAUGUAAUAUGAAUUUGGGUUAUUAAAUUAAAGAAAUGUUAUAAAGUUCAGUCAACCAAAACGGGUGCCGUGGGCCCUUAAUUCUAGCUUGAAUUUUCCACAAAAUGGAUGCUAUGAAGGAAGUUUUUUACAAUACCCUAGAAGUCUAUGAAGGAAGUGUUGGGAAGAAACCGAACAACCGAAACAAAGCGAAAGCACAACCGGUGUUCUUUCUCUCCUUAUAACUCCUGUAAAAAUUAUGGCAAGCACAAUAGCACAAGAUAUGUUCUCUAGCAACCUUAAUCAACCACAAAUCAACUAAUGCAACCACAACAAAAAUAAAUAGAGACACCAAUAUUUUUACGUGGAAAACCCCUCUAAAUUAAGGGUAAAAACCACGGGACUUUAGAGUCCGAUAAAGAGCUCCACUAUCAUCAAAUGUUCAACUACAAGAUCACAAUAUCAAGCCUACAACAAGCAUUCAACUCCGACAAGGCUAACAACAUGUAAUCUUUAGCAAAAGAGAGAAAAAUGAGAGAACAUCACCAAAAACGUAGCUGCUGAAAAAUGGGUAUUUCCGACGCUACAAGACUCGGAUGAAAAAUCCGACCGUACAAAGUCAAGAACACCUUAUCACCUAGCUGCUGUCCAAAAAUCAGCUCAAUCGAACCACGGAUGGACCUUCGAUCGAAGAGUUGAUCACUGCUGUACCAAGCUUGAAAAUCUGAUUUUUUUUUAUUCUCUUUCUCUCUGUUUUUUUUUCUUUAGCUCUCUGCAGAAAAAUUUCUGCCCAACCCGUUAAUAAGCCAAAAAGAAUUGGCUUUUGACAAAACCAAAAGAAAAAGGAAGGCAAAACAUUUGUGCCAGAAAAUAUGGGUUUCCCACAUAGUGGGACCCAUACCCAACAAAUCUCCCCCUCCAACUAUGUGGGGAAUGCCUCCAUACCGGAGGUCAAACAACAUGCUUCAAAUUUUCCUCUUGGUAAGGCCUUCGUCAACAUAUCAGCACCAUUAUCAUUAGUGUGUAUCUUCUCAAGCUCUAACAACUUAGCUUCAAGAACAUCUCGUAUCCAAUGGUACCUCACAUCAAUAUGCUUAGAUCUAGCAUGAAAAGUUGAGUUCUUACCAAGAUGAAUAGCACUCUGGCUAUCACAGUACAGGACAUACUUCUCCUGAGUAAAACCAAGCUCAUGCACAAACUUCUUCAUCCAAAGCAUCUCCUUACACGCUUCGGUUGCUGCAAUGAACUCUGAUUCGGUGGUGGACAAUGCAACACACUUUUGCAGUCUCGAUUGCCAUGCCACAGCUCCCCCUGCAUAAGUGAUUAAGUAACCUGAAGUAGAUCUCCUCGAGUCAAUGUCUCCGGCCAUGUCUGAAUCUGUAUACCCAACAAGAACAGGUUUCUCAUUGCCGAAACAAAGUUUCAUGUUGGAAGUGCCACGAAGAUAUCUCAUAAUCCACUUCACUGCAUUCCAAUGCUCUCUGCCUGGAUUAGAAAGAAAACGACUAACUGUACCAACGGCAUAAGCCAAGUCUGGUCUCGUGCAAACCAUUGCGUACAUCAAACUACCCACGGCUGAAGAGUAAGGAAUUUUCUGCAUCUCUUCCUUCUCCUUUUCUGUGGAAGGACUAUGCUUAACACUCAAUCUAAAGUGCAUAGCAAAGGGAGUAUUCACCGCUUUAGCUUUGUCCAUACUAAACCUUUGAAGUAUUUUCUCAAUGUACCUCUCUUGUGAUAACCAUAAUUUCUUGGCCUUUCUAUCACGUGUCAGUCUUAUGCCAAGAAUUUGCUUUGCUGGCCCCAAAUCCUUCAUUGCAAAGGAUUUACUCAACUGUUGUUUCAACUUCUCAAUUCUAGAAGCAUUCUGACCAACAAUAAGCAUAUCAUCAACAUAGAGCAAAAGAAUAAUAAAAUCAUCACCAGAGAAUCUCUUAACAAACACACAAUGAUCAGAAGUAGUCUUCUUGUAGCCUUGCUCCCCCAUAACAGACUCAAACUUCUUGUACCAUUGCCUUGGAGCUUGCUUCAAACCAUACAAGCUCUUCUUCAAUCUGCACACAUAGUCCUCUUUCCCUUGUGCAACAAAACCCUCUGGCUGCUCCAUGUAAAGCUCUUCUUCCAAGUCACCAUGAAGAAAAGCAGUUUUCACAUCCAUUUGUUCAACCUCUAGGUCAUAACAAGCUGCCAAACUCAGUAUAGUUCUGAUAGAGGACAUCUUCACAACCGGAGAAAAUAUUUCUUCAAAAUCAACCCCCUUUUUCUGAGUAUAACCCUUGACGACCAAUCUAGCUUUGUAUCGUGGAGAUGAAGACUUCUCUUCUUGCUUCAACCUGUAAACCCACCGAUUCUUCAAAGCUCUUUUGCCCUUAGGCAGUUUCACCAAUUCAAAAGUAUGGUUCUCAUGCAAUGAUUGAAGUUCGCCUUUCAUCGCUUCAACCCACUGAUCUUUGCAUUCACUCUCCAUAGCCUCUUCAUAACAUUCAGGUUCUCCCCCGUCAGUCAAAAGAACAUAUUCAUCAGGAGAAUACCUGACAGAAGAUCGUCGAUCUCUGGAAGACCUUCGAAGUGGAACUGCUGGUGGAGCUAUAGGUGCUUGUUGUUGAUCAUUCACAACAUCAUCCAUGGGAGUAUCAAAGUCACCUAUAGUCUGAUGGUCACCACUAACAUCACCAUGCACAUCAUCCUGGAUAGGAUCUGGUGAAGAGUCUAAGGGAACCGGAUUCACAUCGAUCAAGUCACCACUACUUUGUGAAUCCACUUUCUCCGUCUUAUCAAUGUCAUCAAUGGUCUGAUCCUCAAUGAAGACAACAUCUCUUCUUCUCACGAGUUUCUUCUGAACUGGAUCAUAGAGUCUAUAACCAAACUCACCAUCUAGACCAUAACCAAUAAAAAUGCAUUGUCGAGCCUUGGCAUCCAACUUGGAUCUUUCAUCCUUUGGAACAUGAACAAAUGCUUUACAACCGAACACACGUAGGUGAUCAUAUGACACGUCUUUACCAAACCAAACUCUAUCUGGCACAUCACCUUUCAAAGGAACACUAGGAGACAGAUUUAUCACAUGUGUCACUGUAUUCAAAGCUUCAGCCCAAAACGAUCUUGGUAACUUUGCAUCUGACAACAAACAUCUGACUCUCUCAAUCAAUGUUCGGUUCAUUCUUUCAGCUAACCCAUUUAACUGUGGAGUCUUUGGUGGUGUUCUCUGAUGUCUGAUUCCCUGUCGCAGACAAUACUCAUGAAACGACCCUGUGUACUCGCCACCAUUAUCAGUACGAAUGCACUUCAACUUCUUCCCAGUUUCCCUUUCAACUGAUGCUUGAAACUGUUUAAACACCUCAAAGACUUGAUUUUUAGACUUUAAAGUGUAAACCCAUAGCUUUCUUGAACAAUCAUCAAUGAAAGUCACAAAGUAAAGUGCACCACCAUGUGAUCUUACUUUUAUCGGACCACAAACAUCUGAAUGGACCAACUCUAGCAACUCUGAUUUCCUAUGAGGAGGAUGGCUUCUAAAUGAAACUCUUUUCUGCUUUCCUGCUAGACAAUGAGCACAAUUCUUCAGUGUAGCAUUCUUUAAACCCGAAAGUUGAUUCUUCUUCGCUAAACAGCUAAGCCCCUUCUCACUCAUGUGACUGAGUCGUUUAUGCCACAACUCAGUUGAGUUGUCAUUCAGUGUCACAUUCACCGUCUCUCGAGAAGUCAAAGCUUGCAUCAAGUACAAAUUUGAGCUCUUCUUUCCUCGAGCCACAACCAAGGAGCCUUUAGUCAGCUUCCACUGCCCUUCACUGAAGGUGUUACAGAAUCCCUCAUCAUCAAGUUUUCCUGCAGAAAUCAAAUUCAAACGGACAUCCGGUGCAUGUCUGACAUCCUUGAGAGUUAACUUUGUUCCAUUGUUACUUACCAAGCUAACAUCUCCCAUACCAAUAACCGAAACCAAACCAUCAUUACCCAUCUUCAAUACCCCAAAAUCACCAGGAGUAUAAGAUGUGAAGAAUUCCUUCCUCGACGUGACAUGAAGUGAUGCACCAGUAUCAAUCACCCAACUAGUCUCGUCGCAUGCUAGGUUGACCAAAUUCUCAUCACAAAUAACUAACAGAUCUUCACGAGUAACAGUAGCAACACGCUCGAAUUUUUCAUCGUCAUUCCGAUCGUGUUUAUCACCACCACCUUUGUUCUCUUUCUUCCACUUGAAGCAAUAUUUCUUGAUAUGAACUUUCUUACCACAAUGAUGACACUCAAGAUUCUUGUAUCUCGAUCUUGACUUGCUUCGGCUUUUAUCUCUACCCUUUCCAUCUUUGUCUCUGUUUCUCCCCCUGUUCUCGAUAACCAACACCUCGGACUGUGAUGUAGAACCCUGAGAUCUUCUUCUAACCUCUUCAUUCAACACACCACUCUUAGCCAAAUCCAAAGUAAUAAUACCCUGUGGGGCAGAAUUAAUGAGUGAGACUCGAAAGGUCUCCCAAGAGUCUGGUAGAGUAGCAAGCAACCAAAGUCCUAAAAUCUCGUCAUCAAAUUUGACACCCAUACCAAGCAACUGAUUCAUCAUACUCUGAAAUUCACUAACAUGGUCAGCUAUAGACAUUCCUUCUUUAUAUUUCAGCGCCAUCAUUUUCUUCAGCAAAAAUAACUUGUUAUUGCCCGACCUCGAAGCAUACAAGCUUUCAAGCUUCUCCCACAAUGUUCGAGCAUGUGUCUCCUGAUCAAUGUGAUUGUAAACAUUUUCUUCAACAAAUUGCCGAAUAAAGCCACACACUUGUUGAUGCUCAAAUUCCCAUUCUUCAUCACUUUUCGAAUCGGGUUUUUGAGUAGUAAAGACCGGAAGAUGCAAAGCCUUCACAAACAACAAGUCCUUCAUUUUAUUCCGCCAAAGUUGAUAAUUUGUGCCAUUCAACAUAAUCAUCUUGCUCGUAUUAAUUUCCAUAAUUAUCUGACACAAUAACCAAGCUCUGAUACCAGUUUGUUGGGAAGAAACCGAACAACCGAAACAAAGCGAAAGCACAACCGGUGUUCUUUCUCUCCUUAUAACUCCUGUAAAAAUUAUGGCAAGCACAAUAGCACAAGAUAUGUUCUCUAGCAACCUUAAUCAACCACAAAUCAACUAAUGCAACCACAACAAAAAUAAAUAGAGACACCAAUAUUUUUACGUGGAAAACCCCUCUAAAUUAAGGGUAAAAACCACGGGACUUUAGAGUCCGAUAAAGAGCUCCACUAUCAUCAAAUGUUCAACUACAAGAUCACAAUAUCAAGCCUACAACAAGCAUUCAACUCCGACAAGGCUAACAACAUGUAAUCUUUAGCAAAAGAGAGAAAAAUGAGAGAACAUCACCAAAAACGUAGCUGCUGAAAAAUGGGUAUUUCCGACGCUACAAGACUCGGAUGAAAAAUCCGACCGUACAAAGUCAAGAACACCUUAUCACCUAGCUGCUGUCCAAAAAUCAGCUCAAUCGAACCACGGAUGGACCUUCGAUCGAAGAGUUGAUCACUGCUGUACCAAGCUUGAAAAUCUGAUUUUUUUUUAUUCUCUUUCUCUCUGUUUUUUUUUCUUUAGCUCUCUGCAGAAAAAUUUCUGCCCAACCCGUUAAUAAGCCAAAAAGAAUUGGCUUUUGACAAAACCAAAAGAAAAAGGAAGGCAAAACAUUUGUGCCAGAAAAUAUGGGUUUCCCACAUAGUGGGACCCAUACCCAACAGGAAGUCCCACUCCCACCUUCUUUUAAGACUUUUUAGGUCUUAAAAGCAAAAGGAUACAAAAAGAAAGAAAAGAAAAUGGACGACAUGGAAUUUGAGUAACAUUAUUUUUCUCUAUGUUUGGCUAUCAUUAUUUUCUAAUUAACUACAUAAAUUUUGUUUCUUUUGGUUAAAUUGAUAUAAACUUUUUUUCUCUCUCACUAUUUAAUGUGGAAAUUAAGGAGCUUUAAAAUUUCACAAAUUCAGAAAGAGAGAUAGACAUAAAGUUGUGAAGCAAGUCAACUGAACUAAUUCCCUUCCCAUGCUUUGUUUCUUUCUUAAUUUCUGGUAAAAGUAUUAUAGAGAUCCACUUAUUAGAAGUUAGAUUAUAUUUUAAUUAGAUUAAAGAGUAAAUUGGUCUUUUCUGUUACAAAUUUCAUCCAUUUCAGUUAUUAAAAUUUGGCAAAUCCAUAGAUUUUCUCUAUAUUUUCAACCCUGAUUUUUCAGAUUUAUGUAAUAUUGUACCCUCAUAAAAGUGGACCAUCACCUUAAUAAUUCACUCUUAAUUUUUCUUCUAAAACCAAAUAAUUUAACUAAAAUUUGAAGAUUAAAAGUCAAAGUUAUACAAAAGAAUAGGGUUAAGGUGAAAAAAUGAUAAAUAUUAAGGGCUAAAGUUUCUAUUAUGCUAAUGAUAUAUGAGAUUUCAUUACAAAAAAAAAAAAUGAAACAUGGCAUUAAUAAAUGGACGAUAAGGGUGAAGCUAGAAAGGGACAAGCAGAAGCACACCAACAUGGAAAAUGUUCCUUUUGUAAUUUUAGAAAUUAUAAAGUUUUUAAUUAAUACAAUGAUAAAAUUAUAUUUUUAUCUCUCCUAUAAUAUAAAAUUUCAAUUUUUAACCACUAAAUGAAUUAUAUUAUUAUAAGAGUGUUUUUUUUAUAUUUUUAUAUAAAUUAAUAAAAAUUCACAUAUAAUAAAAUUUAAAUCUAGGCACUACCAUUUCAAUUAAAAUUUUAUUUAUAUGUGUUGCAAAUAAUAGUGAGGAUAAAGAAGACACAGAUUUUACGUGGAAAACCCCAUAAUUAAUAUGAGGAAAAAAUCUAGUGCUUCUCUCAAUUUAACAAGGAAAACACAAUGAAAAUUCUCUCUUGAUAAAAGGAGAAACAACACUCACUAAAGCUCUCUAACUUCUCCUGUUGUGGAAUGAUUUGAAAUUGGGAUGAUUUUAUAUGCUAAAAUGGUUAGACUAUUUUUAGUUGAGCUUCAGGAACCCAACUACAAACAACUCAUUAAUGUAAGUGAUGCAUCAUGAACUAAUUGGAAAUUUGACUAAAGCAAGUGCACCUAUUAAUUAAUAGUAUAACUACGGUGAGUAAAGAUAUUGUUUACACGAAGACUAAAAGUACUAGUAAUUAUUAUCUUUAUAUUAUUUAACCGAAUAAAUCGAGUGAAUGAUUACUACUAAAAUUAACUAAAUUGAUUAACUAAUGAACCCAACAAAGAACAAAUUAAGAAAAUAAACGAUUAACAACCAAAAAGUGAAACAAUAUUCAUGAAAGAAUUCACCUAGAUUUCAUCUGUCACUAUCAAUCUAAAUUAUGCAAUUUCUUUACUUACUACCUUGAUCCGUAAAAAUCCCUAAAUUAUGCUAAUAUCUCUUUCGAGAAUAAAAAACAAUUAACUCUAGGUUGAUAAAUUAAAUUUUUUUCCUAAUUAAAACCCCUAUUAUCACAUUAACUCUUGCUAUGGAUUUCAUAUUAGAUUUGACUCUAAUCCGAUAGAUUUAUAUCGUCCUAUUUCUAGGAUUGCAUGCAAAUUCACUCAAUUACGCAAAAUAUUAAACUAAGAAUAAUUAAGCAUGGAUUCAUACUCUAGAAAUAUUAAACUAAGAAUUAAGUACGCAUAAUUGCGAAUAAGAAACUAAGUUUUUAUUGUGUAAAAUAAAAAUCAAACAAAAAAAUCCAUCAUAGGAUUCAUCUCUCCUAGGUAUUUAGAAAAUUAGUUUAUGCUUGAAAAUAAAAACAUCCAAAACACAACAUAAUCAAAAGAAAUAAAAAAACUCAUGAUAAUCUCCACAGUAACCAAAUGAGAAUAUUCAAUCUUGACGGAAAUUUGCUUCAAAAUCGGCUUCAAUGGUGUUUUUCGAGUUGUUUUCUUGAAUAUUCUAUGACGAAUCACUCCUAUCUUUUUAUUUUAUCUUAUAUACGUCUUAAAAUACCCGAAAAACCUAAAAUUUAUGAUUUUUUGCAGUUUAGAGUGCAAAUCCGCGAAAUCGACAUGACCUACCACAUGGCCGUGUAGAUCACAGGGUCUUGUGGCCAAGCUGUGUGACUUCUAUAGCUUGCUUUGAUAUUUCAAUUUUAGCUUGUUUUUCGUUUCUAUUGCUCCCAAAUGCAAUCUUAAGCAUGAGAAUAUGAAUUUAAAAAAUUAGAGGCAUAAAAUUCACAAUUAACAUUGAAUAAUCAUCCAAAAACGCAUUAAUAAUGAAGUCAAAACAUGUUACUUUUUAGCACUUAUUAGUAAGAGACUAAUUUAGUGGCCUAAUUUUCCAACUUCUAAUUACUAGCCUAAUUUAGUGGACUUUUUGAUGGCUUUUAAUGCAACCAGCUUUGACUUGGCAUUAAAUUUUUAUUUAUAUAUUUUUUCUAGCUUACAUUGUAUUGUAUGGAGUGUAUAAGGAAAAGGUGGAUUUAUUUAGAGUUGUGAAUGCAUUAAUAGAAUAUUUCCUUACUAACCAACCAAAGUGAACGACUGAAAAGUUGAAUUGUUUAAGUCAAGAUGUUUGCAAUUUGCUAAGGCAUUGGUUGAAUACCAACAAACAAUCUCUCUCGUUUUCCCUUUGACGUGAUGGAUUAAAACUAUAUACGUGGAAUAACUGGUAAUUUAUGCUUAAUUUUUACUUAAUUAAUGUUAAGAUAAAAUUUGAAUCCUUGUAACUUGCAUGCCUAAGUAGAUUCGUCUCAAGCUGCUACAACGGGUUUAAAUAAGGACGUAAGAAAGGGGUAGGCCGAGUCUCAAACAUCCUUCACCUCUAAAUUGUUUCCAAUUUUUUAAACUUUUAGUGUUUUUAUACUUAAAACUUGGGAAAAUAUAUUUUGAGCCUCAAAAAAUUUAGAAAACUAUAAAAUUGAGAUCUAGCCAAUGAUAAUUUAUAUGUAAUUUGGACGAAAUAGCCAACGAGAAAAGAGAGGAAUCUUUGAUUUUCUUUUAAAAAAUACUAUUUAUUCAUACAACACAUAUAGUAGACAUGUACAUAUCCAAAAAAGCUUAUACUAUAAGAAUCUUUGAUCCCUUGGAUUCCUAGGUAAGAAGUAAAGCCCUAAAGAGUGAAAAAUAUGGCCAAUACUUUGAUUUGGAAGCUUCAAUCAACUAAGUUAAAUUUUGGAUUUGAAAUCUUUGAUUUCAUCGUAUUCAUUUUUCCCUAUAUUGUUGGUAGAUAUAAGAAGCAAAGACCCAAAUAAAGAGUGAACAGCAUUGCCAAUACCUUAAUUGCAUUCGUUUUCUCCUUAUAAAACACAACACCAACAACUGGAACAAAUGGCUAAUUAAGCAUACUCACAACGUUCGAGAACAAAGAUGACACCAAAUAGAUCAAUCCCACUACUCCCACUGUACAAAUAGAUCAAAGUUACAGUAUCUUGAUCUUCGAAGUAAUAACUGGUGGGAUAUCGAAGCUACAAGUCUUCAAUGGAUUUCUAGACUUGCUUCCUUGCAUUACCUUGGUUUGGGUUAUGCGGAUCUUCGUAAAGCAACUUAUUGGCUACAGGUAACAUUCAAAACAUCCUUCAUUGUUAGAGUUGCACUUGUCAGCUUGCAGUUUCGAAGAUGAUCCAUCCCCAAUCAGUUUUAAUUAUACAAAAACACUAGUUGUUCUUGAUCUUUCUAGGGACCAAUUAUCUUCAUUACCAAAGUCGAUAUUUUGUCUUCAUGGUCUUGUGUCCAUUGAUCGUAGUCACAAUUCUUUGGUAGGCCCAAUUCCAAAUUAUUUCAAGAACAUCUCGUUUCUUGAAGUUCUUGAUCUGAGUUCAAAUUGGCUUUAUUCAUCCAUACCCAACCCCUUGUAUAGUUUAAACAUCUUCAAUUCCUUAGUUUUGGCCAUAACAAAUUGCAAGGUGAAAUUUUGAGUGUCAUCGGAAACUCGAGCUCUAUUGUUCACCUUGAUCUUUCAAAUAAUAUGUUGGAAGGAAGAUUACCAACCUCUUUGUCUAGAUGUCGUUUGGAUUGCUUGGAGUCAUUAAAUCUAGUAGUAAACCAAAUUUCUGGCCAUUUAAUCAAUCAACUAGGGAAAUUUAAAAAUCUAGCUUACUUGUCCCCUUCUCAAAGCAAAGUUUAUGGUCCCAUUCCAUUGUCGAUAGGGGAGUCAUCAUCUUUGAAGUUCUUUUAUGUUUCAGAAAAUCAAUUGAAUGGUAAUUUUCCUAUAAGAUUGGGAUAAUUGGCAAAUUUAGAAACUCUAAAUUUUAUUAGAAACCCACUUUUUUAAGCUCACAAGAUUGAUAACUUUGAAAGCAUCGAAAAACAUGUUGAGAUUUCAACCAAACUCAAGUUGGAUUCCCCCCCCCCAUUUCAAUGUGAAAGUAUCGAAUUGGGUGACUGGUAUUUUGGCCCGAAGUUUCCCCAAUGGUUAAAGUUCCAGAAGAUGCAUCAUUUUGUUGGGUUUUUGACAGCAGCAAAAGAAGAGAACAGAGAGCACAGAACAAUGAAGCAAGAUGCAAGAAAUAUUUUUACUCUCAAAAAUGUGUAGCAAGAGAGCUUAUGGCUGAUAGCUCAUUUUGCUCAUUCAUUCAACUAGAAAAACAAUACAUUUAUAGUCAAAUACAUCACCAAAUACUACCUACUACCACUAAGUAGCCUAGUAACUUGAUAAACAUUACUUGUACACAUAAACAAUUCACCUAAACUAGCCAUUCAACACCUAAUGCAUCAAGUUGUCAUCAACUUGUUCAUUUUCAACUAGUUUGAUUAGAAUGAAACUAAACAAAAAACCUUGCUAUUGUAGCAAGCAUACGUGCUGUAGCAUGUCAUCAAGCUGCAUGCACUUCAACCAAAAAAUGUAACAGCAGCAUGGUUGGCCAAUUUUCAACACUCCUCCUUGGACUCCAUGCUGCAAAUACAGAUCAUUCAUCAAAUUUUUUGAACUUGGCAAUCCUUAGAUGCUUUGUUUCAAGCUAACUCUGCUCAAGCAAUUCAUUUUCAACCUUGGCUUCAUUCUUAACCAAAUCUGACUUACACACUUGACUAUACUAGUAUUUUGUGCCAAAGAUUUGUUCAUCAAAUGGAGUCUUCUCCUCCUUCACAACCUUGGUUGACAACUUGCCUUCAAACACAUCUUUUCUUUCUUGCCUUGUUUCUUUGUUCAUUACUGUCCUGUUUCUUCUUGCACAAAUAGUUCAUGAGUAUAGUUUGCUUGCCUUUAGUAUGCCAUUUUAGCUUGCACCUACUCGAGCUUGCAUUUAAACCGUUCGCCACUUCGGCUUGCAAUUCGAAAGGCUCACACUUCGACAGGCUCGCACUUUGCUUACUGUCUUCAACAGGCUCGCAACUUUACAACUCACAUUGAGCUUCCACAUGUUGCUGAGCUCACACCUUUGACAGACUCACAUCUUUGCAUACUGUCUAGCUGGUGUCUUCAACAGGUUUGCAACUAUACAGGGCUCUCAUUGCUGAGCUCAUAGCUCGCACUUCUCUCUAAGCUUGCAGCUUUGACAUUUUUGCUGAGCUUGCAGCUUGCAGCUUGCACAUUGGAAAGCUCACAUACUUUCAUUGAAACUCCUCCUUCAGCUUGUUCAACCUUGUUUUGGGGUCUCAUAAGGUUGAGCUGAUGCUGUCUUCUCUACAAGCAGUCCUUAAUGACUGCUUGUGCUUUGACAGCUCUUUCUUUUUAACAAGCAGCUAAAGUAAAAUAAAUGGCCCUCUAAGACUUAUGCUCAUGAUACCAAUUGUUGGGGAUGAGGAGGAGCAAAGGAAGAAAACAGAGAGCGCAGAACAAUGAAGCUAGGUUCAAGAAAUAUUUUUACUUGCUCACAAAUGUGCAGCAAGGGAGCUUAUGGCUGAUAGCUCAUUUUGCUCAUUCAUUCAACUAGAAAAACAAUACAUUUAUAGUCAAAUACAUCACCAAAUACUACCUACUACCACUAAGUAGCCUAGUAACUUGAUAAACAUUGCUCGUACACAUAAACAAGCCACCUAAACUAGUCAUUCAACACCUAAUGCAUCAAGUUGUCAUCAACUUGUUCAUUUUCAACUAGUUUGAUUAGAAUGAAACUAAACAAAAAAAAAACCUUGCUGUUACAGCAAGCAUACGUGCUGCAACAUGUCAUCAAGCUGCAUGCACUUCAACCAAAAAAUGUAACAGCAACAUGGUUGGCCAAUUUCCAACACAUUUAGAUAUCUCCUAUGCCCACUUGGUUUUUGAACCUUCCCACUCAAUUUGCAUAUGUAAAUCUUUCCUCUAAUCAAAUUAUAGGAGAGAUUUCAUAUUUGAAUGUGAGAGACAUUGUUGACUUGAGUUCAGACCGAUUCACAGGUACCCUGCCAAGAGUAUUCCCAACUUUAGAUUUUUUAGUUUUGUCAAAUAAUUCAUUCUUAGGAUCCCUUUUAGAAUUAAUUUGUAACUCAUCGGGAGAGGGAUGGAUGGGAUCUCUUUACAUUGAUGCAAAUCUUCUUUCUGGGAAAUUCUAGAUUGUUGGAAUCAUCGUUUUUGAAUAAUUUAGAUUUGGAAAACAACAAUUUGACUAGAAAAAUCCCACCUUCUUUGUUACACAAAGAUCUUAGAGUGCUCAACCUUCGGAAAAAUAGCAUGUAUGGAGGAUUACUCUCCACAUUGCGAAAUUCUUCGAGUUUGUUUAUUCUUGAUCUUAGUGAAAGUCAUUUCAGUGGGAGUGUACCAGCACGGAUUAGUGAUAAGCUCUCAAAACUUAUUGUUCUACGCCUUCGAUCAAAUAAAUUCGAUGGCUAUAUUCCUCAUAACAUUUGUGAUCUUUAAUCUCUUCAGAAGCUGGACCUUUCCCAUAACAACAUUUCUGGAGUUAUUCCACCUUGUUUCAGAAAUUUAAGUGCAAUGGCCAUAAAAACCAAAACCAAUUGUGAACUUGUUUCGUGGCCAAUCAUUGGUCAUUCGUUUUUUUUUGAGAGCAUUAUUGAUUAUAAAAGAGCGAGAAGAUGAAUAUGGUACCACACUAGGACUUGUUACUAGCAUGGACCUUUCUGCUAACAGUCUCAUAGGAGAGAUCUCCAAAUAAACUGGAAGUCUUGUUGCGCUACGAUCAUUAAAUUUGUCAGUGAAUCUAUUAACAGGCAAUAUACCAGACAACAUUGGCAACAUGGAGUUAAUAGAAUCUCUUGAUUUGUCGAUGAAUCAAUUGAAUGGUGAAAUUGCUCCAAGUUUCUUCAAUUUGAAUUUAUUGAAUCACUUCAAUGUCUCCUACAAUAACUUGACAGAACAAGUCCCAACAAACACUCAACUUCAAAACUUUGAAAACUUGUCUUACAUGGGCAGUCAUCUUUGCGCACAUCCUCUCACUAAGAACUGCACCACAAAAAAUUUUUCAACUGAUGUUAUGAAUAAUGGAGGUAGUGAUAAAGGAAGUAAAGUGAAUUGGCUUUAUGUCAGCAUAGUUCUUAGCUUUGUAAUGCGUUUUUGGGUGUGGUGGCUCCCUUGUUUUUAAUUAGAUCUUGGAGGCAUGCAUACUAUCGAAAGUUGAAUCAUGUUGGUCGAAAGCAAUAUGUGUCUUGGGCUAAUAGGUAUAUAGUUUGAUGAAAAGAAAACAUGUAUAAUUAAGAUUUGUGUGUGUUUAUAAUUGAUUAAUGAAGAUUCAGAUCUCAGAUCUUAUAAUCAAUAACUUUGAAUUUAGAUUUAGUACUCAGUACAUGAUUGGUGUUUUUCCUUUUGCAACAAUAAAUGUCAUUCCAAGCUUGUAUAAAUUAUUGAAAGUGUGUUUUGAUAAUGUAUGAUUGUGUUUAAUUGUAUUUCAAUAAUGAAGAUGUUGUUGGGUUAAAGAGUGAAAUUGGGUGAAUUUUUACUAACUUUUGUCUAGCUGAUUGAUUAACUUCAACAAUUUACAAGUCUAACAUAUAUUGUUAAAUUUAUGUGUUUCUAGAAAAUUUUGUGAGGAAUUCAAAAAAUCAUGCUUGCCUUUCAUUUAGUAAAUUUCUUCCCCCCCCCCCCCCUAGUGAUGGGCAUGAUAGAAAAGCCAGAUUUUACGCAAAACAAAAACAAAAUAAAAAUGACAACAUUUUAAAAUAAAAUUAGUACUAGGCUCAUAAGAGUAUAGCUAAAAUUAUUUUAGCAGUUGCUCAACUAAAUCUUGGUCUCGGGUUACAUUUUGAGCCUUCUACGAAAAUGGGCCAAUUAAUCUAAGUACGAUAGAUGAAUGAGUCUUUGUUAAAAUUGUGAUGUUAAAUGUUUAUUUUAAUAUUGUUCUAUAUAUAAGACAUAAUAACAAAUUUAAUCCUCGACUUUUAUGUCUUAAGUCAACUUGGUCUCUACUCUUUUACGUUGAGUAAAUUAGGCUUCAAACUUUUCAUUGUAGAUGUGACCUUAUUUUAUAUUUUAUGUCACAUUUACAAAUAAUUUUAAAAUUAUAAAAUAAUGUUUAAUACAUCAUAAAUUAUUUCAAAAAUGAAAUAAACUUGACAAGGAAGUCUAAGUGAAGUCUAAGCAGUGGACAAAGACUAUGGAGUAAAUCCAAGUCCCAUGAUAUGACCAGCCUUAAAAAUGGAAAGGAAGAAAAAUGAAAUUUGAGGAAAACAUAAAUUUGAAUGAGAUUAUUAUUCUUUUGGUUAAAUUUAUAUUUUGAUUAAAUCAAAUUAAAUUUUAAUGUAUAAUUGAUUAAAAUUAAGCAAAUUGUUGGGAAUGAAUAUUGAUUUAAAUUGAUAUUAUAAUGGUAAAAACUCAAUUUAGCAUUUUUUUUAUUGUGUUUUAUUUAGUUCUCAAACUUUUAUGAUUUGUCAAUUCAAAUAAAAUUAGAUAAAUCGUUAAGUGUUUAUGCAGGAUGCCAAACACUGAUGCGGCAUCAUAUGUCAUAGUAUGUCUGUACUUCAUGUUGUUUUGACAUUAUAUUACUUAAUUUCUCAUCUUCGCAAAUAAUUUUGAAAUAAAAAAAAUGUUAAUUAAGUCCUAAUUAUUUAAGGGUUGAGAAUGAGUUAUAUGUAGUUUUUAAUUUUAUAUAAAAAAUAUAAUGAAAGAAUAUAUAAAGUAAACUAAAACAACAAAAUAUUGUCCUCAGUCCCAACGAAAGAACUUUCUUCCAAGACCCCAAAUUUCCAAACUUGAAUUUUCCACAAGAAAUAUUUUAUAGUCUAUUGAAUAUUUCCUUGCAUUGAAAUGUUCGGUCUAUAUAUUCACCUUAAAUUUAUUUAAAAAAAUGUGUAUAUUGUGAAUUGUGGUUAAUAUUUAUAUAUUAAAAUAAAUAAAGUCUCACUCCCACGUCAUGCUCUAUUUACUUGCUAAUAUUUAGUUCAUUAUAUACAGUAAGCAAAGAAGAAAGACCAUCUUUAAUAUAUUAAAAUAGCAUUUUCACUAAUAAAACUUAUCAUUUUGAAGUUGAGUUUUUUUUUCGUUUUUUCUUUUAAUCUUUGUUUUUUUGGUUCAAUUGACGAGUAUUUGUCCCAUUUGAUUGCUUAAAAGACCUGAAAUUGUCAAUUAGUUUAGUAGUUGAGUUGAUUAUACUUCACAUAAUUUGUCAACAAAUUUAAUAGUUGUUGGCUUAUGAUUGAUGGGGGUUUUUUAAGGUAAUUUUCUGUCACUGUGCAAUACAUGUAUAUAAGAAGAAAACAAAAAGAAGGGCAAUGUUCAAAGGAUGAAAGAAGAAAGAGAGAUCAAAUUCAUCACAAAGCUACAAUCAACUCUAAAAAUAAAAUAUUAUUAAAUAUGUUAUUGAGGUUUAUUAUUAAGUAGCAACAUUCUAUUUCAAUCUUUUCUUGAUUUAAAUGGAGCAAAGACUAAAGUUAUUAUCAAACAUUCAUUUAGUACGAGUUCAUAUCUUAUUAACUCUAUCCCUUACCUCUAAUAUUAUAUAAAAAAAAUUACCUUAUUAAAUCUAAACUUGAAGUUGGGUUAAAUUCUUUAAUGUAAUCUCUUUUAAAAAUUUUGGACACUUUAAAAGUAUAUUAGAAAAUUUGAUAAAGUUGAAUAAAAGAGUUUAAGGAGUCAUUGUUGCAGAAAUGAAUGAAGUUGUCCCCCUUCUCUUGCAGCGUCAAAUGUUGCUCCAUUUCUAUGGGAAUAAAUGUCGUAUUCGUUUUAUUUUUCAAACUUAAUCAAAUCUUACUCAUAUUCGUUAUUGCACUCUUUAACCCAGCAACAUUUUCAUUAUUGACAUACAAUUAAACACAAGCAUACAUGUCAAAAAAUUAUACAAGCAAUGUCAUUUAUUUUUGUAAAAGGGAAAACAUGAAUCACGUGCUGAGUAUUAAAUCUAAACUCGAAGUUUAAAUUAAUUGAUUCAUGUAAUCACUUUUAAAAUGUGACAUUUAAUAGAUCUAACAUUCGAGUCCUCUAUAAUCAAUUACACACAAACAAAAUUUAACUAUAUGUUUUUUUCCCAUCAAGCUACCUACCCAUAGUAGCCCAAGACAUAUAUAGCUUUCGACCAAUAUGGUCUAACUUUCGAUAGUAUGCAUGCCUCCAAGACCUGAUAUAAAACAAGGGAGCCACUACACCCGAAAAUCCCAUUACAAAGCCAAGAACUAUGCUGACAUAAAGCCAAUUCACGUUACUUCCUUCACUUCUGCUUCCAUUAUUUGCAACAUCAGUUGGAGUACGAUUUGUGCUGCGGUUUUUAGUGAGAGGAGGUCCGUAAAGAUGAUUGCCCAUGUAAGAAAAGUUUCCAAAGCUUUGAAGCUGAGUGCUUGUUGGGAUUUGUCCUGUCAAGUUGUUGUAGGAGACAUUGAAGUGAUUCAAGAAAUUCAAAUUGGAGAAACUUGAAGGGAUUUCACCAUUCAAUUGAUUCAUCGACAAAUCAAGAGAUUCCAAUUCCAUGUUGCCAAUUUCGUCCGGUAUAUUUCCUAUUAGGAGAUUCCUUGAUAGAUUCAAUGACUGUAGCUCAACGAGACUUCCAAGUUCUUUUGGGAUCUCUCCUAUGAGUCUAUUAGUUGAAAGACACAUGCUCGUAACAAGUCCUAGUGUGGUACUGUAUUCAUCCACUCGUCCUUUCAGCACUAAUAAAGUUCUCAUACAAAACAAAUUAGUGAGGGUAAUCGACCACUGAAACAUAUAGCUAUUUUGAUUGCUUUUGUUAGCCAUUGCACUCAAAUUACUAAAACAUUUUGGAAUAGAUCCUGAAAUGUUGUUAUUGCCAAGGUCCAAGAUCCGAAGAGAUUGAAGUUGACAAAUUUUUUGAGGAAUGUGUCCGUCAAAGCUAUUCGAUCGAAGGCUUAGAAUCUCAAGUUUUGAGAGUUUAUCCCCAAUCCAUGUUGGUACACUCCCACUGAAAUGAUUGUCACUGAGAUCAAGUAUAAUCAAACUCGUAGAAAGUUGCAACGUAGAUGGUAAUUCUCCAAACAUGUCAUUGUUACGAAGGUUUAGCACGGAAAGAUUCAAAUGUCCCAAAGAAGGUGGGAUUUUCCCAGUGAAAUUGUUGUUUUCCAAAUUUAAGUAAACCAAAACUCGCCAAUGAUUCCAGCAAUCUGGGAUUUCUCCAGAGAGAAGAUUUCCUUUAAUGGAAAGACAUUCCAUGGGCCCCUUUCUUAAUGGAUUACAAACUAAUUCAAAAAGUGGACCUGAAAAUGAAUUAUUUGACCACAUUAAAAAUUUUAAAGUUGGGAAUACUCUUGGCAAUGGGCCUGUGAAUCGGUUUGAUCUCAAGUCAACAAAUUCUCUCACGUUCAAAUGUGAAAUCCCUCCCGUAAGUUGAUUAUAUGAAAGAUUUAAAUAUUCAAAUUGAGUGGACAAGUUCAAAAACCAAGUGGGCAAGAUAUCCGAAAUUCCUGCAUUGGACAUAUCUAAAACAGAUAAAUUCUUUUGGAAUUUUAACCAUCUGGGAAACUUCGGUCCAAGAUGCCAUUGACCCAAUUUGAUAAUUUGACAUUGAAACGGGAGAAUCCAGCUUGAGUUUGGUUGAAAUCUGAGCCUGUUCUGUGAUGCCGCUAGAGUUGUCAAUCUCGUGAGAUUAGAAAAAUGGGUUUCUGAUACAACUCCUUCCAAUUGGUUACACCCCAAAUCCAGAGUUUCCAAACUUUUCAGUUGUCCAAAACAUUGAGGAAAAGUACCAUUUAAUUGAUUUUCUGAAACAUCAAAGAACUUCAAAGAUGAUAACUCCCCUAUGGACAAUGGAAUGGGACCAGAAAUAUUGUUUCCAGCAAGCGACAAGUGAGCUAGGUUUUUAAAGUGCCCAAGUUGAUCAAUUAAAUGGCCAAAAAGAUGGUUAUGUGCCAUAUCCAAUGACUCUAAGCAAUCCAAACAACAUCUAGACAGACUCAGAAGGAUUUCUGAUACGUCUUGAUCAAUUUCAUUGCUCGAAAGAUUAAGGAAUUGAAGAUGAUUUAAACUAAACAAAGAGUUGGGUGUGGAUGAAUUGAGUGAGUUCCCACUAAGAUCAAGAACUUCAAGAAAUGAGAUGUUCCUAAAGUAAUCCGGAAUUGGGCCUUCCAAAGAAUUGCUACUAAGAUCAAUGGACAGAAGACCUUGAAGACCAAAUAUGGACAUAGGUACUGAAGAAAAGUUGUUCUCAGAAAGAUCAAGAACAACAAGUGAUUUUGUAGAAUUGACAUUGAUCGGGGAUGGAUCAUCUUCCAAACUGCAAGUUGACAAGUGCAACUCUAACAAUGAAGGGUGUUGGAAUGUUACCAGUAGCCAAUCAGUUGCUUUACGAAGAUCCGCAUAACUCAAAUCAAGGUACUGCAAGAAAGAAAGUCCAGAAACCCAUUGAAGACUUUUUGGUUUGAGAUAAUUACCUCCAAGAUCAAGAUACUGCAACUUUGAGAGAUUCCCAAGGUUAUGAGGAAUUCCUCCCUGGAAUUGUGCAUGAGAGAGGUUAAGAUAUGUUAAAUCCCCAGCCUGCCCAAAAAUUUCGGGAUGUUGCUCAAGUCCAGGGAACUGAGAUGCUUCAACUCCAGCAAUGAAGAAUUUAUUUUCCCUCUUAGCGAGGAAUUGUUCUUUGAUCGAUGGUAAGCUUCCCAUUCAGUAACUGGUGCAUCAAAAUGGGGCACUGAAAGAGGAGCAGCCAAGUGCAGUUGGUUGAUAUGGCCUGUUGAGUUAUGGCACACGACACGAGCCAUUUACAGCAAUCCCCACCUUCGACCCAAGAAGCCAACCUGUUUGAAGGGUCAACGAGAUCAUUCUUGAACUUCAGAAGGGCAUUUCUCUCACUUUCAAUGCAAAGCACAUUGGAAUUGGCAUCACAAAAGCUAAAACAGAUAGCUACAAUGACAAGAAGAAAUGGGAAUAAGGUAAUUGCAACACUUUCCAUGGUUGCGAUGGUACCAACCAUUGCUUGCAACUCCAAAUAUAUAGAGUAAGCUUAGCCAAAACAAAAAUAUUGUGCACAUAAAUGAAGCACAAAGAAGUUUCUUCCAAAUUUCCACAAAAUGUAUUUAAUUGAUAAUAGUCUAUCAGAAAUUUCCAGUAAUUUAACAUUAUUUUAUUUUACAUCUCACAUCAAUACAUAAUUUAACAAAAUUAUAGUCAGUAAUUGCUUUGAAAGUUGUACAGCAAUGGAAGAGAUCGAUGGGUUUGACUUUGGAGAUAGGAAGGAAAUUUCUUUUUUGACCCAAGCAAAAAAUAAAUGGAAUUUAUGUUCAAUUGCUAUAUAAUUAUAUAAUACACGUGUUGAUAAAUAAUUGGAGAGGCACAAUAAGAGAAAAGGAUUGAGGAAUUUGCUGACUUUAGGGCUCUUACUUACUAUCCUUUUAUUAAUAAAAUUUUAUUUUGGCUUAGAAAAAAAAUAGGAUCGAAAGUUUGUAAAUUUACAUUUUCACACACUUGAAUAUAUAGAAAUAUCGAAAAAUAUGUAAAAAAAUAAAAAUUAAUAAGAGUUAUAAAAUUUAUUAAAUUUUAAUAAAAUAAUAUAAAAACAUUUAAAAUUAAAAAAAAGUUAUAAAAGUCAUAAAAUUAUAAAAAAUUGUAAAAAUUAUAAAAAUUAUAAAAUAUAUAGAAAUAUAGAAAAAAAAUUUAUAAAUUUUCAUAAAUUCAAUAAGAAAAUUAUGAAAAAAAUGUAAAGAAAUAUAAAAUUCAUUAAAAAAUUAUUGUACCACAAGAAACAUUUUAUAAUUUUUCUAUAACUUUUAUUAUUUUUUAUUUUUUUAUAAUUUUUCGUCAUAUGUCACAUUGUGUUGCGAUACGUGAUGGCUUUAAUUGAAAAAAUCGGGGAUCGUUAACUUUAAUGGUCAACAGUUAAAACUAAUGGUUAAAGGACCUUUUUGAUGCAUUUUAUAAAAUUUUUUAUGAUUUUUAUAAAAUUUUACAAUUUCUUUUAUGAUUUUUAUAUUUUUCUUUCUAAUUUUUAAUAAAUUUAUGGUUUCUAGUUACUGUUAAAGUUAAUGGAUUUCUAGUCUUGCUGCCUUGCAUUACCUUGAUUUGAGUUAUGCGGAUCUUCGUAAAGCAAUUGACUGGCUACAGGUAACAUUCGGACAUCCUUCAUUUUUAGAGUUGCACUUGUCAGCUUGCAGUUUGGAAGAUGAUCCACCCCUUAUCAGUGUUAAUUCUACAAAAUCACUAGUUGUUCUUGAUCUUUCUAGGAACCAAUUAUCUUCAUUACGCAAGUCGAUAUUUGGCCUCCAUGGUCUUGUGUCCAUUGUUCUUGAAUUGGUAGGGCCCAAUUCUUAUUUUAGAAAGUACAUCCUAGAACUCCUCUAUUUUUCUGACUUGGAAUUGUAUUUCUACUAGAUUUUGGGCUGCGUCUUGCUGUGGCUUUUUCUAAACAUAUUUGAAACAGAAACAUAUAAAUAUGAAUGGUGGUUGAAAUUGAAAGAAAUUUAUGCAAUGAUAAGUGCAAAAGGAAGUACUUAAGUAGAAUAAAUUAGGAUUUAUUCAUUUAUGACACUCAUAGCAUAUCAUACAUUAACCCUGAAUGGAUGAUGAACUGUAUAUGCGUGAAUUAUAUACUUCGAUGUAAAUAAAAUCUUGAAUUUUAAUAGAUAAGCAACUAAAAGUUGAUGAGUUGGGUAUACAACUUUUGUAUGAUAUAGCAUCAUUCCACAAUAGUAGAUUUUAUAGCCCAAUAAAUGGUAAAUGAUAUCCUCUCAUCGACACUACAUGAUAGAUGAAAAGUAAUGUGGUCAUGAGUCGUUUGCCUUAGUAACAAAUGCAUUAAUUACUAUUUGUUAGUAAUUGUCUUUUCAUGAAAGAAGAUGAAAUAAUUACAAUAAGAUAAAAUAUGAUCAUAUUGGAGGAACAAAUUUAUGCUAAAAAGAUUAAGGAUAUCCUACAAGGGUAAAAUACUUAUAACUAGGUCAUUAGACCAUACUUAACGAUUAGCUUUCAUAAUGAUAUAAUAAGGAAGAACUCAAUCAUGAUAUUUUAGUAGAAUACUUUAUGACUAAAUAAUAUUGUAAUUAAUAGGUAAAGUGUUGGAAUUUAAUUACAAAUUAUUUGAACUCAUAUUAUAUAUGUCUAGUCAAUUCCCCCGGUAGCUCGAGACAAUCGGAAAUGAAUUGGAUGUAGAACCAAUAAUAUGGUAAACUUUAUAAAUUACAUAAACUUUUACCCAUUAAUUUCAUAAACUCCAUAUAUAAAGUUUUAAUGCAAUUUCACUUAGUAGCACGACAUACGCGUUUUUGUGAAAAAAACUUAUUUCUCCAUAAUUUACUAUGUAACUUCAUAAGGCACCAAGCAGCUAUUCAGUCAAGGGCAGAACACAACCCUGUAAUUGGUCCCAGUAGGGCAAAUAAGUGUGCUUGUUUGAUUAUCUUUAGGGUAACUGUAAGCAUCGGGGCAUCUUGCCUUGAAGAACCUGGACAAAUCCGUUGGGUCACAAUUCCCUGAAUUGCAACAAUAUUGAUCAGUUUUGUAGACAGUGCAAGGGUUAUUGCACCCACCUGGGGCUUUCAACUCUUUAGGCACUGCACUAUGAUAUCAGUUGUGCAUCGAAUGCCCCUGCUACACCCGCCAGAUGUUGGACUAAAUUCAAUGGGAACAUUAAAUCCUUCAAUCAGAGAGAUAUCCAUGAAAUCCAGGUUGUUGAACUGGUUUAAUGAGAAUUCAGCCAAGGUUUUCGGGGCUGCACCAUAGGCUCGGCACUGAAGUAGGCCCCCACAGUCACCGGUUUGGCAUCUGCCUCGUCCGACUUUGUCAAAUGUGCAAUUGAUUCGACCGCUGAUACGGGCUCCUGUAGUGCCAGGACUCACUUUUAGAUUCCAAACUCCGCCUUUGCUCAGCUCUCUGCCACCACCAGGAAAGGCUGCUGCCCAGAUCGUGUGGGGUCAGUUGUUUCGAAUGUCAAAAUUGGUAGCACUGGCCACCGUGAAGCAGAGAGCAAUAAAAGAGAAGGAAAAUAAAGAGAGGCUUUUGAAGUUCAUCUUUGAAAUUAG
rnacentral:lncRNA from 1 species